rnacentral:lncRNA from 1 species
AGGUGAAAAACCUUUCAAUGAAAUCGAUGGUUAAUAAGAAAAUAAAAUAAUAUAUAUAGAUAUAUGUCAGAAUUUUCCGAUAAAGACUCUUAUACCAUAUGAGAAAAAGCUUCUAUAAAUGUAUAAUAUGAGGAGUUUUAAAUAUUAUUUUUUUUGAAUUUGAAUGAAAGUACAGAUGAAAGAGAUAAAGUGAAGGUAAAACCAUGAGCCUUGCUCAUUCUGUAUUCUUUUAUUUAUAAGGGGAAUUUACAACAUUAACAAUUAGUAAAAGAAUAAAUACUAAAUAGAGUUCUACUACAUCUAGUACAUAAUAAGUUAACUCCAACACCCUCCCUCAAUCUGGACGGGAAGAAUGAACGUGAAGAUUGGUAGUGAGUUCACGAAAACGGCCAGCGAACAAAACUUUGGUGAACAAAUCUGCAAGUUGUUCAGUGGUAUGAACAUGAGAUACCACUAAGUCACCGUGACUAAUCUUUUCACGAACAAAAUAAUAAUACAAAGCAACAUGCUUGGUACGAGAGUGAAAAACUGGAUUAUGUGCUAGGUGGAUGGCUCCAAUGUUGUCACACUUCACGGAGACGGCGGAAGUAAGAAAAACACCAAGAUCACGAAGAAUGUAUUGAAGCCAUGUAGCCUCAGCAGUAGCAACAACAAGAGCGCUAUACUCAGUUUCAGUACUAGAGCGAGCAACGGUAGGUUUUUUCUUAGCGGACCAAGAGAUGAGAUUGGAGCCAAGAAAAAUGCAGAAACCAGUUGUGGAUCGUCUUGUGGCAGAGCAACCAGCCUAAUCCGAGUCACAAUAAAUACUAAGUGCAAGAGGAGAUUGUUUGUAUAACUGCAAUCCCCAAUCAGUUGUGCCACUUAGAUACCUGAAGAUGUAAUUGUCGCGGCUGGUGAAGAAAUUGAGAAGCAAGGUUGACAACAAAUUGAAUGUCUGGCCGAGUGAAAUACAAGUAAUGUAGGCUUCCAACCAUUGUACGAUAGGUAGAAGGAUAUUAAAGCAAAAGAGAAGAAGUGGAAUUCCAGUCAAGCUUGCUAUGAAGGGGAGUAAGUACAGAUUUACACUUUUCUAGUUUAAAGCAAUGAAGUAUAGAAGUAAUAUAACUAUGUUGUACCAAUAGAAACCCCAAUGAAUUAUGCUUCAGUUCGAUGCCAAGAAAGUAAUUAAGAGAGCCUAAGUCCUUCAGUGAGAAUUUCGUACUCAUAGAAGAGAUGAACUGAGAUAUCAAUGACUCUGAAGAGCCAACAACAGCUAUAUCAUCCACAUAAAUUAAAAGAAUUAUGCAAUCACCCCCCGAGCGAAAGAUGAACAUGCUAUGGUCCGAGAUACAUUGCUGAAAACCAAGAUCAAGAAGAGAACGAGCAAGACGAUGGAACUAGGCAUGCAGUGAUUGCUUGAGACCAUAUAGAGCACGCUCAAACUUGCAUACAUAAUGAGGAUAAUCUGAAUAUACAAAGCCCUUUGGUUGACGCAUAUAAACUGUCUCAGAUAACUCAUCAUGUAAGAAUGCAUUUGACACAUCAAGUUGACGCAUGAACUAGUUGUGUUGAAGGGCCAAAGAUGAGACCAAACGAAUUGUGCUAGGCUUGACAACAGGAGAAAAGGUCUCAAAAUAAUCCACUUCGGGCUUCUGCGAAAAACCUUGAGCCACUAACCGAGGUUUAAAUCUUUCAAUAGAGCCAUUGGCGCAAAAUUUAGUUCGAUACACCCAUUUAUUGCCAACAAUAUUUACAUUUGUUGGAGGAGGUACCAAUGUCCAAAUUUUAUUUUGGACAAGAGCAUCAAAUUCGACGAUCAUGGCUUUCAUCCAACGAGGAUCUUUAGAAGCUUGAGCAAAGGAUGUAGGUUAAGAUAAACUGGAACUAGUCGAAGCUAUCAAAGAAGGAAGAAGGCGUGGUUUAAGUGAACCAGUUUGGGAACGAGUUAUCAUGGGAUGAGAAUGUGGUUUUACGGUGGUUGGAGAGGAGGUAGGCACAAUAAUAUUGCUUGAGGAAGAUUGAUGUUGUGGUGGGUCUGCCUGGGAUAAAGCAACACGUUCAAAAGAAGAGUUUAGGGUAUUUACUGGAGAUUGAUUCGAAGGGGAGUGCAGAAGAUGUGAAGGAGAAUUUGGAGAAAAUGAAUUAGAAUUUUUAAGGUGAGAAUCAGGGGAUUGGAAUGUAGAACUCCGAGGACUUCUACUAGGUAUGAGAUGCUGCGUAUUUUCGGCGAGAGGAGUUAAUAAAUUAACAGAAUUAAUAUGUGGUGAAGCUCCUGUAGAACGUGUGAUAAGGAUUGGGAAGUAAGAAGACUUAGAGGUGUUAUCUAUAACAGUUUUCGAUGGAACGGAUUUGGGUGAGGUCGGUAUCUCAGUAUGAAAGAAGGUCUGAAAAGGGAAAUACUCUUCAACAAAAUGAACAUACCGAGAGAUAAGAACUCUAUUUGAACUAGGAUCCAGACACUUAAAGCCUUUGUGUUUAUCAGAUGAACCGAGGAAUAAACUAUUGGGUUUUGGGCCUUUUUCCCUUCCUAUGUGGAUAAAUAAAAGUCCAAGGUUUUGGGUCUUCCUUCCUUUUCUUUGUGGAUAAAUUCAGGCCAAAUUUGACUAGCCCACUUUACCCAUAAGCCCAAUAUUAUAGUGCAUAUGUAAGACUUUCUUUUAGCUCUUAUUUGAGAUGAUUCACAAGAGAUUCAGAGCAGCCACAUAGAGAGAAAAGUGAGAAAGUGCAGAUUUUCGCACAAGCCCUAGCAGCAAAUUUCAAAUCGCGAUUUCCGCUUCGUUUCUUAUCUGAUUGAGCUGAUUUUUGGACAACUUGUUCCUUUCAACUUGAUCUUUGAUUAGAAAUUGAGAAAGUGUAAUUUGGAGUCCUGUAGCUCCAGAUAUUUGCUCGUGAACAGUAGCUGCGGGUUUGGUGUUUUUGCUUCUUUUAUUUCUCUAGUUUUUGGUGCUAUCUUGUAGUUGUGGUUGCUCAUUGUUUGGCACUUUGUUGGUGGCCAUUUUGGAGAACACUUUUUUAACUUUUGUUGAUUAUAUUGGAGCUUUGGUCUUGUGGUUUUUACUCUUCACAUCGAAGAGGUUUUCCACGUUAAAUUUGGCGUCUCAUGUGUUGAUUUUCUUUGCUUGCUUUGGUUGAUUUGUUUGCUACCCCAAAUAGUUUAUUCUUGCAUUAUUUUGUCUUCUGUUAGUUCAAAUAGAAAUGGAAAGCUUUGACUUGAGUUUUCUUGUGCUAUUGCCCUGUCGUGCACAUUUAUUUUGUGCUUGCUUUUCCCAACAAAGUGGUAUCAGAGCAUUGGGUUGUUGUUGAUUAUCAAUUUGAAUGAUGAAGUCAAAUAUGAGAAAGAUGGUUUGUUUGAAUGGCAGUAAUUAUCAUACUUGAAAAGGCAAGAUGAAAGAUCUUCUAUUUGUCAAGAAAAUGCAUCUACCUGUGUUUGCUUCUAAUAAACCCGAAUCUAUGAAUGAUGAGGAUUGGGAAUUUGAACACCUACAGGUUUGUGGCUAUAUUAGACAAUGGGUUGAAGAUAAUGUUAGAAAUCACAUUGUGAAUGAGACACAUGCCAGAAGUUUGUGGGACAAGCUCGAGACACUAUAUGCUGCGAAGACUGGCAACAAUAAAUUGUUUCUUUUGAAACAAUUGAUGAACAUCAGGUAUAAAGAGAGCACUGUUAUUUCUGAUCAUAUUAAUGAUUUUCAGGGUGUUCUUGACCAAUUGUCCGGAAUGGGUGUAAAAUUCGAUAAAGAAAUUCAAGGACUAUGGCUUUUUAAUACUCUGCCAGACUCUUUUGAAACUCUUCUAGUUUCUUUGACUAAUUCUGCUCCCAGUGGUGUUGUGACCACGGAAUAUGCUAAGAGUGGUGUGUUGAAUGAAGAGAUGAGAAAAAGAUCUCAAGGUUUAUCUUCUUCAACUUCACACUCCGAUGUUUUGGUUACUGAAGACAAGGGGAGAAGCAAGUUUAGAGGUCAGAAUGAUAGAGAUAAAAGUGGAGGAAAGUCAAAGUCCAGAUUCAAGAAUGUUACAUGUGAUUAUUGCCACAAGAAUGGGCAUAUCAAGAAAUAUUAUUUCAAAGAGAGAUAUGAAACAACAAAAGAAAGAAGGCGAUAAUGGAAAUUGUGUUGCUGUUGUUGCUAACGAUGACCUUCUUGUUUCUUGUGAUGAAAAUGCCAUCAAUCUUGUUUGCAAUGAGUCUAGUUGGUUUGUGGAUUCUGGUGCUACUUCUCAUGUCACGCCCAGGAAGGAAUUAUUUUCUUCUUAUACUCCAGGUAACUUUGGGAUGUUGAAAAAUGGGCAAUAAUCAUGAAGUUGCGGUUCUUGGUAUUGGGACGGUUUGUUUGGAAAGUAAUAAUUGUUCCAAACUAGUUCUCAAUAAUAUCAAGCAUGCUCCAGAUGUUUGCUUGAAUUUGAUUUUUGUUGGAUACCUUGAUAAUUAGGGUUAUGUUAAUAUCCUUGGUGCUGGCCAGUGGAAGAUUACCAGAGGUUUAAUGGUGGUAGCCCAUGGUGACAAGUUGUCUCACUUGUACGUUUUUCAGGGCUCCAUUCUCAAAGGCUCAGUAAAUGUAGUGGAGAAUAAUACUUCAUCAUUUGUAUGGCAUAGAAGACUGAGUCAUACGAGCGAGAAGGGGCUGAAUAAUUUGGCUAAGAAGAAUUUGCUUCUGGAGUGAAACAAGCAAAGUUGAACAAGUGUGUUCAUUGCUUAGAUGGUAAACAGAAAAAAGUUUCUUUUCAGAGUCAUCCGCCUUCGAGAAAGCUUGAUUUGCUGGAGUUGGUACAUUCUGAUUUGUGUGGUCCUUUUAAGGUAAAGUCUCAUGGUGGUGCACUUUACUUUGUGACUUUUAUUGAUGAUCAUUCACGCAAACUCUGGGUAUUCUCUUUGAGUCCAAGGAUCAGGUACUUGAUGUGUUCAAGAAUUUUCAGGCCUUGGUUGAGAGACAGACAUGGAAGAAAUUGAAAUGCAUCCAUUCUGAUAAUGGUGGUGAGUAUAUGGUCUUUUUGAUAGAUAUUGUAGAGAGCAGGGUAUUCGUCAUCUAAAAACUCCUCCAAAGACUCCUCAGCUAAAUGGUUUUGCGAAGAGGAUGAAUAGAACUCUUGUUGAGAGGGUUAGAUGUAUGCUUUCAGAUGCUAAGCUGCCAGAUUCAUUUUGGGCAGAAGCACUUAAUACUGUUGCCUAUGUUAUCAAUUUAUCCUUUAUUUUUGCUUAGGAUAGUGAUGUCCCUGAUAGAGUUUGGUCUGGUAAGAAUGUUUCAUAUGAUCAUCUUAAAGUUUUUGGGUGUAAAGCCUUUUUGCAUGUUCCUAAAGAUGAGAGGUCAAAGUUGGAUGUUAAAACUAGAUAAUGUAUCUUUGUUGGUUAUGGUCAAGAUGAAUUCAACUAUCGUUUCUUUGAUCCAGUUGAUAAAAAAACUUGUUAGAAGCCGUGAUGUUGUGUUCUUGAAGACCAAACAAUUGAAGAUCUUGACAAAGAUGAGAAAGUUGAUUCUCAGAGCAGUGAGAGCCUAGUUGAUGUUGAUCCAGUUCCUUUGACUAUUCCACCAAGUAAAAAUCUUCAAGUUGAUAUUGAAGAUGGUGAUCAUAUUCAGAAUGACCAGUAUGUCGUUGAUGCUCCAGUGCAAGACGAUGUAGUUGGUCAGCAACCAACUAUUAUUGAUGCUCUAGAGAGUUCUCUCAGAAGAUCUACUAGAGAGAAAAUACCGUCAUCUCGUUAUUCUCCCAAUGAGUAUGUACUCUUGACUGACGGGGGAGAACUAGAGAGUCUUGAUGAAGCCAUGGAAAGUGAAGAAAAAUAAAUAUGGUUUGAUGCUAUGAAGGAUGAAAUGAAGUCUCUACAUGAUAAUCAUACCUUUGAUUUAGUUAUGUUACCUAAAGAUAAAAAAGCUUUGAAAAAUAGGUGGGUUUUUAGGGUGAAACAUGAAGAUGGCAACUCGGUUCCAUGGUACAAGGCUAGAUUAGUUGUGAAGGGCUUUAACCAGAAAAAGAGAAUUGAUUUUGAUGAGAUAUUCUCUCCAGUUGUGAAGAUGUCAUCCAUCCGUGUGGUUCUAGGCUUGGCUGCAAGUCUGGACUUGGAGGUUGAACGGAUGGAUGUUAAAACUGCUUUUCUCCAUGGUGACUUGAAUGAAGAAAUUUAUAUGGAGCAGCCGGAAGGCUUUGAAGUCAAGGGAAAAGAGAAUUAUGUUUGCAAAUUAAAGAAGAGCUUGUAUGGUUUAAAACAAGCUCUUCAGGAAGUUUGGUUCUUUUAUGAGUCAGCAUGGCUUUAAGAAGACUUCUUUAGACCAUUGUGUUUUUGUGCAAAAAUUCUCUGAUGGUGACUUUAUUAUCGUUUUGCUUUAUGUUGAUGACAUGCUUGUUGUUGGUCAUAAUGAUUGCGGGAUUAAAGAGUUGAAGAAAGAGUUGAAUAAGUCUUUUACUAUGAAAGACUUAGGACCAGCAAGGCAGAUUCUUGGCAUGCAGAUUAUCCAUGAUAGAGAUGCCAAGAAAUUUUUGUUGUCACAAGAGAAGUACCUUCAGAAAGUACUUCGUAGAUUUAACAUGGACAAAGCUAAGGUUUUCAGUACACCUUUAGCUAUGCACUUCAAAUUGAGUACUAGACAUUGUCCUUCCAGUGGUGAGAAGGAAGAUAUGAAGUAAGUUCCUUAUGCUUCAGCUAUUGGUAGUUUGAUGUAUGCAAUGGUGUGUACAAGACCAGAUAUUUCUCAUCCUGUUGGUAUUGUUAGCCGUUUUCCUUCUAAUCCGGGAAGAAAGCAUUGGAAUGAUGUAAAGUGGAUUAUGAGAUAUCUUUGCGGCACUUCUAGUCUGAGUUUGUGUUUUGGGAUAGGGAAAUCUAUUCUUUGUGGUUAUACUGAUUCAGACAUGAUCGGUGAUGUUGAUACUCGUAAGUCUACUUCAGGCUACUUAUUACUUUUGCAGGGGGGGCUGUGUCUUGGCAAUCUAGGUUGCAAAAAUGUGUUGUUUUAUCUACUACAUAUAUUGAGCUUAUUGUUGCUGUUGAAGCUUACAAAGAAUUGAUCUGGAUGAAGAGAUUUUUUAGGGAACUUGGUUGUGCUCAGGAAAGGUAUGUGCUUUAUUGCGACAGUCAAAGUGCUAUUCAUCUUGACAAGAAUUCUACAUUUCAUGGUCGGUCUAAACACAUUGAUGUGAGGUAUCAUUGGAUUCGAGAUGUGUUGGAUUCUAAGUUGCUUGAACUUUGAGAAAAUCCAUACCAUUGAUAAUGGUUCAGACAUGAUGACUAAAGCUUUGCCAAGAGGGAAGUUUGAAGAAUCUUUCAUGAUCGCCGGGAUGGCGGUUUCCUCCACAUAGUCGGUAGGAGGAGUUUUGGGCCUUUUUCCUUCCUAUGUGGAUAAAUAAAAGUCCAAGGUUUUGGGUCUUCCUUCCUUUCCUUUGUGGAUAAAUUCAGCCCAAAUUUGACUAGCCCACUUUCCCCAUAAGCCCAAUAUUAUAGUGCGUAUGUAAGACUUUCUUUUAGGUCUUAUUUGAGAUGAUUCACAAGAGAUUGAGAGCAGCCACACAGAGAGAAAAGUGAGAAAGUGCAGAUUUUCGAACAAGCCCUAGCAGCAAAUUCCAAAUCGCGAUUCCCGCUUCGUUACUUAUCCGAUUGAGCUGAUUUUUGGACAGCUUGUUCCUUUCAACUUGAUCUUUGAUUGGGAACUGAGAGAGAGUGAUUUGGAGUCCUGUAGCUCCAGAUAUUUGCUCGUGAAUAGUAGCUGCGGGUUUGGUGUUUUUGCUUCUUUUAUUUCUCUAGUUUUUUGGUGCUAUCUUGUAGUUGUGGUUGCUCAUUGUUUGGCACUUUGUUGGUGGCCAUUUUGUAGAACACUUUUGUAACUUUUGUUGAUUAUAGCGGAGCUUUGGCCUUGUGGUUUUUACUCUUCACAUCGAAGAGGUUUUCCAUGUUAAAUUUGGCAUCUCAUGUGUUGAUUUGCUUUGCUUGCUUUGGUUGAUUUGUUUGCUGCCCCAAAUAGUCUAUUCUUGCAUUAUUUUGUCUUCUCUUGGUUCAAAUAGAAAGGGAAAGUUUUGACUUGGGUUUUUCUUGCGCUAUUGCCCUGUCGUACACAUUUAUUUUGUGUUUGCCUUUCCCAACAUAAACAAAGCUUUGAACGAGGUAGGAACUUGGAGCAAGAACCAACUGCCACAAAGGGAUAACAUAGACAUACAAAUAUGGGAAUCAAAUUAUAAUCGGGUACACGACCAUAAAGUUGUUCAAAUGGGGAUUGAAAACACAACACUGGAAGAGGAAUAACAUUAAUAAGGGAGACAACAUACAAACAAGCAUCAGCCCAAAAUUUAAAGGACAUAGAUGCUUGAAAAAUAAGACAACGUAGGACAUUGGCAAUUUGUCUAUGUUUUCGCUCAGCUCUACCAUUUUGAACAGAUGUGUGAGGACAAGAAAGACGAUGGACUAUGCCAUUUUGUUUGAGGAAAGAACUAAAAUUGUUGUUAACGUAUUCACCACCUCCAUCAGACUGGAAAUAAGAAAGAGGAUUCAAAAACAUUUUUGACCAUUGUAUAAAAUUCUUUAAAUUUGUCAAUGGAUUUAGAUUAUUCGCGCAUCAAGUAAACCCAAGAGAAUUUGGUGUGAUCAUCAAGAAAUAAAAUGUAAUAACGAUAACUAGAAUUUGAGACAAUAGGAGCAUGCCAUACAUCCGAAUGAAUCAAAACGAAUGGAGAACUUGCAUUAUUACUUGAUAACGGAAAAGACAUGCAAGUUUGUUUGCCUAAAUGACAAACAUUACAAGAACUAUUGCUAAUAGAAGAAGUACUACUGAUCAAUUUUCUAACAACCAAAGAGCUAAGAGACUCUCGGCCAGGAUGUCUGAGACGCUGGUGCCAAAGAGAAGAAAGAAAAUUUUUAGAAAAGAGGCCAAAGUUGGAGGAGCCAUAUGUAUAGAAACCCAGAAUUAUUACUGCAGAGCAAUGUUGUUCCGGUCUUCAUAUCCUUGACAAAAAAACCAGAGUUAGUAAAGUGAAUAAAACAAUUAUUAUCAGCACAUAAGCGUUGAAUAGAAAGUAGAUUUUUAGUAAGGGAAGGAACAUAUAAAACUUUCUUUAAGAGAAGAGGCUUAGAAGUCGUCGGAAGAGUAGAUGAACCAAUAAAGUUAAUAGAUAGAAGAGUACCAUCUCCAACCAUAACUUGAGAAGAACCAGAAUAAGUGUGACAUCUUGCAAAUUGAUAACUAGGAAGAAGCUUAAAAAUCAGAAAUAGUCUUUUUGGAAGGAAUUCAAAAAUCUGGAAAAUUUGGUUGAGUGUGGAAAAAAAAAGUGAGUUUUUUGGCCAACUUUGAACAGUCAUAACUCCUAUCUCAGGAUGAGUUAGGUGUAGUUCCAGUUAUGUUUGAAAAUCCCUUGGAAUGAUCUUUCCAACGUCGCCUAGUUUGCUCGAUUCCGAGUUCGUAUGAGUGAGUUAUGCCCUUUGGAAGUUGGGCUGUUGGCAGGGCAGUUAACCCGAUUUUGUAAGGGUAAUUUGGUCUUUUCCCUAGCAAUUUAUUUUGGUCAUAUUAAGGAGUUAGACUGAUUUUAAAUCAGUUUUUCUUUGUUUUAAAAUAUUGAGAGUAAGGGUUUGUGAGUGAAGAGGAGAAGAAGAGGAGAAAGAGAAGAUCAAGCAAGGAAUCGUCGUGGUUUUCGUCGAGGGUGAUCCCUAUUCAGGUAUGUGAGAUCAUAGUGUUGGGUUAGUUCAUUCCCCCACACGCCAGAUUCGUUUUAAUUUCUGAGAAAAGAUUUGGUUGUGUUUUAUUAAAGUCUUGUGGUUGUGGUUGUGGUUGUGUUGUUGAAGUUCUUGUGGAUUUGAGACAUGUUUAAGGUUGUGUUUUCGAGUUGAAUCUAUUGUGUAUUAAGGGUUUUUAAUGAUCCCAAGUGUUUGUGAGAUCAAAGUCAAGUGAAGUUAAGAGUCAAGUCUAGAAGUUAAGAAGCAAGUCAAAGCAAGUCUUUAAAGUUUUUCAAGAGUCUUUAUUAAACGUUUUAACUUCGUUUUAAGGCUCAAGUUCAAGUUAAGCCAAGAGUAUAGAGUUGAGUUCAUUUUCUCAAAAGUUAUUAGGGAACUGUGUAUUCCCAAAGAAGUUUCUAAAUGUUUUUACAUUUGAGUAAGAAAGGAACUAUGAUUCCAAAAGAGCCUUUGGGCUAGUUUUCAAGAAAAAGGAACAUCGAUUCAAGGUGAGCCUUUGGGCUAGAUUUUGAGCAAUUAUCUCAAACUAAAGAAGGAUGUGUUUAAAACACUUAUGAGCUAAAGUAUUUUUGGGAGUAGUAUUGAGCACCGAAUUAGGGACGCGAGUUCAUAUUUACUCAACUCUCCAUAAGAACCAUGUAGCCAAACAUGGGAAUUAACGGGUCAUCCUUUUUAGAUGAUCACGUAAGAUUAAGCUAGUGGAUCCACUAAGUUAAGUAAGGUUCUAUAUCACGGCAAGGUAUAGGAUGGUCCUUGGGCAACGUGAGGUAAAACGUUGUAUCAUCACUAGGGCUCAUAGUGGUGGUUGUCGGUUAAAGAAUCUCCCACUAAAGUUAUAUUACUUUUAUAUAAGUAAAGUUGAGUUUGUUAUUGUUUUAUCCUUAACGAACUAAGUUGUUUAAUUUGUUUUACAAGCAUAUAUAUAUAUAUAUAUAUAUGUAUUGCAUGUGCCUUAUUUCUUUAUAUUGAGUUCGGUUAUUCAUGAGUCGAGCAGAGCCAAGGUAGGAGUUCCUUUGUAUUCCUUUCAAGCUUAAGUUGUUGUUUAGCCUUCCAGCUUGCAUACUCGUACAUUCAAGCUCGCAUACUCAUACAUUCAAUGUACUGAUGUCAGUUGGCCUGCAUCUUAUUAUGAUGCAGAUACAGGUACCCAGGAUCAGCAUCCUACACGUCAUUGAUCGAGUUGAGUACUCCAGAGUCAGUGGUGAGCCUCCUUGUUUUCCGGAGGACUCUGUUAUUUUGUGUUCUUAGUUUUGUUUUGGUAGGAUGUUGCGGGGUCUGUCCCAACAUCCACCUCAGUAUUUUAGAGGCUUCAUAGACAGUCAGUCAGUUAGUAUUUGAGUCUCUCAUCUAUGUAUAUUUGUAAAUGUUCUAUUUUGAGACACGAGUUGCCUUUUGGCAUGGUAUGCAUCAGUUGAGUUGUUUUAUAACCUUGCAUUGCAUUGAGUUAUUCUGUUGAGUUAGGUUUCCGCUGAGUUAAGAAAGCCAGGCCAAUGGUUCUCUUGGGGCCAGCAAUUGUCUUUGGGUGCCGGUACCGCCCAGGGUGUUGGCUCGGGGCGUGACAAACUUGGUAUCAGAGCCCAGAGUUCAAGAGUCCUAGGGAGUCUAUGAAGCCGUGUCUGUAGAGUCCUAGUUAUCGGUGUGAAGCGCCACAUCUAUAAUUGGGAGGCUAAGACACUUAGGAAGAUUUCUCAUUUCUUUCACACUCAUCUCGUGCGUUACAGUUGAUCUCUAAAAAGUAUUUUUCUAAUACGUGCUUGCGCGUGUUUUCAGAUAAUCAUGCCUCCACGAAGAGUUGGCGAGAGGGCGCCUUCCUAGACGUUAUGUUGAUGAGCAAGAGUUACCUUAUGCCCAGGAGUGCAACCACAAGGGGAAGUUUCUAAAUGCCGAGUUCAGAGAGGCAAUUAGAAUUCUGAGUCAAGCAGUAACUAAUCAGAUUGGUCAGCAAAGGGGAGCUCGACAUGAAGGAGCUGACACUUCAAGGAUUCGUGAGUUCUUGGGGAUGAAUCCUCCCAGUUUCAUAGGUUCGAGUACUACAGAGAAUCCAGAGAACUUCAUUGAGGAGCUGAAGAAGAUUUUUGAUGUGAUGCAUGUGGCAGAUACUGAGCGGGUUGAACUAGCUGCGUAUCAAUUGAAGGAUGUUGCUAGAACUUGGUUCGACCAGUGAAAAGGGGGCAGAGUUGAGAAUGCACCACCUGCGAACUAGGCCUGUUUUGAGGAAGCUUUCUUGGGGAGUUUCUUUCCUCGAGAAUUGAAAGAGGCCAAGGUACGUGAGUUCCUCACACUUAAGCAGGAUUCUUUAAGUGUUCAGGAGUACAGUCUGAAGUUCACACAGCUAUCCUGCUAUUCUCCGAAGAUGGUCGCGGACAUGAGGAGUAGAAUGAGCUUGUUUGUUGCUGGGCUGUCUUGUCUGUCGAGUAAGGAAGGUAGGGCUGCAAUGCUUAUCAGGUACAUGGACAUAUCAAGGUUGAUGGUUUAUGUGCAGCAGGUUGAGGAAGAGAAACUGAGGGAUAGGGAAGAGUUCAGAAAUAAGAGAGCUAAGACCGGUAGUGAGUCCGGGCAGCAGAGAGGUAAUGCGAGCCGUCCAUCCUUUCAACAAAGGCAAAAGGGACCUGCUCCAUCAUCUGCUAGGGCACCUGCACCCAGAUACAGAGGUGAACAUAAUGGCCAGAAUUCGAAGGACUUCAAGACUAGACCAGAACAUUAUUCAGGUAGUAUGGCACAAUGAGGUAGUUUGACCCCUGCAUGUGCUAGGUGUGGUAGAACCCACCCAGGGAGAUGUCGUGAUGGUCAGACAUGUUGUUUUAAGUGUGGGCAAGAGGGUCACUUCNNNNNNNNNNNNNNNNNNNNNNNNNNNNNNNNNNNNNNNNNNNNNNNNNNNNNNNNNNNNNNNNNNNNNNNNNNNNNNNNNNNNNNNNNNNNNUUUUGUAACUCCUUAUGUUGCGAAUAAGUUUGAUGUUCUUCCUGAAAGACUUUGUGAACCCUUUUGUGUUUCUACACCUGUUGGGGAGUCUAUUUUAACAGAAAAAGUUUAUCGUGAUUGUCCUGUUUUCAUUAAUCACAAGAGCACCAUGGCUGAUUUGGUUGAGUUAGACAUGGUAGAUUUCGACGUUAUUCUAGGUAUGGAUUAGCUUCAUGCAUGUUAUGCAUCAUUAGAUUAUAGAACUCGAGUGGUCAGGUUUCAGUUUCCGAAUGAGCCAGUCAUAGAGUGGAGUAGUAGUUCAGCAGUGCCUAAGGGUCGUUUCAUUUCGUACCUUAAGGCGAGAAAGUUAGUUUCGAAGGGUUGUAUCUAUCACUUAGUCCGAGUUAACAACUCUAGUGUUAAGAUACCUCAUUUUCAGUCAGUUCCUAUAGUAAGAGAGUUUCCAGAAGUUUUUCCUAAUGAUCUACCCGGAAUUCCUCCUGAGAGAGAAAUAGAAUUUGGCAUAGACCUCAUUCCAGAUACUUGUCCAAUCUCUAUUCCGCCAUAUAGAAUGGCACCAGCAAAGUUGAAAGAGUUGAAAGAGCAGUUGAAAGAUCUCCUAGAUAGGGGUUUCAUUCGACCAAGUGUCUCACCUUGGGGCGCUCCGGUCUUGUUUGUGAGAAAGAAAGAUGGUUCCCUUAGAAUAUGUUUAGAUUACCGCCAGUUGAACAAGGUUACCAUUAAGAAUGAAUACCAUCUUCCGAGGAUUGAUGAUCUUUUCGAUCAGCUUCAGGGUGCCACUUGUUUUUCGAAGAUUGACCUCAAAUCAGGCUAUCAUCAGUUAAGAGUAAGGGAAUGUGAUAUUCCAAAGACAGCUUUCAAAACCAGAUACGGUCAUUACGAGUUUUUGGUCAUGUCCUUUGGUUUGACCAAUGCACCGGCAACUUUCAUGGACCUUAUGAAUAGAGUUUUCAAACCUUAUUUAGAUAUGUUUGUUAUCGUCUUCAUUGAUGACAUACUAAUCUAUUCAAGGAAUGAAGAAGAUCAUACUAGCCAUCUUAGAAUAGUUCUUCAUACUUUGAAAGACAAUGAGUUGUAUGCCAAGUUCUCUAAGUGUGAGUUUUGGCUUGAGUCCGUGGCCUUCUUAGGCCAUAUUGUGUUUGGUGAUGGAAUUAAAGUUGAUACUCGGAAAAUUGAGGCAGUGCAGAAUUGGCCUAGACCCACAUCUCCAACUGAUAUUAGGAGUUUCUUGGGGUUAGCUGGCUAUUAUAGAAGGUUUGCAGAGGGGUUCUCGUCUAUUGCAUCUCCUUUGACCAAGUUGACUCAGAAGACAGUGAAAUUUCAAUGGUCUGAAAUUUGUGAGAAAAGCUUUCAGGAGUUGAAAAAGAGAUUGAUUACUGCUCCAGUUUUGACUUUACCAGAAGGUACUCAAGGUUUUUUGGUGUAUUAUGAUGCAUCUAGAGUUGGUUUGGGUUGUGUCUUAAUGCAGAAUGGCAAGGUUAUAGCUUAAUUAUGCCUCCAGACAGUUGAAGGUUCAUGAAAAGAACUACCCAACCCAUGACUUAGAGUUGGUUGUUGUAGUAUUCGCUUUUGAAGAUAUGGUGUCAUUACUUGUAUGGUGUGCAUGUUGUCAUAUUCACUGAUCACAAGAGUCUUCAAUAUGUGUUCACUCAGAAAGAGCUUAAUCUCAGACAGAGGAGGUGGUUAGAAUUACUCAAGGAUUAUGACCUGAGUAUUCUUUACCACCUAGGUAAGGCUAAUGUUGUUGCUGAUUCUUUAAGCAGGUUGUCUAUGGGUAGCACCGCCCAUGUUGAAAAAGGGAAAAAAGAGUUAGCAAAAGAUGUGCUCAUACUGGCACGCCUGGGCGUCAGACUUAUGAAUUCCACAGAAGGAGGUAUAGCGGUGGCGAACGGGGCCGAGUCAUCAUUAGUGUCAGAAGUGAAAGAGAAACAAGACCAAGAUCCCAUUUUGCUUGAGUUGAAGGCAAAUGUUCAAAAGCAAAGAGUAUUAGCUUUUGAACAAGGGGGAAAUGGUGUUUUGAGGUAUCAAGCUAGAUUAUGUGUACCUAUGGUGGAUGGUCUCCAAGGGAGGAUUAUGGAAGAAGCUCAUAGAUCUAGAUAUUCCAUUCAUCCGGGUUCCACUAAGAUGUAUCGUGACUUGAGAGAAGUCUAUUGGUGGAAUGGCAUGAAGAAGGGCAUUGCAGAGUUUGUGGCUAAGUGUCCAAAUUGCCAGCAAGUGAAAGUUGAACACCAAAGGCCCGGUGGUUUAGCUCAGAGGAUAGAACUUCCGGAAUGGAAGUAGGAGAUGAUCAAUAUGGAUUUCAUCAUAGUGUUGCCAAGGUCUCGUAGACAGCAUGAUUGUAUUUGGGUAAUUGUCGACAGAAUGAAAAAGUCAGCCCAUUUUCUACUGGUAAAGACUACCCAUUCAACAGAAGAUUAUGCCAAGUUAUAUAUUCAAGAGAUAGUGAGACUUCAUGGAGUCCCAGUCUCCAUUAUUUCAAAUAGAGGUGCACAGUUCUGGAAAUCUUUUCAGAAAGGCUUGGGUUCGAAGGUGAACUUAAGUACUGCCUUUCAUCCUCAGACUGAUGGGCAAGCAGAGAGCACUAUUCAGACUCUAGAAGAUAUGUUGAGGGCUUAUGUGGUCAAUUUCAAAGGUAAUUGGGAUGAUCACCUACCUCUCAUUGAGUUUGCCUACAACAACAGUUAUCACUCUAGCAUCCAGAUGGCUCCAUAUGAAGCUCUUUAUGGGAGAAGAUGUAGAUAUCCUAUUGGAUGGUUUGAAAUUGGUGAAGCAGGGUUGAUAGGACCAGAUUUAGUUCACCAAGCUAUGGAGAAGGUGAAAGCGAUUCAAGAGAGGUUGAAAACGGUACAGAGUCGUCAGAAAUCCUACACUGAUGUUAGGAAAAGGGCGUUAGAGUUUGAAGUAGGUGAUUGGGUAUAUUUGAAAGUUUCACCUAUGAACGGGGUUAUGAGGUUUGGUAAGAAGGGGAAACUCAAUCCCCGGUAUAUUGGACCUUAUCGCAUAGUCAAGAGGAUUGGCAAUGUUUCUUAUGAGUUGGAGCUACCACAGGAAUUAGCAGUGGUUCAUCAGGUAUUUCACAUCUCCAUGUUGAAGAAGUGCAUAGACGAUCCUUCAUUUAUCCUACCGAUUGAAAGUAUUCGGAUCAAGGAUAGCUUAUCUUAUGAGGAGAUUCCUGUUCAGAUUUUAGACCGCCAAGUUCGUAGGUUGAGAACGAAAGAGGUAGCCUCAGUCAAGGUCCUUUGGAGGAACCAAUUUGUUGAGGAAGCUACUUGGGAAGCCGAAGAGGACAUGAAGAAGAGCUAUCCACAUCUCUUUGAAUUCAGAGGAAAUGUAGAUCAAGGUAUUAAUUUCCUUAUUAGUGCUCUUUAAAUUAUAGUGAGCAUGUUGUUGUUGUUGUUGCAUGAUUGCUUGUAGGGUGUUUGAAUUGAUGUUACACCCUUAGCCUUGUAAGAGUAACCUCAUUCGAGGACGAAUGCUCCCAAGGGGGAGAUAUUGUGACUUCUUGCAAGUUGAUAACUAGGAAGAAGUUUAAAAAUCAGAAAUAGUCUUUUUUGGAAGGAAUUCAAAAAUCUGGAAAAUUUGGUUAAGUGUGGAAAAAAAAGUGAGUUUUUUGGCCAACUUUGAACAGUCAUACCUCCUAUCUCAGGAUUAUUUCUGUGUAGUUCCAGUUACGUUUGAAAAGCCCUUGGAAUUAUCUUUCCAACGCCGCCGAGUUUGCUCGAUUCCGAGUUCAUAUGAGUGAGUUAUGCCCUUUGGAAGUUGGGCUGUUGGCAGGGCAAUUAACCCGAUUUUGUAAGGGUAAUUUGGUCUUUUCCCUAGCCAUUUAUUUUGGUCUUAUUAAGGUGUUAGACUGAUUUUAAAUCAGUUUUUCUUUUUUUAAAAAGAGUGAGAGUAAGGGUUUGUGAGUGAAGAGGAGAAGAAGAGGAGAAAGAGAAGAUCAAGCAAGGAAUCGUCGUGGUUUUCGUCGGGGGUGAUCCUUAUUCAAGUAUGUGAGAUCAUAGUGUUGGGUUAGUUCAUUCCCCCACACGCCAAAUUCGUUUUAAUUUCUGAGAAAAGAUUUGGUUGUGUUUUAUUGAAGUCUUGAGGUUGUGGUUGUGUUGUUGAAGUUCUUGUGGAUUUGAGACAUGUUUUAGGUUGUGUUUUCGAGUUGAAUCUAUUGUGUAUUAAGGAUUUUUAAUGAUCCCAAGUGUUUGGGGAAAGAACCUUUGAAGUUAGGAGGGUUUAGAGUUGGUAACACGAAGGAGAAAAGUCGGGCAGCUUGCAUGAAACAAGUCUGCGUCGCAGACUUAUUCCCUCUGUGAACGAAAUCUGCUCCGCGUCGCGGACAGGAUGCGGACUCCACUGUUUCGAAAAUUUAAUUUUGUAAUUUUUCUUAAGUUUAACUGUCUUAAAUCAUUCCUAAACAUCAUAAGGUCUUUCCAAACACAAAUCAUAGUCCUUGAAUCAAUAAUUCAAUUCAAGAAAGUUAGGAUCAAAGUCAAGUGAAGUUAAGAGUCAAGUCUAGAAAUUAAGAAGCAAGUCAAAGCAAGUCUUUAAAGUUUUUCAAGAGUCUUUAUUAAACAUUUUAACUUCGUUUUAAGGCUCAAGUUCAAGUUAAGCCAAGAUUAUAGAGUUGAGUUCAUUUUCUCAAAAGUUAUUAGGGAACUGUGUAUUCCCAAAGAAGUUUCUAAAUAUUUUUACAUUUGAUAAGAAAGGAACUAUGAUUCCAAAAGAGACCUUUGGGCUAGAUUUUGAGCAAUUAUCUCAAACUAAAGAAAGAUGUGUUUAAAACACUUAUGAGCUAAAGUAUUUUUGGGAGUAGUAUUGAGCACCGAAUUGGGGACGCGAGUCAUAUUUACUCAACUCUCCAUAAGAACCAUGUAGCCAAACAUGGGAAUUAACGGGUCAUCCUUUUUAGAUGAUCACGUAAGAUUAAGCUAGUGGAUCCACUAAGUUAAGUAAGGUUCUAUAUCAUGGCAAGGUAUAGGAUGGUCCUUGGGCAACGUGAGGUAAAACGUUGUAUCAUCACUAGGGCUCAUAGUGGUGGUUGUCGGUUAAAGAAUCUCCCACUAAAGUUAUAUUACUUUUAUAUAAGUAAAGUUGAGUUUGUUAUUGUUUCAUCCUUAACGAACUAAGUUGUUUAAUUUGUUUUACAAGCAUAUAUAUAUAUAUAUGUAUGUAUUGCAUGUGCCUUAUUGCUUUAUAUUGAGUUCGGUUAUUCAUGAGUCGAGCAGAGCCAAGGUAGGAGUUCCUUUGUAUUCCUAUCAAGCUUAAGUUUUUGUUUAGCCUUCCAGCUCGCAUACUCGUACAUUCAAUGUACUGAUGCCAGUUGGCCUGCAUCUUAUUAUGAUGCAAAUACAGGUACCCAGGAUCAGCAUCCUGCACGCCGUUGAUCCAGCUGAGCACUCCAGAGUCAGUGGUGAGCCUUCUUAUUUUCCGGAGGACUCUGUUAUUUUGUGUUCUUAGUUUUGUUUUGUUAGGAUGUUGCGGGAUCUGUCCCAACAUCCAACUCAGUAUUUCAAAGGCUUCAUACACAGUCAAUUAGUUAGUAUUUGAGUCUCUCAUCUAUGUAUAUAUGUAAAUAUUCUAUUUUGAGACAUGAGUUGCCUUUUGGUAUGUUAUGCAUCAGUUGAGUUGUUUUAUAACCUUGCAUUGCAUUGAGUUAUUCUGUUGAGUUAGGUUUUCCGUUGAGUUAAGAAAGUCAGGACAAGGGUUCGCUUGGGGACAACAAUGGUCUCCGGGUGCCGAUCCCGCCCAGGGUGUAGGCUCAGGGCGUGACAAUAAGGAAUGAGAGCAGUAAGAGUGGAAGGAUCAUUAGUCAUGUGCGCAGAUGCUCCAGAGUCCGAGUACCAGACGGUUGGUUGAACCUCCUCCAAAUUCAUGGCAACAAAUGAUUGAGGAUUAUUGUUAGCCACAAAGGAAUGGUUGAACCUGUUUCUACACUAUAAUGCAGUGUGGUUAUAGUGAAAACAAAUUUGACAUUGUUUCGUAGGAGCAAAAGGAACUUUACCCAAAAUACCAGCACUAAGGGAAAGAGGCCGAGAUUGAUGUUGGAAACCAGAACAUGAAGAGUUGUGGUAGCCUCGACCUCUACCAUAUUGACCCCUGUUAUUUCUGCCACGGCCGCAUCCAUUAAAGUUUCCUUUUGCAGGCUGAUUUCCAUUAACGGAUGACGAGGAAUUAGAAGUGUUCUUCCCUUGAGUGGACGCCAACAAUGCAGUUUGAGGAUUUGACUCUUCAGAAGUAUGUGCAUUAAUGUGAGCUUCUUCGGUGAGAAGAAGUGGUCGUAAUGCAAUGAAGGAAGGAAGCGUUCCAGUAGCAUUUAAUCUAGACACAAAGGUCCGAUAGGAAAGAGGUAAUCCUUGCAAAUCUUGAGUGACUAAAUCAUCAUCAAUUACAGGUUUACCGAUUGCCCUAAGAGAGCAGGCAACCGAGUGAAGUUAUUGAAGAUAAUCUUCCAUGGAAAGGGAACCUUUUUUGAAAUUCUGGAAUUCGGACUUGAGAUGAAUGACGGAGGAAGACACUUGAUCUAAAUAUAGGAAGGCUAAGGUGUCCCAAGCUUGUUUAGAUGUCUCACAAGCAUAGUUCAAAAGUGUGUCAAGAACAGCGGAAGAAAGGGUUGCAUUAAUCCAACUUAAUGCAAUAGUAUCACAUUGAAUCCAUAGCCUGAAAUCAGCAUGCUCGGGUGGUGGGCAUGGUACAGUUCCAUCGAAUAAGGAGAGAAGGUUGUGACUUUUAAGGACGGUGAGAAAAACUUUCUUCCAGUUAAGGUAGUUGACGUAUGUCAAUUCUAUAGUAACAAAACCUUUGAUAUUGGAUAUUGUCGGAGGGGGAGUUGGAAGGCCAAGAGUAGAUUGACUCAAGGAGGACGGUUGCGCAGAGGAAUUUUCGAGACCCAUGGAAAAGAUCAUUUAGGGCUCUUGAUAUCAAGAUGAAAGAGAUAAAGUGAAGGUAAAACCGUGAGCCUUGCUCAUUCUGUAUUCUUGUAUUUGUAUUUACAACAUUAACAAUUAGUAAAAGAAUAAAUACUAAAUAGAGUUUUACUACAACUAGUACAUAAUAAGUUAACUCCAACAAGUACAUGAUAGACUAGUUAAAAUUUUAAUUCUAAAGUGAAAGAAAUUUAGCAUUGUCAAAGAAUAAACCUACACAUUCAAAUAAUAUGGAUUUCGUUUUAAGAUAAAUAUACUAAUAAUUAUUAAUAUAAGGGAUUCCCUUAAUAUAAAAUAAACGUGCAAACACAUGUGUCGGUAAACAUAGAUAGAUAUAUAAUAACGUGAAGCAAAUGGCGGAUGUACUCAUUCAAAAAGACAAAAAUUCAUAUAUAUAAAAAUAAAGAAUAAUUUUGCAAAUCAAGAAAACUCUUAACUUAUUGUUUUAAUUUUUUUUUUGCCACGUUCCAGCUUUGAUUCUUGCUAAAAGCAACUGUUACAAAAUAUAAAUAAAUCUAAAAUAGUGAGAACAAAUACUCCUAAAUAAUAAGCCGAUUGAUGCACGUGCAUUGCGUGUACGGUCCUACAUAUGAUAAUGAAAAUAAAUAUUAAUGGUCGAAAAAAUAGCAGAAAUCGCUGGAGAAAACUGGUGGAUGAACUCCGCCCCUCUCUGUGGAGCCAGGAAUUUUACAAAGGAAUUCGAACACGCGAGUACUAUCUCAUAUAUAUAUAUAUCAAUUUUUUUAAUAAAGUUGUGUCCCAUGACACUCCUUGGGCCUUUCUAGAUCCGCCCCUAAUUGGACUAAUAUAUAUAUCCAUUUUUUCUGAUAAAGCCGUGUCCCAUGAUACCCCUUGGGCCUUGCUAGAUCCACCCCUAAUUGGACUAAUAUAUAUAUAUCAAUUUUUUCCGAUAAAGUCGUGUCCCAUGACACCCCUUGGGCCUUUCUAGAUCCGCCCCUAAUUGGACUAAUAACAACUUGUUGUGUUAACGGUGUUCUAAAUAUGUUAUUUACUCAUUUCGUGUAUCAUUUUACUUGUAGAUACGAUGUCUUUUUUUCAACGAAGGGUGUCCAAAUGACCAUCCUGACAACCAUGUAGCUAUGCCGCUGCUCUCCCCCUUCCACCCCUUCCCACACACACGUCGAUAAAAUACUAAUAUGAAUAAUUGUAUUUUAAGGAACUUCUAAAAAUUUAAGUGGACGCAUAUGAGUGUUAGUGAUCGGUAGAGGAGUUCACAUUUUGGGUAGAAAUCAGUCCAAAUCGAUUUAAUAAAUUUAUUUCUAUUUGGUUUGAUUUUACCUUUUUCAAAAUUGAUAAUAUUUUAUUUAAUUUUAAUUUUAUUAAUUUUUUUUGAAGAAAUAACUAAACCAACAAAUUAUAUACAUAUUUUUUUUAUUAUAAUUAGAUACAUAAUAUAUUAUGGAGUAUUUUUUUUAUGAAAAAAAAUUAAACAAAAAAUGCAACACACACAUUAAAGAGAGUAAGGUAUGAUGCGUCUUUUAUUUGUGUAGCAAUAAAAAUAUUUUAUGUAUUAUUCAAUAAGAUUAUGAUGUCUUAUACAUUGAAUAGCUAACAAUAUAAGCAGAAAGUUAAACAUAAUUGAUAUUCUGAUAUAAAGAUUAGAAGAUCCAAUUUUUUUAUUUUUUUUAUAUAUGAUUAAUAAUCAAAUAGUCGAAUUUAAAAAAAUAAAAUAAAUAAUUAAUAGAAUCAAAUCAAAAUUGAUAAUAAACAAACAAACAAAGAAAAAAAUAUUUUAUUUAAUUCUAAUUUUAAUAUUUAACAGGAUCCAGCGUGAACAUUCUUAAUUACCGGAGUGAUGGAAAUAUAACUCAAGUCCAAUUAGUCUCAUUUAUCACGUGGUUUGGUUAGAACAUACUCUAUCUAUCCCAUAAUAGUUGAUUUUUUUUUACAUAUAUAUUAUAAAUCAUAAAUAAGAAAAUUAUUUUACUAAUUCACCCCUUAAAAAAACCUCUUAAAUUUUUUUACAAACAAAUAUAACUACUUUUUUUUAAAAAAAAAUUGCAAAAAUAAUACCAGAAAAAUUUAAAUAAUGCUUUCUUGAUCUAAUAAGAUAUUCCCUCUGUCCGUAAUCACUUGUCCACUUUUGAUUUUGUACACUUAUUAAGAAAAUAAUGAUUGACAUAGUGAGUUUACCAUUUUACCCCAAUUAAUUAUUAUGAAGUGAAUGAAUUAAAAAAUUUAGAGUUUCAAAAAUUUCUACAUUUUUCAAAGUAAUUAAUUGAGGAUAUAAUAGGUAAAAAAAGAGAUUGUUCUUUCUUAAUUUGUCAAAAUGAACAAAUAAUUAUGGACAAUUAAAAAAAAAGUGAACAAGUAAUUAAGAAAGAAGGAAGUAAACAACUAAUAUAAGAUAAUUAUUUUUAGUAAGUGAUCAAUUAAUAUGAGAUCGAAUAAGUAACUGUUUGUUUGUUUGUGCCUUGGGACGCCAUCAUUUUGUACAUUGUCAUUUUACACCUCCUUUUUGAAGUGUGCAUUUCGUGUUGAAAGCUCAACUGAUUUAAAACGUGGCUUUAUUAUUUUUUUAAUACACCCACCUCCCCACUACCCAAAAAAAUCAUCUGGUAUAUAUUCAUUCAAAUUCCUCUUCCUUCUUUCAUUAACUCUCUCUCUUAUCUCAACUUCUAAAUAAAUUUUCCAUUAUCACUAAAAAAAAUAAACUUGUUUGUUGAUUAUUCUUUGCUCUCAAUUAAUUGAAGAAAAUGAGAAGAAAUUGUAAUUUGGAGCUCACGCUUAUGCCUCCUUCUAUUUCAGAUAAUUUCUCUUCUAAGAAUUGCACAAUGUAAGUCAUUCUACCUCUUUUAAUUUAUACUUCUUGUAAUAAGUAAUAUUCAUAAGGUAUUGAUUAUAUAUUUGUUCUUAUGUACUAUUAGGGAGGAUCAACAAUUGGAGAAUAAGCAAUCACAACAGCUGACUAUAUUUUACAAUGGAAAAUUUGUGGUUUCUGAUGCUACUGAACUUCAGGUAUGUCAGAUACUUAACCAAUUAAGCUUCUGCUAUUCUUACAAAGAAUAUGAAUUUAGUUUAAAAGAUGCAUUACUUUUAUUUUCUUACAUGAGUUAUUUUGUAUUGUAGGCUAAAGCUAUAAUAUAUCUUGCAAGUAGAGGAAUGGAGGUGAAAACAAACAAGAUGUCUGAUCCUUCAUCACCAUUAUUACAACCUCAAACUGGUUUAUUCAUGAAGCGAUCUCUACAAGGAUUUCUACAAAAACGAAAAAGAAGAGUUCAAGCAACUUCGCCAUAUCACCACUAGCUGCAUGCUACUGAUGAACGUCGCCUUAGUUUUAGUUCCAUUUGUUCAUACAUUUUUAUUUUUGGUGUUACUAAUAUGGUAGAUUUUUCCUAUAAGUGAUAUUAGCAAGUGUAUCACUUAUUUUACAGAUUUGUCAAUACAAAAAUUUCUCAAUUUCUCUCAUUAGCUUCAGGUGUGGUGAUCAGAACAUUUUUCCUCUCAAAGAUCUUUUCAGAAAAGAUAUCUUAUACUCCCUCUGUUCCAUUUUAUGUGAGUUAGUUUGAUUCGGUAUAGAGUUUAAGAAAGAAAGGAAAACUUUUAAAACUUGUGAUCGAAAAUAAAUGAUAGAAAUUUGUGUGACUGCAAAUCAUUUCAUUAAUGUUAAAAUAGAUAUUUUAUAGUUAAAUUGUUACUUAAUAUAGAAAUGUAUCAUUCUUUUUUGGACUGAUUAAAAAAAAAAGUAAGUCACAUAAAUCAGGACAGUAGUGCAUUAAGGUACAUCCUCUGGUCAAAAUUAGGGUCUCUGCAAACUUUGAUCCAAACUAGGAAAAAGUAUGAGCCAAACAUGAUAUGAAAUACAUAUUCAGAAUAAAAAAGAGUAGUUUUUGACGGAAUAACAAGACAUGAUUUGGUAGUAUUACCAAUAAUUGUUCAGAUCGAAGCUAAUAGUCUAGUACGACUUAUUUAAGUGAAUGAUUUCUUCAACAAUCAAAUUGGAAUAUAGAGAAACUCCACAACAUGAUUCCCAAUUGGCUUUGCCAACACAUCACUACUCACUAGUGUGAAGAUAUAUAGGAGCAUAUACAUCUGAUAAGAACUUUGUGAUUGACCAACAAAUUGAACUUUGAUGGUGUUUGCAAUCAUAUCUUGUAGCUGUUGAAUCGUUAUAGUAGCCGGUGAAGUAUAUUGUUUUGUGCAUUAAGAUUCAACUAUCUUAGUGGAAGAUUCAUUAUCAAUUUUUUUCUUUUUGCAGUGUUAGGUUGUGACUUAACUCUCUAGGACAAUAGAGAUCUAAUUUGCUCAUAAGUUGAGCGAUCUAAAGAUAUUUCUUUAAUGCCUUAAUGGUUUGCUUCAUCACAUAAAGUUGUUUGUCGACGUUGACUACAUCAGUUAUCAUGUAAGAUUAAAUACUUUAAUUUAAUACAUAAUAUCAGAAUCUUGAAUACGAUAAUCUUAUAUAGAGAUCGUUAGGGCAUAUAUACCUGAUGUGGAAGACGUCAUCACAGAGAGAAGCAGAAGCGUUAGUCGUAAAUUGGUUUCUACCUCCUUGCCCUAGCCUUACGUUACCACAACCAUCAACGAUGGAAUUAAUGUAGAGAAUAUGUGGUAACCGUAAUAGGUUGAUGGAGGACCAAUUUAUAGAGGUUAAGACUUAAUCUGGUACGUCCAUCAAAUAACCAAUGUACGGACGAGAUCUAUUAUUCAUUAAAUAUUAUUUAUGAUAUUACUUGGGCUACAAGUAAACUUGGGCCAUAAGUAAAAAAUAAUUAAUAAUUAUUACAUUCUUCCACUUGGCCCAAUGACCAUAUCACACUAAUAUUUCAUAAACAUUAGUUGCGCAUACUAUAAAUCUCUUCUAUAAUGUCCAUCAUACAUACCUCAAUAUAACAAACUAAUAAUGCGAGUUAUGGUGGUUGUACAUAAAUUUUAAGCUACAUACUUCCUUCCAUAUACUACUACAUUAGCAACUUAUCAUACUAGGUUCAUAAGCUAUAAAAAACAUAUAACAUUAUGAUCCACAAUAGUGUCUUAUCUUGUAAUAUCUCAAAAACAAUAAUGUAUACACCAUUAUGAGAAACAAGAAAUUUAUUAAUGUAUAUCAGAAACACAUAAUUGAACUCAGAGUGUAAAAACAUCCUAAAUGUAUCAAUCAUAAGUACAACCAAGACCCAUUCUUUGAACAUGUUCUUUAAAUGUCUUUGGUUGUAAGCCUUUUGUUAAUAGAUCUGCAAUCAUGAGAUCAGUUCUAAUAUUCUCAAGUAACACUCUUUGUUUCUAAACUUCUUCCUUGAUAGUAAAGUACUUUAAUUCCAUAUUUUUGGCACCUUUUGAGUACUUAUCAUUCUUGGAGAAGAAUACUGUUGCAGUAUUAUCACAAUAAUUUUUUAGCGGCUUGGUAAUGGUGUCGACAAGCCCAAGUCCUGAAAUGAAGUUCCGCAGCCAUAAUUCAUGAAUUGUGGCUUCAUAACAUGCCACAAAUUAUGCUUCCAUUGUGGAUGUAGCAAUGAUAGAUUGCUUAGCACUCUUCCACGAUAUUGCUCCUUCAGCUAAUAGGAACAAGUAUCCAAAGGUGGACUUUCUAGUGUCAACACAUCCAGCAAAAUCUGAAUUCGAGUAUCUAGUAACUUCUAAGUGAUUGGAUCUCUUAUACAUGAGCAUGUAAUCCUUUGUUCCUUUCAGGUACCUUAAGACUUUCUUUGCAGCUUUCCAGUGAUCAAUUCCAGGGUUACUUUGAUAUCUUCCCAGCAUUCCGACCGCAAAACUAAUAUCCAGUCUUCUGCAAGUUUGAACAUACAUCAAACUUCCUACAAUAUAAGAGUAAGGAAUUGUUUCCAUUUCUUUUCAUUUUACAUCAUUCUUUGGGCAUUGCAUGAGAUUAAAUUUGUCCCCAUUUUGAAUAGGAACUAUUCUUGCCGAACAGUUGUUCAUGUUAAAUCUCUCUAGAACUCUUUCGAUAAAGCCUUUUUGGGACAGUCCCAAUCAUCCUUGUGAUCUAUCACAGAAUAUUUCUAUCCCUAUCACAUAUGAUGCCUCACCCAUAUCUUUCAUUUCAAAGUUCAUAGAGAGAAAGUCUUUCAUCACGCAAUAUGCCUAAAUAAUUAGCAAUAAGUAAAAUGUCAUCAACAUACAACACUAAAAACAUAAACUUAAUCCCAUUGAUCUUUUGGUAUAUGCACCGAUCAACGGUAAUUUCCUUAAAUCCAAAAGAUUUUAUGGUAUUAUUAAACUUUAUAUACCAUUGUCGUGAGGCUGGUUUGAGUCCAUUUAUUGACUUCUUUAGCUUACACGCCAUUUGAUCUUUUUCUUUAAUUUCGAAACCCUCUGGUUGGUCCAUAUAAACAUCAUCCUCGAGGUCUCCAUUAAGAAAGACAGUUUUCACAUCCAUUUGAUGUAACUCUAAAUCAUAAUGAGCUACCAAAGCCAAAAUAAUUCUUAAUGAGUCUUUCUUUGAGACGGUGAAAAGGUCUCUUUAUAAUCAAUGCCUCUUUUUUAAGUUUAUCCCUUGGCAACAAGUCUGGCUUUAUAUCGUUCAAUAUUACCAUUAGAAUCGCGUUUGGUCAUGAAGACCCAUCUACACCAAAUUCUUUUAAAACUUUCUGGUAAUUGAACAAGAUCCCAUACUUUGUUGUAUUCCAUGGAUUUUAACUCUUCAUUCAUGGCAUCAAUCCAUUUAUCAGACUCAGUUCUUUCUAUGGACUGUGAAAAUAAAACUGGAUCUUUAUUAAUUCCAAUGUCAAAAUUUGACUCUUGCAAAUAAAUCACAUAAUCAUCUUAAAUGGCUGAUUUUCUUCCUCUUUGAGAUUUUCUGUCACGCCCCGAGCCUACACCCUGAGCGGGACUGGCACUCAAGAACCAUUGCUGGCCCGAAGCGAACCCUUGGCCUGACUUACUUAAUCAGGGGAAGAUUUAUACUCAACAAAGAUAAAAGUAUGCAAUAAACUGGAAUGUUAUAAAGGAACGUAACAUUCAACUUGCCAUUAAGGCAAACUCAAGCCUCAACAUAAGAUAAUGACAAUGAAAACACUAAAGAACUAACAUCUGACUGUCUAUGAAGCCUCUAAACAACUGAGAUGAUGUGGGGACAAGACCCAUGACAUCCUAAUGAACUAAUAAUAAAACUGAAAGCAAUAAAACGGAUCCUCCAAAAGCAAGGAGGCUCACCACAAGACUCUAAGUGCUCAACUGGAUCAACGAUGCGCUGGAUGUUGAUCCUGUUUACCUGUGUCUGCAUCAUAAUAAGAUGCAAGCCAAAUGGCAUCGGUACAUUGAAUGUACGAGUAUGCGGGGGGAAUUCUAAAACAAGACAUAAGCUUGAAAAGAACUAAAGAACUUACCUGGCUCAACUCAUCUCAACAUAACUAAACUCAUUUCAAUAUAAAGUAGUUUAAAACAAGUGCAAUAUAAAGAAACGUUGUGUAAAACAUAAUGUCAACUCUGUGUGUAUGCAAAGAUACAUAUAACUCUGAAAUAUAUGUAAAAAUACAAUAAACUGUGUAUAUAAGAAUACAAUUACUUAUGUGGGAGUUUCUCUAACCGACAACCAUCACGUAAGAGCUAUUGUGAUGAUACAACCUUUUGCCUCACGCUGUCAGGGCCGUCUUAUACCUUGCCGAAGGUAUAGAACCUGAACUACUAAGUGUAUCCACUAGUCUAUGCUAAAAAGCACUAAAGGAAUCAUCUAAAAAGUAUGACCCUUUUCAACCCAUGAUGGCUACAUGGUUUAUGGGGGCUGUGAGUUGUCUGAACUCUCCCUCAUAUCGGUGCUCAAUACUACUCCCAAAAAUAUGAUACUAACUCUUAUGUUUAAAAAACAUACCUCUUUCUGUGAUUUGAGAUAAUUGCUCAAAAACUAAGCUCAAAUGUUAUCUUGAAACUCAAAGUUUCCUCUCUUGCUUAAUUGUGAGAGCGUUUACUCUUUUCUGAAAACUAGCUCAAAGGCUCUUUGGAAAUCUCAGUUUCCUUUAUUAUUUAAAUGUGAAAACAUUUUUAAACUCUUUGGGAAUACAUAGUCCCCAUAUACUUCUUUGAAGAAAUGAACUUCAAACUUUACUCUUUACUCUUUACUCAACUUGAACUUUAAGUCUUAAGACAAAGUUAAAAGCAUUUGCAAAAGACUUCUUGAAAAGACUCUAAGAACUUCCUAGACUUGGCUCUUAACUUUCCUUGAAUUUGAAUUUAUGGAUUCAAGGUUAUGAUUCAUGUUUUCUGGAUGAUUUCUAGAUGUUUAGAGGUCAUUUUGUGUAGUUAGAAUCAAUGGAAAGUGUUAGUACACUUUAGAAGGACUUAAAUAGGCUAAACGACAAAAAACUGGUGAAAAACAACGAUUCGGGCGCAUCCCUGGCGCACCGUGCAAGCCCCAAUUUUUGGGGCUCCUUUUGGGCGCACUGCCGGUGCGCCUCCCCAGCCUCUCUGGCGCUAUGAGGGCGCAACGCGCCUGGCCCUCCUCAGGUGCGUCUGACGAAUUUUUUAACUCGUUUUUUAAUCCUAAAUCAUUUUAAAUCGAUUCUUUUUCUCAAUACUUUAAUAGAUUUAGAUACCUAAAGCAUGUACACUAGAACAUAACUCGAAAAAACUCUUAAAAUUACUAAAACGUCUCAAGAAAACCCAUCAAUCACAUGUAAGUUCAAAAAUGGAAACAAUUCAAGAACACAACUCAAGAAUAUCAAAUUCUAACUCCUUUAGGACGAAAAUCGCUGAAUUGAACAUGUUUGGCGCGUGGGUGAAUGGACCUUACACUAUGUGAUCUCACAUACCUCGUAGGGAUCACCCCUUGAUGAAAUCCACAAGCGAUUAUUUACAAAGACGACGAAUCUUGAACUUUCUUCUCCUUUCUCUUCUUUCUCUUUUCUCCAAGCCGCAGCAUGAACUUCCAAUUUUCUAAACUGACCAAAUUCUGAUUUGACCCUUAAUUAAUUCACUAAAAUGAAUUAAAUUAAUUGGGUAAGGAAAAAGACUAAAAUACCCUUCCAAAAUCCGGUUCUAGACUUUCCUUAUUUGAACAACCAACUUCGAAUGGACAUAUCUUACUCAUACAAACUCGAAAUCGCGCAAACUCAGCGGCGUUGGAAAGAUUAUUCAAAUAUCUUUCCACUAUCUGGAACACACCUAACUCAUCCUGAGCUAAAAUUUAUGGUCGUUUAAAGUUGACCGAAAAUCCAACUUAACAUACUUAACAAAUUUCCCAGAUAUUUAUAUUCUUUCCAAAAAUGACUAUUUCCACUUUUUAACUUCUUUCUAGUUCUUUCUAGUUACAGGGUGUUACAAUAUCUCCCCCUUGGGAACAUUCAUCAUCGAAUGAUCUUACUCUUAGUAGGCUAAGGGUGUAAUAUCUAACAUUCAGCUCAAACACCCAACAAGCAAUGCAAACACAACAUGCAAUCUCUUAAAUUAUAGAUCAGAGUACUAAGAAAGGAAUUAGUACCUUGAUCUUGAAUUUCUCCGGUUUCAAAGAGAUGUGGAUAUAUCUUCUUCAUAUCUCCUCCGCUUUCCAAGUAGCUUCCUCACCAAAUUGAUUCCUCCAAAGGACUUUGACUGAUGCUACUUCUUUAGUCCUCAACUUGCGAACUUAGUGAUCUAGAAUCUGGACCGGAAUCUCCUCAUAAGAUAAGAUAUCAUUGAUGCUAAUAUCUUUAGUUGGUAUAACCAAUAAAGGAUCACCCAUGCACUUUUUCAACAUGGAGAUGUGAAAGACCGGAUGAACCGCGGCUAACUCUUGUGGUAGCUCCAACUCAUAAGCUACAUUACCUACCCUUUUCGAUAUUCUGUAAGGGCAAAUAUACCGGGGACUAAGCUUCCCCUUCUUACCAAAUCUCAUAACUCUUUUCAUGGGUGAAACUUUCAAGUAUACCCAAUCAUAUACUUGAAACUCCAACUCCCUUCUCCUAACAUCGGUGUAGGAUUUCUGACGGCUCUACACCGUUUUCAACCUCUUUUGAAUCACUUUCACCUUCUUCAUAGCUUGAACUAGAUCUGGUCCUAUCAACCCUGCUUCACCAACUUCAAACCAUCCAAUAGGAGAUCUGCAUCUUCUCCCAUAAAGAGCUUCAUAAGGAGCCAUUUGGAUGCUAGAGUGGUAACUAUUGUUGUAUGCAAAUUAAAUAAAAUGUAGGUGAUCGUCCCAAUUUCCUUUGAAAUCAAUCACACAAGCCCUCAACAUAUCCUCUAAGGUCUGAACAGUGCGCUCUGCUUGACCAUCUAUCUGAGGAUGAAAAGUAGUACUUGAGUUCACCUGUGAACCCAAGCCUUUUUGGAAUGACUUCCAAAACUAUGCAGUAAAUUGUGCACCUCUAUCUGAUAUAAUCAAAACAGAGACUCCAUGAAGUCUUACUACCUCUUGAAUAUAUAACCUGGCAUAAUCCUCUACUGAAUAGGUAGUCUUUACCUAAAAAAAGUGGGCUGAUUUGGUCAAUCGAUCCACAAUCACCCAAAUAGAAUCAUGUUGCCUGCGAGACCUUGGCAAACCUGUGAUGAAAUUCAUAUUAAUCAUCUCCCACUUCCAUUCCGAAAGUUCUAUAUUCUGAGCCAUACCACCGGGCCUUUGGUGCUCUACUUUAACUUGUUGGCAAUUCGGACACUUAGCAACAAAUUCUGCAAUGCCCUUCUUCAUACUAUUCCACCAAUAAACUUCUCUCAAAUCGCGAUACAUGUUUGUGGAACCCGGAUGAAUGGAAUAUCUAAAGAUAGGAGCUUCCUCCAUGAUCCUCUCUUGGAGUUCAUCCACCCUUGGUACACACAAUCUACCUUGAUGCCUCAAAACACCAUCUUCCCCUUAUUCAAAAGCCAACACUUUUUGCUUAUGAACAUUUGCCUUCAAUUCAAGCAAAAUGGGAUCUUGAUUUUACUUCUCUUUUACUUCUGAUACUAAUGAUAAUUCAACCCCGUUUAUUACCAUUGCUCAUCCUUCUGUGGAAUCCAUUAGUCGGACUCCCAAGCAUGCAAGUCUAUGCACAUCUUUCGCUAACUCUCUUUUUUCUUCCUCAACAUGGGCGGUACUACCCAUAGACAACCUGCUUAAAGCAUCAGCAACCACAUUAGCCUUACCUGGGUGGUAAAGAAUACUCAUGUCAUAAUCCUUGAGUAAUUCUAACCACCUCAUUUGUCUGAGUUAAGCUCUUUCUAAGUAAACACAUACUGAAGGAUCUUGUGAUCGGUGAACACAUCUACAUGCACACCAUACAAAUAAUGACGCCAUAUCUUCAAAGAAAACACUACAACAGCCAACUCUAAGUCAUGGGUUGGGUAGUUCUUCUCACGAACUUUCAAUAGUCUGGCGGCAUAAGCUAUAACCUUGCCAUUCUGCAUUAAUACACAACCUAAACCAACUCUAGAUGCUUCACAAUACACCACAAAACCUUGCGUACCUUCUAGUAAGGUCAAAACUGGGGCAGUAGUUAACCUCUUUUUCAAUUCGUGAAAGCUUUUCUCACAAGCUUCAGACCAUUGAAACUUCACUGUUUUCUUAGUUAACUUGGUCAAAGGGGAUGAAAUAAAUGAGAACCCCUCUACGAACCUUUUAUAAUAGCCAGCUAAACCCAAGAAACUCCUAAUAUCAAUUGGAGAUGUGGGUCUAGGCCAAUUUUGCACUGCCUCAAUUUUCUGAGUAUCAACUUUAGUUCCCUCUAUAGACACAAUGUGGCCUAAGAAUGCCACAGACUCAAGCUAAAACUCACACUUAGAGAACUUGGCAUACAACUCUCUAUCUUUUAGAGUCUGGAGGACUAUUCUGAGAUGACUAACAUGAUCUUCUUCAUUCCUCGAAUAGAUUAGUAUGUCAUCAAUGAAGACGAUAACAAACAUAUCUAAAUAAGGUUUGAAUACUCUAUUCAUAAGGUCCAUGAAUGCUACAGGCGCAUUGGUCAAAACCAAAGGACAUGACUAAGAACUCAUAAUGACCAUAACGGGUCCUGAAUGCGGUCUUUGGAAUAUCACACUCCUUUACUCUUAACUAAUAGUAGACAGAUCUGAGAUCUAUCCUAGAGAAACAGGUGGCAGCCUGAAGUUGAUCGAAAAGAUCAUUAAUUCUCGGAAGAGGAUACUUGUUCUUGUUGGUAACCUUGUUCAACUGAUGGUAAUAUAUACACAUUUGAAGGGAACCAUCUUUCUUUAUCACAAAUAAUACCGUAGUGCCCCAAGGUGAGACACUUGGUCGAAUAAAGCCCUUAUCAAGGAAAUCUUUCAACUGUUCUUUAAGCUCUUUCAACUCUAUUGGUGCCAUUCUAUAUGGCAGAAUAGAUCUUUCAAUUGUUCCUUAAGUCUUAAAUCUAUGUUAAGUUUAAGAUAUACUUGACCAACAAAAAUUAGAAAUACACCGUGCCAUUAAUGAUCUCCUUAGUGGUACAUCACACCUUAAAAUUAAUAACAAUUUUAUGUAUAUAUAUACAUAUUUGACUUAACUUGUUAAAUGGAAUAGAAAAUCCUACAAAAAAAAUAAAUUGUCCGGCGGUUAUCUACCGUGGCCCAAUUACAUGAAAUUAACAAUCUCAUAAUAACACAAGAGUAUAAUAGGAAAGAAAUUUUUUGUAGAGUUUUAAAUCAAACACAAGAUUAAGUGGAAAGUAAUGAACCAAACACUUGGCAAAAAAUAAUCCCUGCACUACUAAUCUCUGCAUUACUAAUCUCUACGUUACUAAUCCCUACAUUACUAAUUCCUGCAUUAUCAAUGUUUGUACCAAACGAUCCCUAAGUCUUAAGACAAAGUUAAAAGCAUUUGCAAAAGACUUCUUGAAAAGACUCUAAGAACUUCCUAGAUUUGGCUCUUAACUUUCCUUGAAUUUGAAUUUAUGGAUUCAAGGUUAUGAUUCAUGUUUUCUAGAUGAUUUCUAGAUGUUUAGAAGUCAUUUUGAGUAGUUAGAAUCAAUGGAAAGUGUUAGUACCCUUUAGAAGGACUUAAAUCGGCUAAAUGAUGAAAAAUUGGUAAAAAAUGACGAUCUAGGCGCGCCGCGCCAUCCCCACUUUCUGGGGAUCCUUUUGGGCGCGCCGCCCCAGCCUCUCUGGCGCUAUGGGAGUGCGACGCACAUAGCCCUCCCCAGGUGCAUCUGAUGAUUUUUUCAACUCAUCUUCUGAUCCUAAAUCAUUUUAAAUCAAUUCUUUUUCUCAAUACUUUCUUAGAUUCAGAUACCCAAAACAUGUACACUAUAAUCUAACUCGAAACAACUCUUAACAUCGCUAAAACGUCUCAAUAAAACCCAUCAAUCACAUGUAAGUUCAAGAAUGGAAACAAUUCAAGAACACAACUCAAGAAUAUCAAAUUCUAACUCUUUCAGGAUGAAAAUCGCUGAAUUGAACAUGUUUGGCGCGUGGGUGAUGAGUCCACAAAUUGGACUCAUUUAGGGCUAUAUUUUAAUAGAAAUUGUGUCAUCAAAUGCUUUUUUAAUCUCAAUAUCUGAUGAAAACCCUUAAGUUUUAGAUAUUUGAUGUUUGAAGGAAAGCACAAACACUACGUUGCAAAAAGCAACGAAAAGGCUGAGAAGAACGAAGAAAUGAAGGCCUGAGGAUCGCCGAGUUCACUUGGCGAGUCGCCGAAGAGUCUUACUUCGCCUUUUGCUCCAGUGUGCUGAGCUAUGAAGGAAAAGAUCAAGUCGGCGGAGAUAGGGAGCAGUUGUCGCAUCGCCGAAAAGUUCCGCGAAACAGUACCACGUCGCCCAAUGUCCCAGAGCACGACGAUGCUGAAGGCUGGUGCAAGAAGGCGAUGAACUACACCAAAGGGCGAAUCACCAAGUUGAUCGGUGAUUCCGACUAACGACGCCGAAUGAUCCGCUGCAGCACAAAUCUAUUAAAACUAUAAAUAUUUUUUAGAUUUGUAGUUUUAGGAGUUGAACAAUUAUUAUAAUUUUCAUAUCGAAUAGUACUUUUUAGUAUUUUUGAUCUAAGUUUGAGAGGGUUUUGAAGACUUAAAGAACAAGAGGGUUUCAUCUCCAAGGAUUUGGACUUGGGUCUCUUGGAUUCUUCNNNNNNNNNNNNNNNNNNNNNNNNNNNNNNNNNNNNNNNNNNNNNNNNNNNNNNNNNNNNNNNNNNNNNNNNNNNNNNNNNNNNNNNNNNNNNNNNNNNNNNNNNNNNNNNNNNNNNNNNNNNNNNNNNNNNNNNNNNNNNNNNNNNNNNNNNNNNNNNNNNNNNNNNNNNNNNNNNNNNNNNNNNNNNNNNNNNNNNNNNNNNNNNNNNNNNNNNNNNNNNNNNNNNNNNNNNNNNNNNNNNNNNNNNNNNNNNNNNNNNNNNNNNNNNNNNNNNNNNNNNNNNNNNNNNNNNNNNNNNNNNNNNNNNNNNNNNNNNNNNNNNNNNNNNNNNNNNNNNNNNNNNNNNNNNNNNNNNNNNNNNNNNNNNNNNNNNNNNNNNNNNNNNNNNNNNNNNNNNNNNNNNNNNNNNNNNNNNNNNNNNNNNNNNNNNNNNNNNNNNNNNNNNNNNNNNNNNNNNNNNNNNUUAGAACUAAAUUUUAUUUUUCUAUUAAUUCUCAAAACCACUCUCUUGGGAACGAUCCCAACCCUUGGUUGGGUUACUAAACUAUUGUACGAUCGUAGACACUUGCAUCGGAAGUUAUGUCUUGAUUAUGCAAACUUCAAAAUGGCGCUGCUGCCGGGGAGUGGUGUUACUUGAGAAUUUUUAGAUUAGUAGAAUUUUUGUUCUUCUUAGUUGUAGUUUACUCACCUAAUUUGUGGUUUUAUUUUAUUUUCUUGUGUGAAUAUUUAAAAAAGCAUGAGUGUUAACAGUAGCAACGAUAGCCAGGUGGGCCACCAGGAUCUUAUUGGUAAUCUCAACGAUUUCCAAGAGCCCAACAUCAAUGACCCUCAUCUCAUGGGAGGUGUUGGAGCCAUCCGUGUAACCCCAGCCGAGGGAACCGCAGUGUUGCACAUAACGAGCAUCAUGUUGCAACUCUUGCAACUAAAGGGACUUUUCAGCGAACUGGCUCAUGAGGAUCCUCACGAGCAUCUUCAAAACUUUGUAGAUGUGUGCAGACCAUUCUCGUUCAAAAACAUCUCCCAGGAGUUGGUCCGGUUGAGGCUAUUCCUCUUCUCGUUGAUGGGAGAGGCGUGCAAAUGGCUAGGCGAGUUGCCACGAGAAUCCAUCACUUCUUGGGAGGAAUUGGUAUCCGCAUUUCAUGUGCAAUUUUUCCCUCCCUCGAAGAUGAUGGUACUUAGGGAUAUCAUCCAUGUCUCGAAGGAGAGUCUCUGCACGAAACUUGGCUGCAGUUCAAAAAGUUGGUGAUACAAUGCCCAACCCAUGGUUUGCCUGAUAACGUGUUAGUUCAGUACUUCUAUCAGAGUUUGGACUCGGUAAACAAAGGUGUCGUCGACCAACUCUUGCCGGGAGGCUUAAUGCAGCAGUCGUAAGCAGUAGCAGCCCAACUUUUAGAUAGCAUGGCAACCAUCAACAGAGAAUGGUACACUCGUGAGGACCAAGUCUCCUCUCUCACCUUCAACCUAUCCAAGGAACAGAUUGAAAAAGACAAUGAGAGAGACCAAAACAUGGCCAAAAUGAUGACGCAACUUGAUAUUUUAUCCAAAAAUGUCAUGGGGGCUGGUGCCCGUGGUGUCAACCCUAUGGGGGUUGGGUGUGCUAAUCUUGAGGAGAUGAAGUUUGAAGCCUUGUAUAACGAUAAGGUAAAUUUUCUAGCCAACCAAGGCGAUGGCUACAGCUCAAAUUACCUAAGGCAUGGUGGUAACCAAGGUUGGGCUAGAGAUGAAGGCUGGAAGGACCGAGAUCGUGAAUGGAGGGACCGUAAUCCGAAUUGGAAAGAUGGGGAGAAGGACAUAUAUGUGCCUCCCCAUGAGCGCCAGAAACCCAAGGAUUCAGAAGGAGGUAGGUCUAAGGAUAUGCUCUCAUGCAUCUUCAACAAAGUUGAAGGGUUAAACAAAAUGCUAAAAGGAAUGAAAGAACAUGUAUCUACCCUUAGCCAAACCAUCACCUCCUAUUCAGUUUCAAUCAAGAAGUUAGAAACCCAGAUGGGUCAUAUCUCGUCUCACCUAAAUUCGAGAUAGGAAGGGGGUUUGUCGAGUGAUACUAUGGCUAACCCCAAGAAUGAGGUUUGAAGGUGGACUUGCAUCGUGCCACGACGUUAACUAAGGCGUUGUUUGGGAGGCAACCCGAAACCCUUUAUUGCUUUAUGUUGCUUUGAUAAAAUAAUGGUGUGUUCAUUGUGCAGAUGGAAGUGUGAAGAGUGAACGAAAAGUGCAAAUUGGUGAGCAACAGGUCUAAUCAGCGAAUCACCGAACGGUUUGGCGACUCCGAACUAGACCAUCGUUAGACUCAAGAUCAUCUUGCAUUGGAGUCUGUAAAACUCGGUGAGCACAUGAAAUUAUUUGUGAACCGCCGAUCGUGUCGGCGAUCCCGACAGAGACCGCCGUUUGGACUGGCACAUAACAUGGAGGUUCUGUAAACUUCAGCGGGGAAAAUGACUAUUUGGUAUUACACCGAAUAGAUCAGCGAUCGGGACUAAUGUUGCCGAACGGGUGAAAACAGGACGGUUUUGCAAGCCAAAGGUUUACAAGUUUCAAAUUCAUUCACUUUGCCUCACUUUUUGUCUUCCCAAACUCACACCCGCAUGCUAGAUCCUAUAUUUUUGCAUUUCUAAAGUAUUUUUAUUGUCGAAUUAUGCUACGAGUUGGAUCACAUUGCUUCCUAGCAUCUCAAUAUCCAUUUGAUCGGCAUAAAAGGUUGGUAAUUCAAACUCCGAGUUCCUUUCGUCGACAGUUGUACUCAAAUGAAAUGGCAUUACUUUGAUGAUGUGUGUUGGGCCUAUCUGGUAGGAUUAGAAUAUUUGUUUGCCUGUUAGGUUCACAAAUUUUGCCCGUACUAAGUUAAAUAGUUAAUUCCUGAAAGUUGCGCUUUAAAUUGGAUGAAAAUCGUAGGUUGUGCAUGAUUGUCACUGGGUUUAAGCCUAAUUUGAGUUGUUCAUGCCUUAAUUUUGUUUUCGGGGGUUGAAGGGUUGGAUUCAAGAAAAUGGGUUGAAACUAGGAACGUGAGCCAUUUGGCGAGUUAAGUCGAGCUCGCCAAACUACUCGGCGAUUCGCCUAACAUCCCCAUUUCGCCGUUAUUUUAAUGCCAUAUGUAAUGUUUAGUUCUGUAACUUUCUGCGAGAAGCCUUUGAUCGCCAAAAGCAUUCGGCGACUUGCUAAAAGACUUCUUGUUCACCCUUUGUCUGCACCCUUGUAUUCUCUAUGUACUGCACUCGGCGAACCGCCGAAGUAGCUGCGCGCUUCACCAACUGGUUCAACAAAGUGAUUUUGCAAUUGAACUGCCUUGCUUUUGUCUGAAUACUUUCUAACUUUUGCUCAAAGUUUUGCAGAAAUGGCUAAAACCAAAAGUAGCUGGAAGAGAUAUGCCACCCCAACAAACAAGAGCAAAAAAUUUCAGGAAAAAUACAAAGGCAACAAAUCCUCCCAAAACAGAUAAUGAGGACAAGAAGCCCAGUGCCAGCAAGAGAACAAAUCCCCGAGACCCCACUAUUCCCUCAUGGAGACGUGGAUUCUUCACAACUAUCCAUUCCUUUCUAGAGGCUUAUGACUUGGACAAUCUUAGUAAGUCAGCUGCCGCUGAAUCUUCUAAAGAAGCUCCGAGGGCCAUUAUCAAGUUCCAGGCUGACACAUCGGGCACUGAUUCCCAGAUAGAUGGAGCGACUGUGUAGCCAGAAUCCCCUCUUUACCUCCGUCUCUGUCUUUCUUUAUUUUACCUUUUGGAUUCUGUGUAAAUUGCAUUUGAGGACAAAUUGCUUUUAUUUGUAGUGGAGUGAGGCCCACCUUUGUGAGCUAUUUGAUGUUUGUAUUUUGUUUAUAUUUGGGUUGUUCAAUCUAAAAUUGUGUUAAUACUGCUUUUCUGUAGAUAUUUGAUCUUGAAGCUCUUUUUAUUUUAUAUUGCAAAAUGAUUUGGACCCUUUCUGAAAUUUUUUGUAUUUUUCGCACAUUUUCGCCACCCUUUAUAUGCUGUUGAAUGUGGCUUUUCCUUGGAGAAUUUGAGUCUCGGUUUCGAUCAAUACCGAGGACUUGAAUAGUGCUCUCAAUCGAACGAACAUGAAUGCGCGACUACAAUGAGGCCAAAUGAAGUUGCAUAAACAAUAUGUGAACUCUUUGCAUCUCGUUAUGACUAGCCUUGUAUCAAAUUGAGUCUCUUGUGAUGAUCAUUGCACAUUAGCGAAAGUGUGGAGUCUUGUUUGACUUAUAGUGUCAAUGCCUAGUGUGAUGAGCUUACCUGUGAACUAUGCAUGAUAGAUCCUAGAAUUUGCCCCGUUGGUCCGGUCAACUAAGUGAUNNNNNNNNNNNNNNNNNNNNNNNNNNNNNNNNNNNNNNNNNNNNNNNNNNNNNNNNNNNNNNNNNNNNNNNNNNNNNNNNNNNNNNNNNNNNNNNNNNNNNNNNNNNNNNNNNNNNNNNNNNNNNNNNNNNNNNNNNNNNNNNNNNNNNNNNNNNNNNNNNNNNNNNNNNNNNNNNNNNNNNNNNNNNNNNNNNNNNNNNNNNNNNNNNNNNNNNNNUUUCUUUAUCCAUCACCCAUAAUCCUCAUGAAGUUGUGGUUAGUUGAAUAGCCAACUUAGGCCAAAAGCCUAAGUUGGGGGUGUGGUGAAAAGAAAAGGCAAAUCAAGAAGUGCAAGAAAGUCCUUCUUACCCAUGGUUUUGAGAAAAAUGGAACCCCUCUAUAUAUAUAAAAGAAUGAAAAAUAAAGUUGUGGAAUAAAGUACAAAAGAAAUGGGGUCUCCAAAUAAUUCACGGGAAGUGAAUAAUAGGAUGACUUAUGAGCACUAAAGAGAAUGAUAACAAAAGGAAAGGAAGUGUUGUGAGCACCACAUUUCAUGAGGAUGAAAGUCACUGAGCCUAAAUGACCAUACCUUUACACUCAGCCCCGUUACAAGCCUUGUUAAGACCUUUGUGAUCUUGAGAAAGUCGAAACAAAUGUUGAUUGAAAAAUACGGGCAAACCUAUGGAUGAAAUUAUGCAUUAUGCUCUUCUUUGUGAGUGUGAGAGUUGCAUCUGAUUCCAAAGCUUUAAACUGUGAACCUAUUGUGUGAAUAUGAAAUCAUUCUUUGUGUGAGUGCAUUUGAACACUAUAGUUGAGCUUGAACUUGCAUUUGAAGCAAGUAUUGUGAGCAUGAGAUUCGUUGAUAUUGGUGAGUCACAAUUUGAAUCUUUAAGUACACAUUUGAUCUUUGCAUAAGUAAAUUGAGUCUUGUUGUGUGCAUUCAUGAUUGAGUCUUGUGCAACACUAUUCGAGACACCCUUUUAAACGGCUAAACUUGAGUUUGCUUGAGGACAAGCAAAUGUUUAAGUUGGGGGUGUUGAUGAGUCCACAAAUUGGACACAUUUAGGGCUAUAUUUUAAUAGAAAUUGUGUCCUCAAAUGCUUAUUUUAUCUCAAUAUCUAACGAAAACCCUUAAGUUUUAGGUAUUUGAUGUUUAAAGGAAAACAUGGACACUACGUCACAAAAAGGAAUGAAAAGGCUGAGAAAAAUGAAGAAAUGAAGGCCUGAGGAUCGCCGAGUCCACCUGGCAAGUCGCCAAAGAGUCUUACUUCGCCUUUUGUUCCAGUGUGCUGAGGCUUUUAUGAAAGGAUCAAGUCGGCGGAGAUAGGGAGUAGUUAGCCGCAUCGCCGAGAAGUUCCGCGAAGCAGUACCAUGUCUCCCAAUGACCCAGAGCACGAUGAUGUUGAAGGCUAGUGCAAGAUGGCGAUGAACUACACCAAAGGGCGAAUCGCCGAGUUGAUCGGCGAUUCCGACUAACGACGCCGAAUGAUCCGCUACAGCACAAAUCUGUGAAAACUAUAAAUACUAGUUAGAGUUGUAGUUUUAGGAGUUGAACAAUUAUUAUAAUUUUCAUAUAGAAUAGUACUUUUUAGUAUUUUGCUCUAAGUUUGAGAGGGUUUUGAAGACUUGAAGAAAAAGAGGGUUUCAUCUCCAAGGAUUUGGACUUGGGUCUUUUUUAUUCUUCAUUCUUGGCCUGUAACAAGACUUAAAUCUUCAUACCCAUUUGAAUGCAAGCUCAUUUAGGAAUAAAUUUUUAUCUCUUGAUGUGUGGCUAAAAACCUCAAUUCUUGGGGUGUGAUUUAGCGAAUAUGGGUUAAGUUAAUUGUUGGGUCUUGCUUGUUGAUAGUUUAGUCAUAGUUUAAUUAUGAUUUCGUUUAGUGGUUGUGGGUGAACUUAAUGAGGUUGUAGUUGCAAAAUAUAAUCUCAUAUAUGUGUUUUCGGCUUGCUCGAGAGAGAGGUCGUAAAACUAAGACCAUUAAAUUGAUGGUUAGUGCGAGUGGGUCGACAUGAGGUUCAGCUUGAGAGAGUAAACCCUAGUCCCAUGUCCACACACUCAGCUCAAGAGAGUGAGUGGGUUAAGGCGUAGGCUGGUCUUCACGCGGCAAGUGGGUGUCCGAGAGAAACGCUAUUUGAAACAGGGUAAGUUGCUCGAGAGAGAGCUUAUACCCCUUAAAGUCUAGCCUAGUCACAAUUAAUCUAUGAAUCUUCUAUCGAAAGCAUGUACCCAAUAAUCUAGCUUAACCCGUAUUCCCAUCACAUCCCAAGGUUCCCCUCACAUUACUUAGAAACCCUUGUUUAUUUUGUUGUUUUUACCUUACUUGUGACAAAACCCCCCAUUGUUAAUUGACACUCUUGUGUCCCCCUUUAAUUUGCAAUGUUUACAAUCGUUAUUGUCUUUAGCUACGACUAGUUAGAACUAAAUUUUAUUCUUCUAUUCAUUCUCAAAAACCACUCUCUUGGGAACGAUCCCAACCCUUGGUUGGGUUACUAAACUAUAGAUCGUAGAUACUUGCAUCGGAAGUUGUGUCUUGAUUACGCAAACAUCAGUGGGUGAAUGGACCCAACUCUAUGUGAUCUCACAUACCUCGUACGGAUCACCCCUUGACGAAAUCCACAAGCGAUUCCUUACAAAGACGACGAAUCUUGAACUUUCUUCUCCUUUCUCCUCUUUUCUCUUUUCUCUAAGCCCUAGCGUGAACUUCCAAUUUUCUAAACUGACAAAAUUCUGAUUUGACCCUUAAUUAAUUCAAUAAAAUGAAUUAAAUUAAUUGGGUAAGGAAAAGACUAAAAUACCCUUCCAAAACCCGGUUCUAGACUUUCCUUAUUUGAACAGCCCAACUUCGAAUGGAGAUAUCUCACUCAUACGAACUCGGAAUCGCAUAAACUUGGCGGCGUUGGAAAGAUUAUUCGAAGAUAUUUCCUACUAUAUCUGUAAAUACACCUAAAUCAUCUUGAGAUAGAAGUUACGGUCAUUUGAAGUUGACCAAAAAUCCAACUUAGCAUACUUAACAAAUUUUCCAGAUUUUUAUUUUCUUUUCAAAAAUGACUAUUUCCACUUUUUAACUUUUUUCUAGUUACGGAGUGUUACAUUUUCUUAAUGGCACUGUUUGUGGUUCAUUUGCGCUAGAUACUUGUGAGUUAGUUCCUUCUUAAAGUGUUUCACCCAAAUAUUGUUCAGCAUUGUUAAAGUGUUCUUCAACAAGAGGAACAACAUUUGUUAUUUGUGUGGAAGUAGGUAUAUUCAUGGGCAAUGGAAUAUUUACCCUUACCUCAUUGAUUUCCCCACUUUGUCGUUCAACACUCCCACUAACUUCACCAUUCUCAAUGAAUUUUGCAUUACCAGUUUCAACAAUUCUCGAACUAUGAUUUGGAUAGUAAAACUUAUACCCUUUAGAUUUCUCUGGAUAGCCAAUAAAGUAUCCACUUACCGUUCGAGAAUAUAAUUUCUUUUCAUGUGGAUUAUAAACUCUAUCUUCCGCUUGACAACCCCAAAUAUGCAGGUGUCUUAAACUAGGCUUCCUUCCCAUACACAGUUCAAAAGGGGUCUUUGGAACUACCUUACUAGGAAUCAUGUUUAAUAAAUAUACAAUGGUUUUAAAAGCAUACAUCCACAAUGAUUUGGGUAAUGAAGAAUUACUUAUCCUACUCCUAACCAUAUCCAUAAGUGUUCGAUUACGCCUUUAUGCAACACCAUUUUUGUUGAGGUGUUCCUGGCAUAGUAUACUGUGCACAUGUGACAUGUUCUUCAAGGAAUUUUGCAAAUGGACCUAGACAUUGUCCUGAUUCGUUAUACUUUCUAUAAUAUUCACCACUUCUAUCUGACCUAAUGAUUUUCACUUUCCUAUCUAACUAUCUUUCAACCUCAUUAACGUACACUUUGAGAGUGUCCGCUGCUUGAGAUUUUUCUUUCAACAAAUAGAUAAAUCCAUAACUUGAAAAAUCAUCGAUAAAGGUGAUAAACUAUUUUUCUCCACCUAAAGAUGGAACAUCAAAGGGUCCGCAAUCAGUGUGUAUAAUUUCAAGAAGCUGAGUGCUCCUUGUGGCACCUUUCUUGGUAUGUUUGGUUUGCUUUCCUUUAAUGCAAUCCAAACAUAUAUCAAUAUCAACAAAAUUUAAAUUCGGAAGAAUCUCAUUCUUUACUAAUCUUUUUAAUCGUUCUUUGGAUACAUGACCCAAAUGUUUAUGCCAUAAAUAAGCAGAACUUUAUUUAGUGAACUACGUUUAAUUCCUAUAUUUUAAUGAAUAGUAAGUAGGGAUUUAGAAAAAUUAUUAUCGAGUUUCAAUCUAUAUAAACCAUCAAUAAGAACACCAGAACCAUAAAAAAUAGUAUUCUUAUAUAAAUUGAAACAUCCAUGUCCAAACUAAAAAUCAAAUUCAGAAACAUCAAGUCUUGAAAGAGAAAUCAAAUUCCUAGAAACUGAAGGAACAUAAAGAGUUUGUAAUAGAUCAAGAUGAUAUCCAGUCUCCAAGAUCAAUCGAGAAGUCCUUAUGCCUUCAAUUUGAGCCUUCAUGCGAUUUACCAUGAACACGAAAUCCUUAUUUGGAUUUGUAGUUUGGAUCGUAGUGAAUCCCUGCAACAUAGUGGAUACAUGAGUAGUUGCACCAGAAUCAAUCCACCUAUUAUUAUUAGGAACUUCUACUAAAGUUGAUUCGAAACAUACAAAAUCACUAAAUGUACCUUUCUUUUCAAACCAAGCUUUACGUUUCAGGCAAUCUUUCUGAUAGUGUCCUUCCUCUUUACAGAAAUGAUACACAUCAGCCUUGAGUUCCUUAUGAGCAUCCUGUGGAACUUUAGCAGGUGCUUUAUUUUUCUUAAACUUGUUGGCCUUCACUUUAAGUCUUUUACCAGCUCCUUGACCCAUGAGGUUAAUGGAAUGACCUCCUUGUUUCUUAAGUCUUGACUCCUCUUUAGUAAGCAUACUGGACAAUUCACUAACAUCCCACUUAUCCUUAAUAGUGUUAUAGUUAAUUUGGAAUGAUCCAUACUCAAGAGGCAAUGAGUUCAGAAUGAACUGAACCAAAAAGGUGUCAUCCACUUUCAUCCCCAAGGUCCGAGGUCUUGCUGCAAUGUUAGUUAUCUCGAUGAUAUGAUUUUUCAUACUAUGCGACUCAUCAAACUUCAUGGUUGUGAGUUCAGCCAUUAGUGUACCAGCGAGAGACUUAUCAGCAGAACAACAAUGUUCUUCCACAAACUUCAGGUAUUCCCUAGCACUUUCUGUUUAUGGAAUAAUACUCUUAAUGUUGUUAGCAAUAGUCAUUCGCAUGAACAUAAGGCUCAAUCUGUUAGAGCGAUCCCAUGAUUUAUGAUAAGACUUCUCAUCCUCACUGCUCUUACUAGUAAUGGCAGUAGGUUUGUCAUUCAGCAAAGCCAAGUCAAGAUCCAUCACACCUAAGUGGAACUGUACUUGUUCAUGCCAUUCAAAGAAGUUCAAUCCAUUGAACACGGUAACAGACGAAGCAUGCGAAUGAAGAGGAAUAACUCCAAAAUAGAUAUAGUUGCUCACAAAUAAAAAAAUAAUGUGAAUUCAGUAAAGCGAUAAAAAUAUAUCGUAAUUCUCCUUUGGGUAGAUACUAUGAUACAUUAUCAUAAUUUAAAUGCCAAUUUUAUCUUUAAUAGGUAAUUGAAUAUUUUAAUCAAACAUAUACGACAUCUUUGGAUAUGCAAUAAAUGUUUGACUAAAAAUAUUAAUUUACCUCAUAAUUUUCACUAUUCAUAGAAUGAGUGAUUCACCUUUGGGUAAAUUCUUAAGUUCUAGCAAUAGUGAAAGUCAAUUUAUCUAUUUAUUUUCAAUAUAGGCAUUUCAUUAACUUUCAUAGAUAAAUGACAAUUUAUGAAUGCAUAUUUUUCUUAACCAUACUAGUUUGUCCACUUUGGUCACUAAUAAACUAUAUAGAUACAAAUGCACACAUAAUAUCAUAAAAAAAUGUGCAUGAAUAAUUUUAUACAUUUUAGUUUGACCACUUUGGUGACUAACAAACUACAGAAACAUAAUACAUGCAUCAAGUGAUCAUAAAUAUCAUAUGUGUUGACGUUAAGUUUUCUGGUUUGGCCACUUUGGUGACUAACAAACUAUAUUGCACAAAGUACACACAUAUUAUUUAUUUAUUAAUACAAUGAUCACUUUAUUUUAUUGCAUAAUCUAAAAUAAAACAUAAUUAUUACAUUACGAAACGUAAACCAUAAAAAACUAGGAAGAAGGUUCAACCACAGAGUUAGUGCCCACCAAUACAAAACAAUACUGAUGCGAACAAUGAAUAAUUAAUUGGUCUUAUUCUAAAAUUGGACAUAGAAUUCAUGAUUUUCCAUAAACAAGACAUGCAUGUUGAAGAGGAUCUUAAAAGUUUUUUUUUUUAAUUAUCCUCAAUGUACACGUCCAUUCAAAGAAGUGCGUCUUUUCUUUAUUCCUUUUACUUUGGUCUCACUAUAAUAACAAAAUUGAUGCAAGUUUGCAGGUGACAUUGUGCUAGUCGCUUACAUCAUCUUAUAUAGAUAUUAUUGGAACAUUGAUGGUAAGUAUCGAAGUGGAACAUGUGAUAGACAGUACAUCAUAAACAUUGAAUGUUUCAUAUACGAAAAUUAUCAGUUUAAACAAUUCAGACUCAGAUGCCACAUGUAAGAUUAAAUACUUUAAUACAUAAUAUCAGGAUCUUGAACACGAUAAUCUUACAUAGAGAUCAUUAGGACACAUACCUGAUGCGGAAGCCGUCAUCACAGAGAGAAGCGAAAGCAUUAGUCGUAAAUUGGUUUCUACCUCCUUGCCCUAGCCUUACGUUACCACAACUGUCAGCGAUGAAAUUAAUGUAGAGAAUAUGUGGUAACCCUAAUAGGUGGAGGGAGGACCAAUUUAUAGAGGUUAAGACUUAAUCUGGUAUGUCCAUCAAAUAAUCAAUGUACGAACGAGAUCUAUUAUUUAUUAAAUAUUAUUUAUGGUAUUACUUGGGUUACAAGUAAACUUGGACCAUAAGUAAGAAAUAAUUAAUAAUUCUUACAUGACCAACAUAUUGAACUUUGAUGGUGUUUGAAAUCAUAUCUUGUAGUUGUUGAAUCGUUAUAGUAGCCGGUGAAGUAUAUUGUUUUGUGCAUUAAGAUUCAACUAACUUAGUAGGAGAUUCAUUAUCAAUUUUUAUUUUUUUUGCAGUGUUAUAACUCUCUAGGGCAAUAGAAAUCUAAUUUGCUCAUAAGUUGAGCUAUCUGAAGAUAUUUGUUUAAUGCCUCAACGGUUUACUUCAUCACAUAAAGUUGUUUGUCAACAUUGACUACAUCAGUCAUCAUGAUGUUGACCUAUGUUAAGGUAAAUGAAUCUAUUGAAUCUUCGAAAUCCUCAUAUAUAUAUAUAUAUAUAUAAUACAUAAAUAACUUAUAUAUUAUUAAAAUAUUAAAAAAUAUGCAACCUAGUAUUAGUAUAAACUGUUAUAAAUAAUUUAUUUGUGGAUGUCAAGUGAUAACAUCACCUUGCUACUAUAGCAAUAUGUAUUUGUGGAUGUCAUGUGGUAACAUCACCUUGCUACUAUAGCAAUAUGUAUGUGUGGAUGUUAUGUGGUAACAUCACCUUGCUACUAUAGCAAUAUGACUACUCCAAGUCAUAAUGCCUAUAAAAGGGCAUUGAAAUGAUAAUGAAAAGACACACCCAAAAAUAGUUACUACUCUUAUUUCUACUUUCUAUUUUACUAUGCUCUCUUCAUACAAUUUUAGUAUUCUGUCUUCAUUUCAUAACACGUUAUCAGCACGAGUCUCUUCAUCUACGAGCAUCUCCGACAGUGCAUUAGCCGAAACAUAAAUAGUAUAGAGUAUAUUAUAUUUUACUAUAUAAGUCUUCUUAUACUUGAUAGUCUAAAUUUGAUAAUUAUCGUUAAUAUUAUCAUGAAUUUUGAGUUAAUUAUUGAAAGUAUAAUUAGUACAUACUUAAUUGAUAACCUUGUUAGAAGAAUUGAAUUCACCGAAAUCAUUAGAAGACUAAAAGUGCAUAACAUGCAUUUUUAAGGUUGAUACCUUGUUAUGGUUUGCACCUAGGAAUACAUAAUUCCUUUUAAAUGAGAUAUAGGUAAUUUAAGGAAUGCAUAUCAAAAUAAAUAUUAAAAAAAUGUAUUAAAUUUAUUAUGUUGGCCUACAUUGACCUUGAUCAACAUUGUUAAUUAUUUUACACUUAUUUAUCUUUCACUAGCUAAUCAUUUACUUUUUCAAUUAUUAUAAUAUGUUAUAUGUACUAACAUAACUUAUUUUAUACUUGCUUUAAAAAUGUAAGCAAACUAAUAUGUGAAGAAGUAUUUUAUUUUCCUUUGGAAUUAUCAAAAGGACUUUUCUAUCGUGAAAGAUUCUUUGAAGUGGCAUUGACAUGUCAUUCAGGUUGGCAAUUAACAAACUUUUCAAUGGUAAGCUAAUUGUAUAUUUUUGCUUUAUGGUAAGCUUCCUUCAUAAUACUAAUUGCACUAAUUCUGAUUUGUAUAUAUCUACAAAAGAGUAUGCUAAUUUUUGAAAUUUAUAAAAUAUGCUACAUGUCAUUGAGAAAAUUUGACAUGUAGACUUUAUUAGAUCCAUUUAUCAAGUGUUUAUUUAAUUCUUGAAUUUUGAGGUAUCAUGUUAUUUAUUGUGAUUAUUAGUGUUUACCUCUAGUUGUUUUAUCUAUGAAUUACAAUUGAAGAAAGAAAUUUUCUUAACUAGCAAAAAAUGAAGUCAAUGUUGAGAAUUAAUAUGUUGGUCUUUCAAUAAAUGAAUUAUUCAUAAAACUUUUGAGUUGAAAAUAGUAUUCAAGCCACCUAUGAGGAUCAACUUUGCUUCGUUUAGCAAAUGCAAUAAUUUGUAUAUGAUCUUUUGAAGUGUUAUUAUGACUAAAUGUAUUUAUGCUAUUAAUAACAAAGUAACAAUAUUUUAAAGCCUCAAAGGUGAAUUUUAUUUUGGACUAUAUUUAAUGUCACUGAUUGAGGGUAAGACGGUGGAUUCAAGUUCCAUCAAACCAAAAGGGUAAGACAUUGAACAAUGUCUCGAUGCACCAUGAUGAUAAGAUUUUGGGUUCAAGUCCCAUCAUAUUUUGGCCUAACACACCUUUAUAUCGAUAAGUCAUUGGGUUAAAGUCCCAGUGCAAUAUAUUGAUUAUAUAAUGAUGACUGAGCAAAUUGAUAUGCUCUUAAAAAAAUGUGAAGUUCGUCCCAUUGAAUAUACUCCAUUCUUUGAAGUGAAUGUGAUAGCAAUACAUUAAAAGUUUGAAAGAUAACAAGAUAUUUUAUGAUUAAACAUAUGAAUAUGGACGUGAAGGGACAAAAUUAUAAUAGUCAUCAUUGUGAAAGAAAGAACAUCAUGCGUUCUCAAAAUUGUCCUUCAAAGAGUGAAGGUAAUUUUUGUCAUCAAAUUUGGUAUGAAAAGUAUUGGGCACGCGAUUACUGUACGUGCAAAUUAAUUUGAUUUUAUAAAUCCUCCAUCAAAGAAAAGGAUGAAAAAGUGGUGAUACUUUCAAAAGAGAUGUUGAGGUAUGUCAUAUGAAUAUGAUAAAUUUCAAAGCAUGACAAUGAACUUCUAAUGAAAGGAAUAAUUAUGAAGCAUAAAUAUACUAUUAUAGUCAAUUCCUUGAAGAGAAUGUGACUUGUGAUAAGUAUCAUGAAAAGUGGACCAUUCUUGAAAAUGAAUGUGUCAAGAGAAGAUGAAAAUUAUAAAUAAGGACAUACUCAUGCAUGAUUUAAUAAAUACCACAGCUCACCCCUAUGAGAGGUUAGAGAGAAAUAAAGAAAUUUAUUUUGAUAUAAAUGAUCAUUGGUCAAGUACUUUUAGUACAUCAUAAAUAUUAUGAUAUGUUUUAGUAUGAACUACCGAAAGGGCAAAGGAAGGAAAUAAUUUCUUGCCACAAAAAUUGUCAUUGGUUAUGUAUCUCUGUGCAUCAAAUAUUUUGCCAGAUAUUAAAUAAAAGGGAAGAGAUACUAAUGACAAAAGUAAAUCAAGAAACAAGUUUUACUUGUAAUGAUUUUGACCAUGACAAUAAUGAUAUAAUUUUUUCCUUGAAAGAGAUGUUUACCACAAAAACAAUGUUAUGAAAUAUGAGGUAGUAUUUAAUGUUAAUUAUGAGUCUUUGGUGAGCUAUUGUGCUACUACCCAAAGAAAUAAAAUUAUUCAUGAUAUUGGAAUUGUAGUAAGUCUCGAAAGAAACUUUUUAAGCUUCAAAGAAAUAGUCAAAGAAGAAAAAUAUUGAGACUAUAAAAUAUGAAAAGGUUUAAGAUCUUCAUAUUANNNNNNNNNNNNNNNNNNNNNNNNNNNNNNNNNNNNNNNNNNNNNNUUUGCAUAUUGUUUGUGGUAACUAAAUAUGAGCAUGAUGAUGGACUCACAUGCAAAACAAACUAUAAGUUUAUUGAAAUAAAUAUCAGUUAGCAUGACCGGUUGAUGACCAUCCCGGUUCAAAUAUGAUACGAAAAUAAAUGAGAAUUCAUGUGAUUAUAUAUAUUGAAGAAAUAAUAAAUUCUUCAAGAAUUCUCUUGUGUUGUUUGUUCUCAUGAUAAAAUUAUCAUUGUACCAGCUAAGGUUGAGAUUGUAUCUCCCGAAAUUUUGAAAUGUAUAAAAAUGUGAACAUGGAUCCGUGCAUCCGUCAUGUGGACCAUUUACUAUUAUAUAGAUGCAUCUAUGUAUGGUGACAUGUGCUUCAUUAUCGACUUGCAAUUUGAUUUUUGCAAAGAUUGUUUGCUCUAAUUGAUGAAUCAAGAGCACAUUUCAAAUUAUAAAAUUAUAUUGAUAAUGUUGGAUAUAUCCAAGUGGUUUAAGUAGAAAUUAUAUGACUCCAAUUAUAGCUAAAUCAUUGGUUAUGAGAACACAACUCUCAAAAAAAAUUUGGUAUGAGAUGUGUUAUUUAAGGUGUAGCAACACUUGUACGUAUCAAGCCAACAAGAUUCCCCAAUCACAAUUGAUUUAGGGUACUAAAUAAUUCUCAUCUAGAAAUACAAAUGUGUGGCAUAUUAUUUCAUUGCUCCACCAUUACGCAAUGCACAAAGAUGAGUCCCCAAAUAAGGUUGGGUGAAUGUUAGAUUCUUUAACAUUAGGGGGAGAUAAACAAAUGAAAAAUAAGUUAUACAUAAUGAAUUAUCAUGAUCCUCAUUGAAGAAAUAAUUUAAGUCAAUUGUCAGACGCAUUCGCUAACCCUAUGUUAUAAUCUAGUUAUAAAUGCUCCAGUGAAAAGUCCUUGAAGGACAUAAUUUAUGGCAAGCCUGAAGCGUGAUAAAUUAAUUGAUUCAAAAGAUAAAGGAGCAAAUGAUCAAGCUGGUCAUAAUAAUGAGGCAAGUGCUUUAGAAAGAUCACUAUGACAUAACACUUUAUAAAAACAUUGGCAAAGGUUCAGGUACCUGGAAAUGAUGAAAAAUAAAGUGAGAUUGAUAAGUUAUGUCACAUUUGAAUCGAUAUCACAUAAUCGUCAACGAUAUCUUGAAUAUAAUGUAGCGCUCAAAAUUAUAAAUGGUGAUGAAGAUCUUGAUAUUAAAUCUGUCGAGAGUUGUCAGAUAAAUGAUUGGCCAAAGGAAAUACAAUUCAAAUAUUUUUCUAUUCACUUGGAAAAAUGAAGUUUUGGACUUAUUUUGUCCAUAUACCAGACUUAUUUUGUCCAUAUACCAAGUUAUAAUGUCAGUGGGGUACAAAUAAAUUAUUGUGCGAUAAGAAAACUCGUAAAAUACAAAGUACGGGUUGUGCAAAUAAAGAUUUUUCGCAAAAGUCCUGACAUUAUUGUAUGGAGAUAUAUACUCCCAAGGUGGAUGCAAUGAGGUUUCUUUUAGUCUGACAAUACAUGAAAAACUUGAAUACCCAUGAUGAAUGAUUAUCAUGUCUAGCUAGACAGUAAAUAUUAUAUGAAAAUUCUUGAAGGAUUUAAAAGGUUAUAAAGCUAAUCCAUUGAAUAGUACCCCAAUGGUCGUAAGAUCGCAUAACAUAAAAGAUCAAUUUGGAUCUCAUUAAAAUGAUUAGAAAAUACCAUGUUAUAGUGCAAUUGGUGCAUUUAUGUAUCCUACUAUUAUUAUUCAUGGUAAAUAAUUUUAUGAAUGCUAAAUAUAAUAUCACUCUUAUCGGUGGAGAUAUUAGAGUGAAUCAAAUAUUGAUAUAAGUUAUUUAUUCUGAUCAAUUGUGUCAAGAUUUAUUGAUCAUGAAAUUGCAGGAAAUUAUGAAGUUUGAUCUCAAGAAAGUUAUCUAUUUUCAUUUGGAAAUACUAUCAUAUCAAAUCAUUCCACAAGACAGUCAAUUUUGUUGAAAGUGUUUGUCAGUGCUCGAUUAUUGCUGCUAACAAAUUAAACGAGCAAUUUGUCUACACCGGUAAGAUCACGAUUGAGUUAUUGUCAAAAAUAUAUUUGGUUGAGAUCAGUAAACAUAUCUAGAAAAUAUGCGACAUUUCUUUGAAAAGAGAUAUUCCAACAACAUUAUAUGAAGACAUUGAUGCAUGUCUAGCUCAACAAAGAGGAGUACACAUCAAAGAAGACUGAACAAAAUAUAUCUCAUCAAAGUUCUUCUUAUUCAUGAUCUUCAAAACAAGGAUGUAGCCGAUGUUUAACACUUCGUAUUCACCAAGACAUUAUCAACUUCAACAUUUGAGAAGUCAAGAUAUAAGAUUAAAAUGCAUCAUCUUUGAGUUGUUAAGUGAUGCUUAAUCAGGGGGAUUAUAAUACGUGUUGCACUCUUUUUUCCUUAGCCGAGGUUCUGUCCCACUGAAUUUUCCUGGUAAGAUUUUUAAUGAGGCAGCUACUAAUGCGUAUUACAACUUACAAGAUAUGUGUACUCUUUUUCCUUCACUAGGAUUUUUUCCAUUGGUUUUUUUUCUAGCUAGUAAGGUUUUAACGAGACACAUUAUAAAUCAAGACAUGAACAUUCAAAGAAAGAAUUAUGAACGACUAUGUAUACUUGAAUUUUUACUAAAUUUGUGCGCUUACAUGGACAUCCAAGGGGGAGUGUUAUAAAUAAUUUAUUUGUGGAUGUCAAGUGAUAACAUCACCUUGCUACUAUAGCAAUAUUUAUUUAUGGAUGACAUGUGGUAACAUCACCUUGCUACUCUAGCAAUAUGUAUGUGUGGAUGUUAUGUGGUAACAUCACCUUGCUACUGUAGCAAUAUGACUACUCCAAGUCAUAUUGCCUAUAAAAGGGCAUUGAAAUGAUAAUGAAAAGACACCCAAAAAUAGUUACUACUCUUAUUUCUACUUUCUAUUUUACUAUGCUCUCUUCAUACGAUUUUAGUAUUCUGUCUUCAUUUCAUAACAUAAACUAAAUAUUUAGAAGUUGAAAUUUUGACUACUCUAUUUUGAUUGAAAUGUAUUUUAAAUGUAAUUGAUUAACAAAAGAAAUUGUUUAUGCUUUGUUUUGAGUAUAUAUUUCUACAUGUAAAGUAAUGAAUUUUGAUGGACUUGAACUUAGGAUUGUAAUAGUUGAGCUAAAAAUUAAGUAUUGGCUUGAGAAAAUGGUAAAGUUAAAGACUUAAGUUGAUUAAAUUUAAAAAAAUAUUUAUAUUUUAUUUAUGAAUAAUAUAUUAUAAAAUUUAUCUGUUGGGUUUGACUAAUUUUGCGGUUGUUUUUUAGUAAAAUCAAAACCUAAUCAAAUAGUAUCAAUUUUCAAAAUUUAAAAUCAAACCUAAUCAAACCAAACCAAAUAUCAAUUGUUUUAAUCGAUUUGAUUCAAAUUGCAAUUAAAUUUAAUUUUUUAACCAUAACCAUGAACAACCCUAGCUGUCACUAUAAUUCUCAAAGUGAAUUUAAAAGAAAAAUUAGAUAAAAUAUUUAUUGAUUCAGAAAGAAUAUUCUAUUCCCUUUCUCUCUCACAUGUGACUAUCUCAUCUUUGUAAAUAUCUUGUCUCCCCUUCUCUCUAUUUUUCUUUCUCAUUUUUUUUUUCCGCAUGUUUUUUCUAUUUUGGCACUCUAACUUAAUUUUAUUUUAUUUUAAUUCUCCAACUUUAUUUUUAAUAUAUUAUUUAAACAUAAAAUAUUAACUAAACAGAUAAAUAAAGUUAUUUACCUUUUAAAGUAUGUGAGAAAUUCUUUUUAAUAUUAAUAUUCAAUAUUUUUAUGUUAACAAUUUUUUUCCCUAUAUAUUUUCUUAUCUUCUCUUCAACCCCAUAUUUCCCUUCAUCUACUUUACAAGUUCAUUUUUUUCUUCAUCGACCUCUUUUUUUUUAAUUUAACUAUCUAUGCUGAAGAUAAUGAUUUUUUAAAUUUUAAUUUAUAUAAUUCAUUUUGUCUAUAUAAGGAGUAAAAUAUUAAUUAUGUUCUAUGUUAUAAAUGUCUGAAUAAAAUGUUAAUGCAAGUUUAAGGUAUUGUUGUAUGUGUUUGACCUUCUAACUCCUAACCUAACUCAUUUCUCGUCUUCCUUUUCCCACUUUCAAGCCUUGUUACGACUUUAAUUGAGAUAAUAUCUCAGAUGGUCACUCAACUAUGCAUAGUUCUCCUAGAAAGUUACAUAACUAUACAUAAUUUUCUUUGAAAAUCACUCUACUUUAUUUUAUAACUCAAAAGUCACUCAACUAAUGAUAGUUUUCUUAGGAAAUCACUCAACUAUUGAUAUUUUACCUAGAAAGUCACUCACUGAAUUUAAAUAUUUUUAUAGAUUAAUUUUAUUUAAAUUAAAAACUUAUUUAAAAAUAAAUUCUUAAAAAAUGAAAAGAUACCCAUUAGUUACUAAAAUUUAUUAAAAUAAAAAGGUACUCAUUAUUUAUAAAAAGUUAUUUAAAUAAAACGGUACCCAUUAAUAUAUACUUUUUAUUAAGUCAUGAUAAACGAGCAAUAUCUGCUCUUAAGAUGAUUCCGCAAUAAUUCUUUUUUUAGUACAAGCAGCAACAAAAUGGGGAAAGGGACAACAAAAAAUCAACAAGAUAAAUGAAAUAUGUAUUUAGACAAUAUAUAUUGUCAUAUUGAGUAGAGCUGUCAAUAUGGGCUGGUCUAUCCCAUCCAGACUAACUCAUACAUGCUUUGAAAUUUUACGGGUUAGGCCGGGCUAGCUCAUUUUUAGGGUGGGCCAGAAAAUGGUCGGUCCAACCCACAAGUACGUGGGCUAGGGGCUUUUUCGGGUCACCCCUCUUUUUUAAAAAAUAUAUUUUUUAUAAUUUUUUUAAUUAAAUAAUAAUUUUAAAUAUUAUCAUAAGUAUCGACAAGACAAUAUUACAUGGUGUUACCAUUAGUACUUGUUGAUCAAAUCCACAAAUAAAAUUAUCUUUAUAAUAUUUAUUAAGUUUGAUUUCAAGUAAAAACAUAAAUAGCUAAAUAGAAAUAUUAACCUAAUUGUUUUCCAAUCAUAAUAAAACACAAAAAUUAUGACAAUAUUGCAUAGGCUACGGCUUAUGUAGUGAUUCCCUAGAAAUUUUCAGGAAUUUUUAUUUUAUGUAGUACACAAAUUAUGAACAUAAUUUGUAUUUAAAUUGUAAUAUUUCAAACUUUAAACAGAUUUCGAGUUUAGACUCUUGUUAUUUUUAAUACUCAAUUUUAUUUUUAUUUUUUAAUUAAUUUUUAUUUGGCCCCACGGGCCGGCCCUAUCCAUAUUUCUCAAUCUCCACAAAUCUUGUUAUUUUAAUACUCUAUUUUAUUUUAUUUUUAAUUAAUUUUUAUUUGGCCCACGGGCCGGCCCUAUCCAUGUUUCUCAAUCUCCACAAAUCGGCAGACUUAUUCAGGUCGGGCUAAAAAGCCCUUUUAUUAAAUGGGCUUCAAAAAUCGUAAUCCAACCCUAUCAAAUCACAGGUUAGGCCAGGCCGACCCAACGGGCCUAGCUCAUAUUGACGACUCUAAUAUUGAGUUUCUAUUUUAAGAAAUCAAAUAGGAUAAAUUAGAUCUACUAGUAUGAUCCAUAAUGGAUAUUUAUCCGAUAUUUUGUUAUCUUUUACCAAUAUACAUUUAAUAUUUUUUAUGAAAUAAUUUGUACCUUUUUAUUUCUUAAAAUUUAGCUUAAAAAAAAAUUAGUUCAGUAAAAUUUAAUUAAAAAAUCAUUUGAAUUGAUUGACUGACUUUCUAGGUGAAAUAUCAAUAGUUGAGUGACUUUCUAGGAAAUAUCCUUAGUUGAGUGACUUUUGAGUUAAAAAUAAAGAUGAAUAACUUUUUAAGAAAACUAUGCAUAAUUGAGUGACUUUCUAAGAAACUAUUCGAGUGACCAUCUGAGAUAUUAUAUCGUCUUUAAUUCAGUCACUAGUCCUAUCUUUAGGAUCCUCUUCCUUAAAGUUAAAAUAGUAAUUUUGGGCAAGCCAACACCCAUAGUGUGAUGGACGGUGGAUAUAAGGCUCGAAAAUGAUUUUUUUUCAUCAUAUGAUUAACGACGGUUACUAGUAAUUCUAACUUCACGCAGGUGACUUGUAGUCUGCAAUUCGAACUAAGGAUGAAUUUUUGGGGUUAGCUUAUCCUCGCACGGUGGCGAUUAUUAGGGAUCCUUUAAGACAAUGGCUGGGGUUGUAGUCUUGUUAUCUUAUGUUUCAGAGUCAAUUGAUUCCUCAAUAUAUUUUAACUAUAAAUAUUUUAAGAAAAGAAAAAAAAUCAUUUAGAUUCGAGACGAAAUUAACAAAUUGUGAUAUAUAUUGAUAAUUAAUGAAAAGGAAUAGGUGAUGAGAAAAAAACAUUAUUUUCAAGAAAAUCAAAUAAUAUCACGAGGUAGAAAGCCUUUCAAUGAAAUCUGCAGCCAAGUGAAAAUAAUAAUAAGGGAAAAAGAUCUGAAAUAUAUCUAAAUUUUGAUCGAAAUUGAUGUAACAGUACUGAACUUUGGAAAGGACUUUUUACCCCUGCACUAUUUAAUAGUGUAUUUUAAAGGUAUAUAUAUGCCCAUGUGGACAUCAUAAAAAUUGCAUAAUUAUAAAUAGUAACGUGUCCACGUGGGCACAUAUAUACCUUUAAAAUACACUACUAAAUAGUGCAGGAGGAUAACAACAAUUUCAGCCAAAAUUGAAGUACUAAUAAUAAUAUAUGUUUUCAGAAUUUUUCGAUAAAGGAUCUUAAUCAACAUAAGAAAAAACUUCUAUAAACGUAUACUAUGAAGAGUUUUAAAUAUAUAUUUUUUGAAUUUGAAUGAAAGUAUAUGAUGUGGACUAAUUAAAAUUUUAAUUUUUAAAGUGAAAGAAAUUUAACACUUAAAGAAUAAACGCACACAUUCAAAUAAUAUGAAUUUCAUAUUACGUGAGUGUACUAAUUAAUUAAUAUAAAAUAAACGUGCAAACGCAUGUGUCGGUAAACAUAGAUAGAUAUAUAACAACGUGAAGCAAAUGAUGGAUCUGCUCAUUCAAAAAGACAAAAAACUCACAUCAUAAAAGUUAAAUAUGUUAUAAAAUAUUAUAGUGUGGUGUCCACUACACUAAGAAGUUACUCUCACCCAUUAUUUCCAUUACUUUCCUCCAUUAUGAAGAUAACCAUAACCUCCAUAACCUAAAACUUUAUAACCAUUAUUUUUGUAACAUUUCACUUCUAUAACCUCCUCCAUUAUAUUCAUGUUAAUGUCAUGUUUAUGACUAACCUUUUGUAUGCCUCUAUGUUACACUAUAAAUAGAGGCAUACGAGUUCAUAUUGUAGAGAUUUGAAGAUUUGGUGAACACUUGAAAGAAAGAAAGUUAUCUCAUAUAUUGUUCCUCUUGUUUUAUAUUUCUUGUCUUAUUUUACUUUAGUUUUACAACACGUUAUCAACACGAAUAUUCUACUAUUGCAGGAUUGAAGCAAAGUAAAUAAAAGAAGGUAAAAUAAUUGUGUUUAUUUUUCUUUCGGGAACAAGGUAAAUUAUAGUGAAAUCUAUUUUAUAUUUUACUUGUGAACAAGGUGAAUGAUUAAUAUUAUUGUUACUGCGCAUUUUUUUUCACAUGUGACUAUAUAUAUAUAUUCUUUGUAUGUGAAACUUAUUUUAUAUUUUAUUUAUGAUUAUACUCACUGUUUUGGUUAUUACAUAAGCUUUUAAUUUAUUUUGUUUUCUACGUGAAAUAUUUUGGGUUUACAUGAAAAUUGAAAAAAGGGUGGUGGUAGUGAGAACUUUUAUUUUAGUGUAAUUGAAAUUAUUAUUUUCUUAGUGUGCAAUUAAUUCUUUGAUUUAUAACGGUAACUCACUAGCUUAACUAUUGUGCACCAAUCAUAAUAUAAUAUAAUAAUAUAUGUAACGCUCUGUUUUGACAAGUUUAAGAUAUUAAUACUUACUUUGUUGAGAAUAUUUUUAUUGUGUUUCGUUUGUUUUAUAUUUAUUUGUGCAUGUUAAUCACAAAGUGACAAUAUUUUUUUAAGGCUCAAUGGUGAGUCCUAUUAUAAUUUGCUUACUAAGACAUUGAUUGAAGGUAAGACAGUGAAUUCAAGUUUCACUACACCAAGUGGGUAAGACAUCGAGUUAAAGUCUCGGUGCACCAUGAUGAUAAGAAGUAGGGUUCAAGUCUCAUUCAUUUAUGACCAAAAACGUCUUUAUAUGGGUAAGACAUUGGGUUUAAGUCCUAAUGCACUAUAAUGAUGAUAUGAUGAUGACUAACAUAAAGUUGUAUACUUUUGACUGAAAGUUAUGAAAUUUGCCCAAUUGAUUUGCUCCAUUCUCUUAUGUGAAUGUGGUAGCAGGGUAUGAUAUGUCAAUUGAUUUGCUCCAUUCUCUUAUGUGAAUGUGGUAGCAGGGUAUGAUGUGUCUGAAAAUGACAAGUGGUUGAAUGUAUCAAUAUGAGUGUGGUAAAAUAUUAAUGGUUAUCAUUGUGGUAAUUAAAAUGAAGAACAUUAUGGGUUCUCAAGAUGGUUCUUCAAAAUGUGAAGGUAAUUUUUGCCAUCAAAAUGGUAUGAAAGGUUAUUGCGCACAUUGUUGUUGGUGCAAUUCAAUUUGAAAAGUUUUGUAAAUCCUCCAUCAAAAUAAAGGAAUACAAAGUGGUAGUACAUUUGACCUCUUAAAGUGAUGUUGAGGUGAGUCACAUAAAUUUGAUAAAUGUGAAAGCAUGACAAUGAGUUUCUGACAAAAACUUAUGGAGCAUGUUCAAAUGGUUAUGGUCCAUUUCUUAAAGAAAAGGUGACAUGUUCUUAUGGAUAAGAACAUGUCCAUGUAUUGUUGGAUAAAUGUAACAUCUUACCUCUACGAGAGGUUUAAGAGAUUGAAAAGAAAUAUUUUGACAUAAAUGAUCAUUUAGUCAUAUACUUUAAGUACUACACAAAUAUUGUGGUAUGUUAAAUUACGAACUAUUGAAGGACAAAAGAAAGAAAUAAUUCUUUCCUAUAAAGGUUGUGGCUAUGACCAAAAUAAAUAUUGUUGUGUGGCAACACAAAUUUGUCAUUGAUUGUCAAGAAAUAAGACUUGCAUGUGAUAAUUUUAAUCAUGACAGUAAUAAUAAUUUUCUCCUUGAAGGAGAUGGUCACCAUAAGAAUGACGUUGUGAAAUUUUUGAUAGUACACAAAAUUAAUUGAGAGUUCCGAAAGGGCUAAUUUGUUACUAUCCGGAGGAAUGAAAUAGUUCAUAAUAUUGGGGUUGUAGUAAGUCUCAAAAGAAACUUUUUAUGUUUCGGAAGAAUUGAAAUGAANNNNNNNNNNNNNNNNNNNNNNNNNNNNNNNNNNNNNNNNNNNNNNNNNNNUUAUUAUAUUGAGAUUGUAAAUUAUUGAAAGAUUAAAUAUCUUCAGAUUACUACAAUCAAAGCGGGUUAUGAAUAUUUACAUAAAAGGUUACCCGCCUUUCUCUUGUUUAUUGUAUACAAAUAUAGGCAUGAUGAUGGAAUCGCAUGCAAAAAAAAUAAUCUAGAAGUUUACUAGAAUAAAUAUCAGUUGGCAUAAUCGGUUGGUCAUUCCGAUUCAAAUGUGAUGCAAAAGAAAUUGAGAAUUCAUGUGACUGUGUUUGAAGAAAUAAAAGAUUCUUCAAGAAUUCUCUUGUGUUGCUUGUUCUCAUGAUAAAAUGAUCAUUGUACCAGCUAAGGUUGGGAUUGUAUCCCCUGAAAUAAUUUGAAACAUAUAAAAAGGUGAAUAUGGGCCCGUUCACCUGCCAUGUGGACCGCUUACUAUUAUGAUUUAAUAGAUGCAUCUAUGGUAUGGUUACAUGUGCAUUUGUAUCAACUUGCAAAUUGGUUUUUGUAAGGUUGUUUGCUCAAAUUGUUAAAUUAAGAGCACAGUUCCAAACUAUAAAAUUAUGUUGAUAAUACUGGUUGGUUUAGAAAAAAUUGUUUGCUUCCAAUUAUAGCUAGACCAUUGAUUAUCAGAAUAAAUCUCUCAAAUAAGAUUUGGUAUGAGAUGAGUUUAUUUAACAUGUAUGCAUCAAGCCAACAAGGUUCUCCCAUUACAAUUCGUUCAGGGUCAGGAACCAAAUAAUCUACAUCUAAAAUUUGAUGUGUGCACAUAUGAUUUUAUUGCUCCACCACACACAAAGAUGGAUCCCCAAAUGAGGUUGGGGGUAAAUGUUAAAUUUCUUAACAUUAGGGGGAGAUAUGUUUAGCAGCUGAAAAUUAUGUGUGGGGUGAAUUAUCUAGAUCCUCGUUAAAAAAAUGUGAACUUGAAGUUCAAGAGAUACUUCAUUUGCAAAAUUUUGUAAAUAAUUUGUCAGAUGUAUUUGCUGACCCAAUAUUUUAAUUAAGCUGCAAAUGCUUCAAUAAAUAGUCAUUGAAGGACAAAGUCUAUGGUACGCCAGAAGCGUGAUAGACCAAUCGAUUCCAAAUGUAAAACUCAUUGAGGAAGGAGAGGAGCAAAUUAUCAAAAUGGUCAUGAUAAUGAGGUAAGUGCUUUGAAAGAGCACUAUGACUUAACACUUCAUAAAACCUUGGCAAAGGUUCAGGUACCUGAAAAUGAUGAAAAAUGAAGAGAUCUCGAUAAGUUGUGUCGUAUUGAAAUCAAUAUCAAAAUGACCGUCGACAGUAUCUUUGAUAUGAAGUAGCACUCAAUAUUAUAAAUGCUUACGAGGAUCUUAAAUUCGAAUCUGUCAUAUAGUGUGGACAGAUAAAUGAUUGCCACUAUUCAAGUAUAUUUUGUUUCGCUUAAAAAAGUGAUGUUUUGAUCUUAUAGUUCAUGGAUCAAAAUAUAAUGCCAUUGUGGUACAACUGAAUCAUCGUGCAAAAGUAUAACUGUAAGAUAUAAAGUGCAGUUUGUGCCUUGGGGAAUAAAAAGUUUUCGCAAAAAUUCUGACAUUAUUAAAUAGAGAUAUAUUCUCUAGUGGUGGAUGCAAUGGGACUUGUUCAGUCUGGCGAAUAGAUGAAAUACUUGAAUAUGCAUAAUGAAUGAUUAUUAUGUCUAACUAGAUGAUUAAGGUUACAUGAAGGAUUUUAAAGGUCUUAAAGCAAUUCCAUUGAGUACCCAAUGAUUUUGAGACUACUUAACACAAAGAAAGAAUUUUUUUGAUCUCAUGAAAAUAAUUUAAAAUGUCAUGUAUUAGUGCAAUUGGUGCACUUAUAGAUUGUUGGUUAUGCAAAUGCUAGAACAUUAUUUGAUAUACAUAACGAAAGUUAUGUGAAAAUAUUGUCAUAUUAUCAUUCAAGUUAUGACAAGAAACUAACAAAGCAAGUGACUCAACACAUAGAAGAUGUGUGAUUUUCUUUCAAAAGAAAAGACGAGCUUCAAUAAAAUUGAAAUGAUCAAUCCCCGAGUCAGAUAUGAUUUGAUUAUGUAGAUGCUGAAUAUUUAUUUGAUCUGCAUAAAGCUCGAUCGCAAAUGGACUAUUAAUUUACAUAUGGAGACGCAACAAUAUCUUGGCAUUCAAAGAAUCACAUUAGUAAUCACUUCUUCAAAUCAUGCAUAAAUAAUAUUGAUCUAUGAAUUAAGUCGGGAGUGUGUUUGGUUGGAAUCAUAAUCUAUCAUAUUCAGAAAAUAUAUGAUUUUCUUUUGGAAAGAAUAUUACAGCCACCAUAUACGGAAAUAAUAUAUAGCUCAUUGAAGGGAGGAUACAAUCAAAGGAGAUCGGACAAAACAUAUUUCACCAAAAGUCUUUUUCACACAUGAUCUUCAACAAAAUGGUGAGAUAAACGUUCAAAGACCCAUUAAAGUGAUAAUCGUGUAAACUUAUUCACUAAGGAUUGCCAACAUCAAUAUUUGAGAAGUUGUGAUAUAAGAUUGGAAUGCAUCAUCUUUGAUAUAUCAAGUAAAGUUUUUAUCGGGGGGAGAAAAAUACGCGUUGUACUCUUUUCCUUAACCAUGGUUUUAUCCCAAUAGAGUUUUCCUGGUACGAUUUUUAACGAGGCAACAUUCAAAGUGUAUUAAAAGAUAUGUGUACUCUUUUUCCUUCACUAGGAUUUUUUCCCACAGGGUUUUUUCCUAGUAAGGUUUUAAUGAGGCAUAUUAUCUAUGAACAUUCAAGGGGGAGUGUUAUAAAAUAUUAUAGUGUGGAUGUCCACUACACCAAGAAGGAACUCUCACCCAUUAUUUCCAUUACUUUCCCCAUUAUGAAGAUAACCAUAACCUCCAACUUUAUAACCAUUAUUCUUGUAAUCUUUUACUUCUAUAACCUCCUCCAUUAUAUUCAUGUUAAUAUCAUGUUUAUGACAAACCUUUUGUAUGCCUCUAUGUUACACUAUAAAUAGAGGCAUAAGGGUUCAUAUUGUAGAGACUUGAAGAUUUGGUGAACACUUGAAAGAAAGAAAGUUAUCUCAUAUUAUUCCUCUUGUUUUAUAUUUCUUGCACUACAACAUUUUAGGCCUACGGCCACACUAAAUCUAGACAACGCUUGUAAAGUGUUGCCUAAAAUAGUUUUGGGGACGCUUUUAAAGCGUAGCCCAAGUUUUUAACUUUUAGCUUCGAUAAUAUUGGCAACACUUGUAAAGUGUACUCCUUAAUGGUAUAAGUUACACUUUAUAAGCGUUGUUAAAGUAUGAUAUAAUUGGCAACAACUAUUUACAUAAAUGUCCAUACUUUUAAAGUGUCCUAUUUUUAUAAUCGUAAAAACACACUACUAAAAAUUUGGUCUAUGGAGACAGUUCAUUUACCGUUGCAUUAGGCUUCUAUUUUGUUGCAAUAGCUCUAUUGCCACGGUUUAGGCAACCACUACAACAGAUCGCGUAGCAAUAGCACUGUUGCUAUGGUUAUUUCCGACAGUUCUUAUAAUCCCUAUUACAACGGUUUUUUACCUUGUGUUAUUGUCAACGGUUAAAGCCCUACUGAGACGAUUAUGAACCGUGGCAAUAAACUUUUAUGCGACAGUUAUAUGUGUUAUAGCUACGUUUUUUUCCAAUUCAACAACAAUUUCUGUCAGUUGCAGCGAUUUUUAUAUGGUAGUGCAACAGUUCUAAAUUACUAUGACUUUUACUCCAUUGCUAUUGCUACAGUUAUUAUUAGGCUUUUGCAACAACUAUUUGCCUAUAGCAACAAUUCAGUUUAGGCUUUUGCAAUCGUUACUAUUAGUCUUUUGCAACAAUUAUUAUUAAUCUUUUGCAACAGAUUCUACUGGUCUACUGCCACAUAUAAUUUAUAGAGCUAUUGGAUAUAGAAUAUAAAAUACACAAAUCGAUUCAAUACCAAAAUUACAAUCCAAGAUCCAUGGUUAGGUAAUAUCGAUAACAAUAAAAUAUAGAACAAUGUUCACGAUUCAAAAUGGGUGUACUGAAACAUUACACAUGAGUUUUUGGUCUUCAAAACUAAAAGAUUUGUAGAACAUUAAAGUUAAUCAACAUCAAGCCAGUCAACACCUAGGUCAAGUUCCCAGUACUGCUUUCAUCCUCUUCUUCGAUUUUAUCACCUAUAAUGAAAAUACAAAAUAAAUUAGCAAAAUUUUCAUACAAGCUUAGUAGUUCCACGCCAGUCAUACAUAAACUUUACUACUUGCUAUCUAUAAUUGACAUAUAAAUUCAAUAAGCUUCAAAUGACAUAAAACAAAACAAAAAAUUGAUGAGGUAGAGAGUUAGGAUAAAAAGUCUCCUACAUUUCGGCCAUAGGUGAAUCUAACAGUAGAACCAUCAGUUAAAUCAAUUCAAUAAGGUGGGUUAUUGGCAUUUGGAGCAGUGAGGAGAUUUUUGUUGUUUCUAUUAUCAAUAAUAAAGAUUCUCUGAUAAUGAACAAAUAGGGCAUCUGUUCUUCAUUUCUUACCAAUAUGAUUUUAAAUUCAUAAAAAGUAGCAAUGUAUUAUCAUCACAAAUCAUACAAUGUUAUUAGUAAUAGUCAUUAAAGGAAAAGAAUCUCAAAUCAUACAAUGAUACCAGUACUAGCCAUUAAAGGAAAUAAAUAGAUAAAAUUAAAACUAUGGAAAAACUAUAUGUAGGAGGAUGAGACAGUUAAGGGAAAAACUUUUAACUAGGUAAAUAACUCACAGCUAAUGAGACCGAUCCUAGGAAAUACAAGCUAACCAAAAGGCCAACAAGGCCACCAUCAGAAAAACUAGCUAAAAACAAGAUCACCAAGGUUGCACAAAGCUCAAAGUGACAUUUAUAACAAGUCUACAAGCCGCAACAGAAAGAAAAUAGAAUCGCAAUAGAGAAAGGAAAUAGAAUUGCAAAUGAGACAGAACGAAGAAAAAUAAGAGGAAGACAAAGACAAAGAUAAGAAAAAUAAGAAAGUGUCAAAAUAGAGAAUUAGCGACACUAACCUUGAUCAGCCGCUUGUGGGGUAAGUAAGUUCUCUAUGUGAAGGAACGGACAAUGCUGCUAGUAUGUUAGGAUCAAUUAAUCAUACAUGCUGAAGUUGUGCAAUUACAUAUGCGAUAACUUCUAAUCGCAUAGUUCUGUAUUGUUAAUCAAUUUGUUUCUCCAUUUUUUACAUCUUUUCUUGCAUUUGUCGUACUACAUCUUUUGUGGCAUUUAAAGUUGGUUCACAGUUAGCAGAUUUUAUUUUCAAAGUAAUCUUUAUAACCUCCACUCCAUAUUGUCUUAGACGUCCCGAAUGUUCAGAACCCAUGAAGGCUGAAAAUGCAUCAACAAACUCACCAUUUGCGUCCAUUUGUCUUUCAAUUUACUCCAUUUCUGCCUAACAAUGCAUAUCCAAUAGCAUGUAAACUAAAUUUAGAACAAAUACUGACUCAAAAAAAUUAAAACAAAUAAUUGAUCUCAAGAAAAACUUGUAAAUAGAUGACACUCGUACAAUUUCACUAGUUGUAUUUUCAUUCGGGGCGGCCUUGUACAAACACCCGAGUUUCCUUGUCCUUGUGACCAUGAAGAUCUCCUUAGACGAUACAGUUUCCUUAUCUUUUUCCUAGUCACAUAAAAAUAAAUAUAAGAAAUAACUUAAAUAAUAGGUUAAGACUUAAUAAUAAAUAAUAGAACACACCAAUUUAUUACAGACUAAAGCAAAACUUUUUUUGCCAGAUAGGUGUGGGUUCAUCAGCUUUUUCCGAUUCUCAAUUUUUGUUUCAGACAUUUUUUGUGCUACAUAAUGUACUAGAUGAGGUCAGUGCUUCCUAUUUUCUAAUACCAAAACUUAAAACUUGAACACUACUAUACCAGCGUAAGAUAAGUUGAAUGCUAUAAUAGUCAUCUAGUAACUAAAGAAACAAUGGAUGGAUGCAGUUCAAGGAAAAAUAUUGUCCACAGAUACAAUUCCAAUCUACUUGGAGAAAAAUUUGACAAUAUUUAAUGGACACGGAAGAGUUUGACAAGUUAAUAUCAUAUGAAGCCAAAACCAAACUGAAGACCUUACUUUUGUUAGUUUCAAAGCUCAACUCAUAUUAUCUUUGAUCAUAAAUAAAAUCUGAGAAAGACCUUCAACUAUAAGAAAAUUAACCAAAAAAUUAGAAGUCAUAGAUAAAUUCAAUAAGUUUCAAAGCUAUGUGUUACCUUGUUCAUCAGAUUGUUCAUCUGUUGAAAGAGUGAUAGAAUUCAUUUGCACUUAAUUCUCUACAAGUCGCUCCUCUGGUGGCUGCUCCUCUGUAAAUUUUCUAUAUUCUUCAGAUUGGGGUGCAACAGGCUGCUUCUCAAUUAAUUUUAGAAGAUGCCCUUUCUUUGACUUUAUAGCUUGAACUAUUUUAUUUGUUUUCAAUAAUCCUCAUUUUUUAUUUGCGAAGAAUGAAAACGAUCCAGGUUUAUCAUGUCUUAUUUUUUUUCUAUUUCUUUUUGAAUGCUCUUGUUCACUCAUAACUAUUCAAAACUCGAGAGAGCAAGACCCAGGAGGUUCGCAACUACCACGGCCGUAAGAACUCCGCUCGUUCGUAAACAGUCUGGAAGAAUCCAUCUUUACUAAAACAUAAUCAUCAAGAUCUUACAAAUUACAUCUUCUUCGAGGUUAGAUAAUAAUACAAGUGAAAAAUCUAAAUCUAGAUAUUAAAAUCACUUAAACCAAAAGGCUUUCACUAGUAUUAUGUUUAAGUGAAAAACUUACCGUGCUUCGACUUGUAAUAAGAAAUAUAUCAUUAGCAGGUGAUAAUACAUAAUAAUACAUGUGAAAGUCUAAAUUCAGAUAUUAAUCUUUAUAGUUGGUCUAACGGAAACGUAUGUUUAUCUAUCAUACAAUCAUGAAAUGUACUUGAGAAUACAAAUACAUAACGUCUAAAGAUAAAAUAACUCAUAUAAAAGGAACAAUAUGAAAGGCUUAUCAGAUAUUAGGCAAAUAAGUUGAUAAAUAAGAAACAUGAAAGGCAAAGACAUUGGAGUGCAGGUCAUUCGAGGAAAGUGAACAACAGUAUACACUGUAUUAGUAGGAGGCAAUUUAAGAGGCAAAGUUUCAGCUAAAUACGGUGUUAUGAUAUACAACACAUGGAAGGUUAGGAACAUAAAGAAGUAUAUACUAGAGGAAAUUAUAUACUAGUUUAGUCAUUACACAGAUACAUAAAGAAGUAAAAGAGAGAAAAGGAGUAACUAGAGGAAAUUAUUUUUCAUGAUAUUAAGGUUGUAUUUCAACAUACAAUCUUAAAAGUUAUUUCUAUUUCAAUUCUAUACAUAUUUUUAUUCCCAAUUUGUGGAAUCUUGCAGCUACAACGUACAGUGUUGAGGAAUUUCAUAAUGGAAAUUGCCUCAAGGUUGCUUUUAUAUUCUUAACUAGGAAACGUUCUUUAUUAUAGCAAUUAUUUUGAAUGGAUUUUGGAGUAUACACCUCAAUUUUUUGUUGCAUUGCCUAACUACAUCUAUGUUGUAAGUUUCUGAUUUUAUAGAUAUAUUCUUUAAGCAUUUUAGGCUUAUGUAGAGUUAAAAAAAUUCUCAUUUGAAAUGUUUUAAUUAUUUUUUUGGUUUGUAGGCUCAACUUGAAACUGUUGUGUAGGCUUGCUGCAAUAUUGUUAUUUGAUAAAGCAACAAGACUAUUUAUGGUAUUAACUCUCAAAGGGAAUGUGAAAUUUUUAUCCCUUAAAGAACAUAGAUGUCGAAAACUUUUUUCUCAUCUGCCAUCGAUUUAUAGUAAUCACAAGGCUAUAAUGUGAAGAAACAAAUGCAUACAGUGCCGUUUGCCAAAACAUGAAAGGCUGGGUAGGAACAUGAAAAAUUCUCGAACACAUAAAUAGACAUACUAGUUUAAUCAUCACACAGAUACUAUAAAAAAGUAAAAGAGAGAACAGGAGUAAUAUGUUUCAACAUCCAGAAUCCAAUAAAAUGGAGUUUUCACCAAUUGUUUUACAUACAUUUGACAUCAGUUGAAAAAAAUAUUUUUUCAACUUAACAUAUCAUCUAUGACAAUAGCUAUAGCAGUCAUCUUUGGCAACAUUCAUGUGUUUAAUCAACAAUGAUACAAAAAUCAAAGUUCAGAACAAUAAUGUAAUGACCCUAAAGGUCAUUUUUGGAAAUUNNNNNNNNNNNNNNNNNNNNNNNNNNNNNNNNNNNNNNNNNNNNNNNNNNNNNNNNNNNNNNNNNNNNNNNNNNNNNNNNNNNNNNNNNNNNNNNNNNNNACACGUGCCAUCACAUCCGGAUUUGGGUUGUGACAAAUAACUUCAAACUUUCGACCAACAGUAAAUUUAACUUGACAUGAUAGAUAGACGAAACUCAAAAUACUAAAAACAUUGGGAGAAAAUCAACUACAAAUCAGAAUUUGUUUCAUAAAAAUGAAACUCAGCUUCACAAUGAUUUUUUUCUGAGCAUUAAAAUCAUCACCAAAUUUGAGAUACAAACUCUAAACUACAAAUAGAUAUCACACAGACCUAAACUAGAACAAAUAAUAUAGAUUUCAAGCAAACCCAAUUGUUAGACUUUAUGAUUUCUAAAAGACCUUAAAUAGAGUUUCUGAUUUUUUAAAAUAGUACAUGUAUAACAAAUUAGAGACAAUGAGGAAUUAGAAAUCACCUUAAAAUUAGUAUACCUUUACAUGCAGAAGUUUAAUGUGGAAGAAGACUACUGUUGGAGAAGAAUACCACUAUAGAUGAACACUUCACACCGGAGAAGAAGACUACUGUGGGAAGACUAGUGCGGUAGAAGAAAAAAAAUUCUUCACCGGAGAUCCAUGUUUGCUGUCGAAAAAGAAGUAGUCACCGGAGUUUUGAAAUUCUAGGGCUAAAGCAUUGUUGUUUAUUUUGAGACCUUAUUUCACUAAAAAAAUAAAAUAAUGCGGGUCUACUAAAUUAGUGGGGGAAAUGAAUUUUUGAGACAUAAAAUUUACGGGGACCAAAAAGUAUACUUUUCACUAAAACAAAUCAUUUUCAUAGAGUAUUUUAUAGCGACGGUUAACAUGUAUGUUGCAAUAGAAAGUUUGUAGCGAUGGUUAACAUGUAUGUUGCAAUAGAAAGUUUGUAGCGACGGUUGUGCGGAAGAUUGAUACGCUCAAAUUACACCUCCCUAAAGAAGUAUAAGCAAUUGUUAUCAAGUAAAGAACUCAAUUUGUAGGUUGGGGGUUGAUCCCACGAUGAAUAUGGUUUAGACUUAACUUUAACUUAUGAUUAUAUUCAUUUAGUCAAUGUAUUUAUGAGACAAGUAAGUAAGGGAGGGGGGGCGGGGUUGUGAAACAAAUAACUGAUUGAUUGUUAAGUAACAAGUGAGCAAGAUUCGAACUUUUGUUGUUAUCAAUGAGAGAGAGAAACUAGGGUGUAUGUGUUCCCUAUAAGCUAUUAACUCGGUAAUCCUAAUAAUAGUAAUCCCUUCCUAGUGUAUCACAUGCAAAGUAGUAAGUUAUGUAUCCCUAAGUGCUUGGUCCGCCAAAUAGGGAAUUUCACCCCGCACCUUGGUCCGGCUUCGUGUGUAUAAUUUACUAACCCUUACAUUUACAUUGGAUUAGACAUCACAUCAAUGUAUGACUUAGUUUUCACCCUCGCACCAACUGACAUUAGACUAUUAGAUAGUAUCACACUAAAUCUCCAUUGAUAAUUCUUUUCUUAUUAAGUAUCUCCUUGGUCCGGCAAGUAGCAACAAGGCGAGUUCUAACGCGUGCACUAGUUAAAAAGAUUUAUAAGCGAAAGAAUUACCAGUACAUGCAUCAAAACUAGUCAAGAAUUACUUAGUUAUUAUUCAUACGUUGUUAAUUGCUUAUGGUUCCCACAACCGUGGUUGUGGACUUAGCUACUCAUGCUUGAAAGAACACAAUUCAUAUUUGUAGAAGAAGAAUUCAUGAACUUACCUAUUGAGUAGAAGAAACCCGUAAUCUUCAAUUGAAAUUCAAAGCAAGAAUCUUGAUAAACCAAAAUUAGGAAAUCAAACUGUUAAAGUUUGCAAGUUAAUUACCAAGAAAAUACCAAGAACUAAAAUUAUACUAUGGUGUCUAUCCCCCAAAAAUGAGGUUUACAUGCCCUAUUUAUAUAAAAACAUGUCCUAAACAAAAAGGAAACGAAAUAAGAAAAUAAAUUUUUUUGAACACGACUUCAAUCGACGAUACUGACCUACAGACCGUGGACUGAACUCGGUCCGUAGGUCCCUUCCGUGGUUCAAGAUUAAGACAAUUUCUCAGAAGUUUUGGAACCUUCAACUCCCAGUUGCAAUCAACAGACGUCCAGUACGGACCGUGGGUCGAUCCACGGUCCGUAGGUCCUCUUCCGUGGCUCCACACUUAGAACUUUUCAUCCUGUACUGGAACUUCAACUCUCAGUGAUCAUUGACGGACGUGCAGGACGGUCCGUGGGUUGACCUAUGAUCCGUCACUCGCCUCUGUAGUUCCACACUUGAUCAGACUUUACAUAUGAGCACUCCAUGCCUACCCACUGAUGGACCGUGAUUGGACCUACGGUCUGUAGGUCACUUCCGUGGGUGGCAACUUCUGCAGAAUUUCAGUUGUAUCUCUCUCAACUUUGUCCAAGCCUAUUUCCUGUUAUUUUAGCACAAUAAACAUUAGUUCUAAUACAAAAUGACCCUAGACACACACAAAUCUUAAGCGAAAUGCAUUAAAAAUACUGUAAACUCACGGUAUAUCAAUACCCUCAACUUAAAUUCGUUGUUUGUCCUCAAGCAACACACUAAGACUCUAAACGACACUUGUAUAGAAGCAGACAUUCAAACAUAAGCAAUCACAUGACUUUCUAUCCCAACUCCCUUUUUGAGUGCAAAUCUUUUCUCUUAGACUCAACAAGCUAACUCAUGCGGAUCAAGAUAUGACAAAGAUCGACCAAUAGACACACAACAUACACUUUUUCACUAUCACCAAGGUACCAACUCUCCGACAAUGUAACUAGUGCCCUUACUUCAAACGAAAACCCUUUUUCCACACAAUGAAUAAGAUUUUGAGUACAAGGAUUCACUAAACACUCACGCUCAGAAGUAACUUCAAGUAUAGUUAGUGCUCAAUGCCAUAGGCUUGCCUUAUUUUCACUGCUUAGAUUCUCCAAACUAGUUGCUAGGAUCACUAUAGGACUUUCUUAGCUUGUAACGUAGGCUCAGGGUCAGGUGUGGUACAUUUGGGUACUUUUAAUUGACUUUCUGCCCUCCUUGACAUUACAUUGGCUUUUAACCUCUUUUCUACCUAUUUUUGACAUCCUUCCUUUUUAUCUUCUUUCCCUUGACUCUUUUCACCAUGGAUGUAACUUUUGACUUUGUAGCUCUUAUUUUUCACUUUCUUCUUUUUCUUUCACUUUAUUUUUUUCUUUAUUUUUCAGCACUUUUAUUUAUAUCUUUUUGCUUCUUUGGCACAAAGUCACAUCCUCUUCUAUCUUCUCCUUUUCUCUUUUCAUACCUAUUUUUCUUUCGGUUUUCUCUUUCAUAGCCACCCUCAACUUAUGGAUUUUCCAUUAGUUGAGGUGCACAUUAUCCGAUGUCAGACCAGGGCCAAGAUUGAGGUUACUUUUAGCAUUAGCCACCCUCAACUUAGGCUUUUGGCCUGAGUCAAGGUACACAUGUCCAAGGAGGGAUCAGGGCCAAAACACUUAUUUUAGGGAAGGUGAGUUAGGUGAAUCAAAAGAAAUAGUCAAUUUUAGGCUCAAUUAUUUGGAUCAAAGGGAACAUUGAUUUCAUUUGGUUGGACUCUUUUAGGCUUAUGUGGACUAAUUUGAACAAGGGCCUAUGAUCACUUCCCAACUUCUAGCCUAGAUACUCUUAGCAGGACCAACGGGGUAAGUUCUAGAUUGGCACAAACUGUCUAAACAAUCAACUUUCCUCACACACUCUUGGCACAUUGUUUCAUUAUCAGAUUACUCAGUUCAAGUUUUAGCUUAAGUCAUGAGAUCAAAUUGGUUCUUUAUCAUGUCAUACUCAGAGCCAACACAUUCAACUCAUUCUAGCCUACAUAUUUUAGCACAUAUCACAACUUUUGGACGGGUAUCAUUUUUCUCUCUUAAUUAUGCCAUCAUGCUUCAUUCUUUCUCAUGCUUCUACACAUACAACCCUAACAUAUGUCGGUUCAAUAGAAAUUAAAAAAAGUCUCUUGGGGGAAAAGAACACAAGCAAGAAAACCCCAAGAGAGGAUUAUGAGUUGGGUUACUCAGACUUCACCCUAUCACUCAUAAUCCAUUUACCCCACCCCCAACAAAAUAGAGUGAAUUAUCCCCAAUGCACAAAAAAUAAAGAAUAGAGGAACGGUGAAGCAAACCAGUGGCGCAUAGCACCGAAGACCUAUCCACAAGCGGGUGGGUUUGGUUUCUCGGAGCCCACUAGAUCAAAACUUGGGUCACCAUCAGUAGUGCCCACAUCUACCAUCUCAGCACCAUCAGUAGUGCUAGCAUCAACUCUCGCCUCACCAUCAGUAGUGCUCACGCCAACUCUCACUGCACCAUCAGUAGUGCUCAAGCGGCUAGAGGCACCAACACCUACCUCCCUAUCCCGCUGCUGCCACAACCUCUCAUCAAUAAUAGAUGCCCUUCGAGCCACCUCAGUCUCUUGGUGCUCCCUCUUACUAACUCUUCCAACCUCUGUAUCGUCAGAAGCUCGACGGAGCGGAGGCGCUUCCCAGCAUGAUGGGAAGCAGCAGGAGGUGGCAUCCAAUCCUCGAAUAGAGCAUCGAACACCGUAUUAUCAACGGGUGUAGUUGGGGCUUACUCAGGCUCAGUCUCUGGUGAAUCUAGGAGGGUGUCUAGAUCAGCCUGGAGACUAGCUAACUCCGUCCGGAAAGCAGACAUAUCUGUAGUGAGGGCUGGUCGCUUUAUAUACGCAACUCAAAUGCAUCAAGGCGAUGGUGAAUGACCUGAACCAUUUGGUCCAUCAUCUGCUCAAUCUGCUACUCAACCCUAGUCGUGAACUCCUCAAUCGCACGCUGCAUUCACGACCUCACAAGCUGAAGCAUGGUAGCCAUCUGAGCCUCCAAUUUCUGGACUCGAGCUAAGGGCAUGGAAACAUACCUCGAAGAGGGGGUGGCUCUAGAGGAGCUAGGGGCCUGACUGGCUGCUGGAGAAUGGGAAGCCAGGGCAUCCUCAGUAGUGGCUGGAGGGACCGGCUCCUGACCCUGCAUCUGCUCCACAUAUGCUACCAAGUCUGCUCUCAAUGGAAACACCUCAACCUCCCGCUCUCUGCGUGGUGCCGCCAUAUUUCAUCUCGAAUCAAGCCUAUAUCCAGGGUCUUGGUCGCCUGGAUCAACUUGUCGCAAUGCUAAACCGUCACUCCAACAUCCCUGCACAGCUGAAAAAUAAGGCAUGGGAAAGGGUAAGUGGUGGUGGCUUUGAAGUCCCUCUCGUGUAUCUCCGCAAUGAUUAUGUGGGCAAAAUCCAUCUCAAACCCUACAGCUAAGACUGCAACCAUGGCUGUGCGGUCCCAAGUAAGAACAUUGUUUGCCUGCGUAUGAGACACUCUGUUUCACACCAACAGCCAGAAGAAUUUGGCCACAAAAGUAAAGGUUGCCUUCCUGAUGCCUACACUCGGUGUGCUGACCCACUCGACGCGCUCUCUGUCUAUAGCAAGGUGACGGGACAACCAGCAUAAUAAAUUCUCCCUCUACUAUGUAUUCCUCUGGAAUUCCCCGCUCCUAACGAUGUCCCAGCGAUAAUCAAACUCGGUCUUGUUGAUCGCUAGAGUGUUGCCCGAACCAUAGAGGAAUUUGCGGAUGGCGGUCUCGGAUAUAUCGACCGCAAACCCACGCACUAGUGUAGAUGUAAGAGGAGGCUGGGCGGCGGGCUUGUCCCAUUUGUCAAUAGAACCUCGAAGGGUGGAUGCAUAGGAAGUGUAGAACUCCCUGACGAUCUCCUAACUGAAGGACCUUAGGCUACGGGCCAUCCACUUACACCUGUGCUGCUGGAAGAGAGCUUGGAUGUCAAGCAUAGCAUGAAGGCUACCUGUGAGCACCCGGCGCUCCUCGGUAACCAAUCGAGCCAUCUUAUCUUUCUCAUUCAGCAUCUUGGAGUCGCGGUAUAUCUACCACUGGCCACUCAAGCACCAUCUUUUGGGCUAUCCAAGAACUCAUGCAAGAUCGGUACUCUGAGGCACUGGAAUGUCAUAUGCACUAUGAGCCUCAGAGGAUGAGGCGUUGGCACUAUUAGAACUGGAGCUGAAUGCGGAGUUGGAGCUAGAGUCAGAAUCAGAGGCGGACUCAGAACCAAUCGGUGAACCGAUCAGUGUAUCCUCCUCAUCAGACUGGGAGGCAGUGACUAUGUUGGGAAUCACCUGCCGUGCUUGAUUCUGUGUGGUACGUGGUGCAGUAGGGGAUAUCCUAGUAGUGGGUGGGACAUAUGCAGAGUCAGUCUCCGCAUCAAUAUCUUGAUCAAGUAGCCAAAGGGUUGGUGCCACUGAUUUGGACUUGCCCCUUGUGAAGAAGACCGGAGCUUUCCUGGGAGCCAUGGUACCUGUGGAGACUUAGUUAGUACCAAAAUAAACCAAUGACACACUCGAAAAGAUUUUAGAACAAAAACAAAAACUGAAAAAUUAUGUACAGUAGCAUCAGUGACCACCUACGGUGGGUACCUAUGGUCCGUGGCUCCCCUCCGUAGGUCAGAGAUCCCAAAAAGUUGGGUCUCUGAUGGGAACCACGGAUGUGCAAAAUGGUCUGUAGGUUGACCUACGGACCGUAGUCCACCUUUGUGGUUCCUCACUUAGAGGAUUUUUCAUGUGCAACAGACCCACGGACCCGACCCACGGUCCAUCGAUUUACCUACGGUCCGUGGACAGGGUCUCGUGGGUCAGAUCUGUGACAUAUAUCUGACAUGCCUCAUUUUUAGACCAUUUUUUCAACAAUUCAAACAAUUAACCUAAAUGUAAUCAUGCAUUUCAACACAAUUUAUGAUAGUUUGUCAUCCCUAGGGUUCUGAUUUCUCGCUAUUUAACUUUGGUAGCAUACAAAGCUAGGAACCCUAAGUCGAAACUACCAUUUAGACUAUUUACCCUGAGUUAUUUGAUUACAACGACAACACAAUCACAUUCUAUCGUCCCAAGGGUGUUUCUAACUAUAGUUUAUCAUGCAAUUUCAUACAAAAACAAUCCAAGGUCAAGACCCACUUCGUGACUUCAUGUAUUGAACAAUGAAUACCGAAAUUCAGAGUUAAGGUGAAGUCGUUUGUUUACCUUACAAGUAUUGGAAUUGGGUGAUUGUGUGAUGCAAUAGACUCCUUAGACCUUUUUUGAACCUUUGACACCGAACCCCGACCUUGAACUCUUUGGUGAAGGGAAAAUGUGAUGAAUUUUGGUAGAGAGGAAUGGAGUAAUAGGAGAGGAGAAGAUAAUUAUGGGAAAGGAGAGUGAUUUAGGGGAUUUAUGAGGGAGUUUUGGGAUUUGGAGGGGUUAGAAACGGUUAGGAGGGAGUUUGGGUAAUGGGGGGUGUAUUUGAAUUAAAGAGUUUUUAUUAAAAGGGGGUCUGGGUCGGGUCGACAAAACCCUAACUUUGGACCCACGAAACCCCGUCUACGGGCCGUGGGUCGACCUACGGACCAUGGGUCAGGUUCAUAGGUACCUCAACACUUAGAAAAAAAUUAGGCUACUUACCUGGGAUCUACGAACGCCGUUCACGAUCCGUGGGUGGAACCACAGACCAUCGAUGGGGUCCGUAGACCUCUGUAACAGACAAUUUCUGCAGAUUUGGCUUUCAUCCCUGCACAUUUAGCAACCGUUAGGACGUUCUUUUUACAUUUUCUGGACACUUUUUAGACAUGGACCCUAUGCUAUAUCUAGCCAACACUAAUACAAAAAUAAAAUGCCAAUCUAAUGAAAUAAAGAAAACCAAUUAAACAAAGAAAACUCCUAAAUCGAAAAGAAAAACCUAUAGUUGGCUAGAUUGUACAUCUUGGGUUGCCUCCCAAGCAACGCUCGAUUUAACGUCACGGUACGAUGCAGGCCUCUUGUUUACUCAAACUUCAUCAAGGUAGUAGGCCUCAACCACUUUUUGCACACUCUCUUCUUUCCCCAUGUAGACCUUGAUCCUUUGCCCGUUCACCUUGAACCUUGUUCCUUCCUUGUUCUCGAGCUCGACCGCUCCAUGUGGGAACACUUGAGUGACUAUGAAUGACACGGUCCACUUGGACUUGAGCUUGCCAAGAAACAAGCGCAACCUAGAAUUGAAUAGAAGCACCAGAUCACCCACAACAAAUUCACGCUUUUCAAUCUUUUGAUCAUGAUACUUCUUCAUCUUUUCCUUGUACAAGGCUGAACUUUCAUAAGCUUUUAGGCGAAACUCAUCAAGCUCAUUCACGUCAUUCACUUUUUGACUCGAUGCGGCUCCCCAAUCCAAAUUCAACUUCUUCAGUGCCCACAUAACCUUAUGCUCUAGCUCUACCGGCAAAUGGCAAGACUUCCCUUAUACAAGUUGGUAGGGGGACAUACCUAUAGGAGUCUUGAAUGCGGUGUGAUAGGCCCAUAGAGCAUCAUCAAGCCUCCUUGACCAAUCGGUUCUAUUUGCAUUCACAGUCUUAGCAAGGAUUUGCUUUAUUUCUCUGUUGGACACUUCAACUUGCCCACUAGACUGCGGAUGGUAAGGAGUGGCUACAUUGUGGCGGACUCCAUAUUUCUCAAGCAAACCCUUUGAACAACUUAUUACUUAAGUGGGAACCUCCAUCGUUGAUAAUUUCCCUAGGUGUACCAAAUUUGGAGAAGAUAUUCUUUUUCAAGAAUGUGGUGACACUUUUACCUUCAUUGUUUGGAAGCGCAAUUGAUUCCACCCAUUUCGACACAUAAUCAACCGCAAUAAGAAUAUACUUCAUCUCAUGUGAACUAAAAAAUGGACCCAUAAAAUCAAUGCCCAUACAUCAAACAACUUAAUCACCAAAAUUGAUUCAUGGGUAGUUCUUGCCUCUUUGAAAUUCCUCCUUCUCUUUGGCAACGAUCACAAGACUUGGCGAAAUCAUGAGCAUAUUGGUGGAUGGAAGACCAGUAAUACCCAGACUGCAAAAUCUUAUGCGCAGUCCGAAUACCACUAUGAUGCCCACCAACAGGCGAAGAAUUACACGCCUCUAGUAUAGUCAUCAUCUCAACCUCGGGCACACAACGAAGAAUAAUCCCAUCAGCACAAAUACAGAACAAAUAAGGAUCAUCCCAAUAGAACUUCUUUACAUCAUGCAUAAACUUUUUUCUUUGGUGAAAAGACAAAUCUGAUGGAAUCAGAUCACUUGCCAAGUAGUUAGCAAAGUCUACGAACCAAGGAAUCAGACCAUGAGAAGCUGCCAAUACCUGUUCAUCUGGAAAAGCAUCAUCAAUUUCAGCCCCAUCUCCUAGCUUAAGCAUAGCUUCUUCCUCUAAUCUGGACAAGUGAUCGGCAACUUGAUUUUCGGUUCCCUUUCUGUCUUUCACCUCAAAGUCAAACUCUUGCAGUAACAAGACCCAUCUAAUCAAACUCGGUUUCGCAUCCUUCUUAGCCAUCAAAUACCUCAAUGCAGAAUGGUCAGUAUGCAUUAUGACCUUAGUACCAAGCUAGUAGGAUCAAAAUUUCUCGAAUGCGAAAACUACCACAAGUAUUUCAUGUUCCAUCACUGUAUAGUUAUUUUGAGCCACAUUUAGAGCUUUGUUGGCAUAGUAAAUAGGAUGAAGAAUCUUCUCUCGCUUCUGUCAGAAAACCACACCAAGCGUCACUCCACUUGCAUCGCACAUUACCUCAAACAGUUGUCCCCAAUCCGGUGAAAUAAUGNNNNNNNNNNNNNNNNNNNNNNNNNNNNNNNNNNNNNNNNNNNNNNNNNNNNNNNNNNNNNNNNNNNNNNNNNNNNNNNNNNNNNNNNNNNNNNNNNNNNNNNNNNNNNNNNNNNNNNNNNNNNNNNNNNNNNNNNNNNNNNNNNNNNNNNNNNNNNNNNNNNNNNNNNNNNNNNNNNNNNNNNNNNNNNNNNNNNNNNNNNNNNNNNNNNNNNNNNNNNNNNNNNNNNNNNNNNNNNNNNNNNNNNNNNNNNNNNNNNNNNNNNNNNNNNNNNNNNNNNNNNNNNNNNNNNNNNNNNNNNNNNNNNNNNNNNNNNNNNNNNNNNNNNNNNNNNNNNNNNNNNNNNNNNNNNNNNNNNNNNNNNNNNNNNNNNNNNNNNNNNNNNNNNNNNNNNNNNNNNNNNNNNNNNNNNNNNNNNNNNNNNNNNNNNNNNNNNNNNNNNNNNNNNNNNNNNNNNNNNNNNNNNNNNNNNNNNNNNNNNNNNNNNNNNNNNNNNNNNNNNNNNNNNNNNNNNNNNNNNNNNNNNNNNNNNNNNNNNNNNNNNNNNNNNNNNNNNNNNNNNNNNNNNNNNNNNNNNNNNNNNNNNNNNNNNNNNNNNNNNNNNNNNNNNNNNNNNNNNNNNNNNNNNNNNNNNNNNNNNNNNNNNNNNNNNNNNNNNNNNNNNNNNNNNNNNNNNNNNNNNNNNNNNNNNNNNNNNNNNNNNNNNNNNNNNNNNNNNNNNNNNNNNNNNNNNNNNNNNNNNNNNNNNNNNNNNNNNNNNNNNNNNNNNNNNNNNNNNNNNNNNNNNNNNNNNNNNNNNNNNNNNNNNNNNNNNNNNNNNNNNNNNNNNNNNNNNNNNNNNNNNNNNNNNNNNNNNNNNNNNNNNNNNNNNNNNNNNNNNNNNNNNNNNNNNNNNNNNNNNNNNNNNNNNNNNNNNNNNNNNNNNNNNNNNNNNNNNNNNNNNNNNNNNNNNNNNNNNNNNNNNNNNNNNNNNNNNNNNNNNNNNNNNNNNNNNNNNNNNNNNNNNNNNNNNNNNNNNNNNNNNNNNNNNNNNNNNNNNNNNNNNNNNNNNNNNNNNNNNNNNNNNNNNNNNNNNNNNNNNNNNNNNNNNNNNNNNNNNNNNNNNNNNNNNNNNNNNNNNNNNNNNNNNNNNNNNNNNNNNNNNNNNNNNNNNNNNNNNNNNNNNNNNNNNNNNNNNNNNNNNNNNNNNNNNNNNNNNNNNNNNNNNNNNNNNNNNNNNNNNNNNNNNNNNNNNNNNNNNNNNNNNNNNNNNNNNNNNNNNNNNNNNNNNNNNNNNNNNNNNNNNNNNNNNNNNNNNNNNNNNNNNNNNNNNNNNNNNNNNNNNNNNNNNNNNNNNNNNNNNNNNNNNNNNNNNNNNNNNNNNNNNNNNNNNNNNNNNNNNNNNNNNNNNNNNNNNNNNNNNNNNNNNNNNNNNNNNNNNNNNNNNNNNNNNNNNNNNNNNNNNNNNNNNNNNNNNNNNNNNNNNNNNNNNNNNNNNNNNNNNNNNNNNNNNNNNNNNNNNNNNNNNNNNNNNNNNNNNNNNNNNNNNNNNNNNNNNNNNNNNNNNNNNNNNNNNNNNNNNNNNNNNNNNNNNNNNNNCUCUUAGAGGCUUGCAGACUAGUGUGUGCGGUGUUUAGAUACGUUAUGGCCAUGUUGGCUUAGUUUGUUGGUUUGCUGAAGCUUGUUAGUUGUGUGAUGCAUUGUCUUGUUAUAUACAUGCUUUCAGUUUUGGUAUAGAGAUCAUGGUGGCCUUGACGGCCCAAUCAGGACUUCUGUGCUAGCUGACAAUUUCUUUAUAUGAACUCUUAGGAGUAGUUGUUUCUUUUGUAGAUCUGUUGACAGGGGCCUUGCCGGCCAAGGGCUUAGCUUUAAGCCGAGAUAUACUUGUUUGUUUUCUUAAAUGCAUGUGACUGCCAUGCGCUAGUAGCAAAUGGUUCGGCAGGGUCGGCUUGGGCCUGAGUUUUGGCCUUAGGAGCCAGUUACGCUCCUUGAGUUUGGGGUGUGACAGGUUGCCCCCAAUCCGGUGAAAUAAUGAUUGGUGCGGAAACUAGCUUUUCCUUCAACUCUCCAAAUGCUCUUAGAAAAUCAUCAUCAAAAUCAAACUUACACUCCUUUUCGAGCAAUUUGCACAAUGGGUGUGCAAUUUUGGAGAAAUCCUUGAUAUACCUCCUAUAAAAGCAUGCAUGCCCAAGAAAACUUCUAACACCUUUAACAGAGAUAAGUGGUGGAAGCUUUUCUAUUACCUCUAAUUUCUCUUUAUGAACCUCAAUACCCUUCUCAGAAAUCCGAUGACCAAGCAUGAUCACCUCUUUCACCAUGAAGUGGCACUUUUCCCAAUUGAGCACAAGAUUGCACUCUUCACACCGUUUAAGCACCUCAGCCAAAUGAUCCAAACAACCAUCAAAUGAAUCACUUACCACUGAGAAAUCAUCCAUAAAUACCUCAAUAGUGUCCUCCACCAUAUCAGAAAAUAUCAACAUCAUGCAACGCUGGAAGGUCGCUGGAGCUUUACACAACCCAAAUGGCAUCUGUUUGAAGGCGAAAGUCCUAUAAGGGCAAGUGAAGAUGGUCUUCUCUUGGUCUUCCGGAGCUAUGGAGAUCUGAUUGUAGCCCGAAUAACCAUAAAAAAGCAAUACCAACCCUUACCAGUAAGGCGGUCCAACAUCUGAUCCAUGAACGACAUAGGGAAGUGGUCAUUUUCUGUCCAAGCAUUUAAUUUCCAAUUGUCCAUGCAUACUCUCCAUCCAGUAACUGGCUGCAUCAGAACAAGCUUGUUUUUCGCAUUAGGUACCACAGUAAUCCCACCUUUCUUGGGCACACUGAACAUGACGCACCUAACUACUAUCUGCAAUGGGAUAAAUGACUCCAGCAUCCAACCACUUGAUGAUUUCCUUUUUCACUACCUCUUGCAUAGACGGAUUUAGUCUUCUUUGGUACUCGAUACUAAGCUUGUGAUCUGGCAUGAGUUGGAUUUUAUCAGAACAAAUGCCAAGAGGAAUCCCACUAAUGUCCUCAAUAGUCCACCCAAUUGCCCUCUUGAACCUUUUCAACACAGAAACUAAUGCCUCAACUUGCACCUCACUCAAAUCAGCCACAAUGAUGACUGGUAAAGUACUAUCUCUCCCAAGAAUACAUACGUCAAUGUGAUGGUAGAGCCUUAAGCUCCAAUCUUGGAGCCUCUUCAAAAGACGGUUUUGUGGUGGAGAGUUGCAAUUCUCCAUAUCUAGCUCCAAUUUCGUUGGCUUGGAAUGGAAUUCGAACCUAUCAAGUGCGGUGACCAAUUCAUCAUAGUCUUCAAUACCAUCACCCUCAAAAUUUAUCAUUACCGCUGCCAGUGCAUCAGCACCCAACCUCUCCUCAAUAGACACAUCAAAACCUCACUCCACAAUAUGAUUCACCACACACAUUGAUUUGAGAUCGCUUUCCUGCUUCAUGGACCUACACAUAUUAAAAGUUACCUCUUCACUGUUCAAUUAGAACUUCAUCUGCUCCUUCUCCAUAUCGACCAAGGCGCGCCCAGUAGCAAGGAAUGAUGUCCCUAAAAUGACGGGGACAUCAAAAUCAACUUCACAAUCUAGAAUCACAAAAUCCGCUGGAAAAAUAAACAACUCCACUUUCACAAGUACAUCUUGGAGAACACCAAUGGGCCUCUUCACAGUUCUAUUGGCCAUGAGUAUUUGCAUCGCAGUUAGUUUUGAAUCCCCUAAACCCAACUUCUUAUAAAUAGACAAUGGCAUCAGAUUAAUACUAGCACCCAAAUCACACAACAUCUUAGUAAAACGCAACAACCCGAUGGUACAUGGAAUAGUGAAGGCACCAGGAUCCUCCUUCUUCUGCACAAGUAACCUCGUAGCAAUAGCACUACAAUGUUGCAAUCUAUCAUCAUCUUUAAAGCUCACGACCCUCUUCUUCGUCACCAAAUCUUUCAUAAAUUUUGCAUACCCAGGCAUUUGCUCCAAAGCCUCUAUCAACGGAACAUUGAUGGAAAGUUGUUUCAACAUAGUAAUAAACUGCGGUAUUUCCCUUCUUCAUUCUUCUUUACCAACCACUGUAGGAAUGGAGGUGGAGGUCUAGGCAUGGGGAAAACUUUUUGGGUUAUCUCCGCUUCUUUCUCUGUAGCAUUCUUGGACUCUCCAGUUACCUCAAUCUCAUUAUCAUCUUUCUCAACUACAAUUUCAACCUCAGACGGCAUAAGUGGAUCAAUGGUCUGCUUACCCCCUCAAGUAGUGACUGCCAUACAAUGCCCAUCAUUCUUCAGAUUCUGGAUGGUGUUGCUAGGAAGUGUGCCAGGCUGACGUGGGUUGACUGUAGUGGACAAUUGAUUCAUCUGCUGCUCAAGUUGCUUGAUCAACACUGCAUGGGCAUCAACUUUUUGACCGAUUCCAGACAAUUCGUUUCGCAUCUCCUUCACAUUCUCAUCAGCGGAGUCAACCUCUUCAUCAUCUUCUGCAUCAUAUCCUCAAUUCGUCAUAUACUACCCCCAGCUUCCCUAUUGCCAGAUUCCCAAUUUUGUGGAGGAACAUAAGGCCUAAUUUUAUCCUUUCUAUUACCAUAGUUGUUCCAGUUGUAGUUGUUGUCACGAUUGUAGUUCCCAUCCGGACAUAUUGACCCUCUCGAUUGUAGUUGCCAUAGUUUUGACCUUGGUUUCCUUUCCCUUGGUGUCAAUUAUUCGAGUUGGAACCUUGGGCAUUGGCUCGGAAACCCCCCGUCUGAUCAUUCACCAAGUAAGCAUCCUCCUCUUAAUAACAUUCCUCUUUCGGUGGUGGUGGAGUCCUAGUCAAUUAAUUCACCGCAUUUACCUUUUCUGGACCUCCAUUUACAUGCUUCAAUACCAACCUAGGUUUUGUCCUUAUCUGCGCCAUCUCCUUACAAAUGUCAUCGGCAGAUUGCCUAGGUGCAGCUUGAACUGCAAAUGUGCUCAUUCCCGUGUCAGACUUUUGAGUGCUCCAUGCUUUAUUGUUUCAGGAAAUCUUCUCCAGUUUCUCAGCGAUCUUCUCAAAAGUGCACUCACCAUAUGAUCCUCCAACGACAUUAUCAAGAACUGAAGCACUGCCUUACCAUUGUCAUCUUGACCUCUGUAGAAGUACUCCUUCAGUGAUUCAUCAUCAAUGCAGUGGUUCGGAACACUUCUGAUGAAUGCAGUGAACCUGUCCCACAACUACUCAAAGACUCUCCAGGUAGUGCCACGAAGUUGUUGAGUUUAUCUUUGUGGUUCAAUUUCUUGACAACGGAAAGUACUUGGCCAUGAACACCUUGUGCAAUUGAUCCCAUGUAUGAAUAGAGUUGUACGGAAGCUCAGAAAACCAUACAACAACAUCACCGGUCAAUGAUAGAGGGAAGACUCUCAACCCUAUGAUGUUCAUAUCCAACUUUGAUUGCCCCACACAACUCUUACAAACACUCCUCAACUUGGCCAUGUGCCCAUGCGGAUCUUCCGAAGCCAUACCAGAAAACAAACCCCUCGUUGUAAGCAUCUGCAUCAAACUACUAGUCACUACGAAUUUGUGCCCCAGAGGUAGUGGAGGGAGAAAAAUAGGUCCUUCAGAUUCAACAGUAUUAAACUCGACCCUGUAGUUAUCUUGCAGCCUUGGUUCUGGCAGAUUUUUCACCCUUAAUGCAUCUCCAAGUAAGUUUUCGCCAUGAACCUACGCAUUUUCCUUAACAACCCCAGGAGGCUGCAACUAAACUCCAUCACCUAGAUUCCCACCGAUUAGAUUGAGUUGGACCCCUUGAUUAUUCAUCCUUCUCAAAGUUAUGUUCAACUCUGGAUCGUAUGGGGUCAAUGGUUCGCCUCGACUCCGUGUACUUGGCAUACAAUAGAGUAGAAACCUGUAAAAAACAAAAAACAAAAAUAAAAGUAAAAUUAGGAAAUAAUUGACUAAAGUUCAAUAAUGUAGUUAAACUUAAUCUAAAAGUCAAAAUUUGAUACGCUCAAAUUACACCUCCCUAAAGAAGCAUAAGCGAUCGUUAUCAAGUAAAGAACCCAACUUAUAGGUUGGGGUCGAUCCCACGAGGAACAUGAUUUAGACUUAACUUUAACUUACGAAUAUAUUCGUUUAGUCAACGUAUUUCCGAGACAAGUAAGUAAAGGGGCGGGGGGUUUGCAAAACAAAUAACUGAUUGAUUGUUAAGUAACAAGUGAGCAAGAUUCAAACUUUUGUUGUUAUCAAUGAUAGAGAGAAACUAGGGUGUAUGUGUUCCCUAUAAGCUAUUAACUCGAUAAUCUUAAUAAUAGUAAUCCCUUCCUAGUGUAUUACAUGCAAAGUGGUAAGUUAUGUAUCCCUAAGUGUUUGGUCCGCCAAAUAGGGAAUUUCACCCCGUACCUUGGUCCGGCUACUUGUGUAUAGUUUACUAACCCUUACCUUUACCUCGGAUUAGAUAUCACAUCAAUGUAUGGCUUAGUUUUCACCCUCACUCCAACUAACAUUAGACUAUUAGAUAGUAUCACACUAAAUCUUUGAUAAUUCUUUUCUUAUUAACUACCUCUUUGGUCCGGCAAGUAGCAACAAAGUGAGUUCUAACGCGUGCACUCGUUGAAAAGAUUUCUAAGCGAAAGAAUUACCAAUACAUGCAUCAACACUAGUCAAGAAUUACUUAGUUAUUAUUCAUACGUUGUUAAUUGCUCAUGGUUCCCACAACCGUAGUUGUGGAUUUAGCUACUCAUGCUUGAAAGAACACAAUUUAUAUUUGUAAAAGAAGAAUUCAUGAACUAACGUAUUGAGUAGAAGAAAGCCGUAAUCUCCAAUUGAAAUUCAAAGAAAGAAUAUUGAUAAACCGAAAUUAGGAAAUCAAAUUGCUAAAGUUUGCAAGUUAAUUCCCAAGAUAAUACCAAGAACUAAAAUUAUAUUAUGGUGUCUAACCCCCAAAAAUGAGGCUUACAUGCCCUAUUUAUAGAAAAACAUGUCCUAAAAAAGCAAAUGAAAUAAGGAAAUAAAAUUUUCUGGACGCGACUUCAAUCGAUGAUACUGACCUACGAACCGUGGACUGACCUACGGUCCGUAGGUCCCUUCAGUGGCUCAAAACUUAGACAAUUUCUCAGAAGUUUUGGAACCUUCAAAUCCCAUUUGCAAUCGAUGGACGUGCAGUACGGACCGUGGGUCGAUCCACGGUCUGUGGGUCCUCUUCCAUGGUUCUACACUUUGAACUUUCCAUCAUGUACUGGAACUUCAAUUCUCAGUGAUCAUUGACGGACGUGCAGGACAUCCCGUGGGUCAACAUAUGGUCCGUCACUCGCAUCCUUAGUUCCACACUUGGUCAAACUUUCCUACCCACUAAUGAAUUAUGACUGGACCUACGGUCCGUAGGUCACUUCCGUGGGUGGCAACUUCUGCAGAAUUUCAGUUGUAUCUCUCUCAACCUCAUCCAAGCCUAUUUCCUACAAUUUUAGCACAAUAAACAUUAGUUCUAAUACAAAAUGGCCCUAGACACACAAAACUUUAAGUGAAAUGUAUUAAAAAUACUGUAAACUCACCUUACAUCAAAGAUGCCAUGGUUUAUUUUAAGAAUUGUUCUAUUAGAUCUAAAUAUAUAUUGUAGCGAUUAUAAGCGUUGCAACAGAUAAUCUAGUGCCACAGUUGAAUAAGUGUUUCCAAAUAAGUGUUGCAGUAGGUCGAAUUUCUAGUAGUGACAACACAUUACAAAUAUGACCUUAAAAGUUUUCACUAAAAUAUUAUAUUCCCUCCAACAUUUUUAACUCUCCCUCCCAUUUUAUUAAGCAAAAAACAUAUUUCAUAAAACAUUAAAAUUUACGUUUCCCCCAAAUCAAAACUAAAGAACACGCUGAAUCCCCCAAAUCGAGCUAAGAGCUUUUCUCUCCGUCAAAUUUUCUCGUUGAAUCACUGAAGAACACGCUGAAUCACUGAAGAACUUCUCGCUGAAUCACUGAAGGUUUAUCAGGUAAUUCAUAAAACAUUAAGACUUUCUUUUCCCCCAAAUCAUAAAAACUACCCGUCAAUUUGAAGAACACGAUUUUCUCUCCAAGCUAAGUCUGAAGAACACGAUUUCCGUCAAACAUUCUCACAGAUUUCACGAUUUCUUGUUGAAGAGCUUAAGGUUACGCCUCACAGAUGAACACGCCUUACUAAAAUGCUUCACUUGAGGUGAUGAUGUCUUAAAGCUUCAUCACAUUGAAAGUAUUUUGUUGGAAUAGGGUUUAUCAGGUAAGAAAUUGUAUCUUUGAAAGUCAAAAUUUUAGCUUUAGGGUUUUGAUAUUUCUGUGUCUGCAGAUACAAUUUUUGUUAUUUUUUGGAAGUCUAACUCGUAGUUGUAUUACCCACAUACGUUAUGAUAUUCGCCUGGACAGUUCUGAAUGAGGCAUGCCUUACUCAGAAUAAUAUGAUGAGAAGGAAAAUUCAACUAUCCAUUAGAUGUAAUAUGUGUAAAAAGAAAAGCUGAAAAUGCUACCCAUCAUUUUCUACAUUGUGAAGUUGCCUUUGAUCUUUGGAGCAUGUUUAUGUGCAUUUCUGGCCUCAAAUGGGUCACUCCUAAAUCAUUAAGGAAAGCAUAUAGGUCUGGGUGUUUGUGGGAUGUUGAUAAAUCCAUCAAGAAUAUCUGGAAAAUAAUACUUGUUUGCAUUUUUUUGUAGCAUAUGGUUGAAAGAAAUAUGAGGUGUUUUGAUGGGGUUUCAACUCCCAUAGAUUCUUUAAAGGCCAAAUGUAUUUCUAGUUUAUUAAUCACUAACACCAUGUAUCAUCAUCAAUAUUUCAAUAUUUCUCUAAGUAAAAUAGCAACUACAAGUGUUAUUUUAUUCCUAUAACCAUAGUUUUUCCAUUUUGGAACUUUCUCCUGUUUUAUUCGAAAUCAGUUGAUGUCAUCCAGACAACUGAAUUCUAACAUUUGUCAAUAAUAAAAAAGGGUAAGUCAUAUUGAGUUGAGUUUCUAGCUCAAAUUAUGUACCAAGGUUGUAGUAAAAAAGGAUGUCCAUGUCCUUUCUAGACCUCUUUUGAUAUAUGUAUUUCAGUAUGUGUUCAUUCUAAUCACUGUAGCAUUUUUACAAGUAACUUAUGUGUAGAUAUCUUAUCUUUUAUUAUGAGUUACUGCUUAAAUUUGGUUUGCUGGAUGUUCUACUACUUUCCGGUUUCAGUGUUUGAAUUGUUUCUUUUAGAUAUUAUGCAGAAAGAUUCUAAUUUUAUAUAUAUAUUUUUUUUAUUUUAUAUUUUAUUUUAACUUUUAAUAUUCCACAUAGCCAUAAUUAUUUGGGUGCAUUGCCUGAUCUAAUGUAUUUUAUUGCCUUGGUGCACCAGAGAAUUGAUGAAGUGUAAGGUAAUGACAUUUAAUUCCAUAUUAAGACAUGCAACAAAUGUCCUCUUUUGUUGUAGGGUUAGCUGCAUGGUAGCUGUUAAUGACAUUGGUGCUUCAGCAAUCAGCUAUCAUUUUCUUGGGUUACCUAUUAAAGGUUAUUAUAUGUUAUCCUGAUAAUAAUCCUGCCCUUCUUACCCAUAUGUAUUACAGCUCUAAUUCCUAUUGCUCAGUUUUGAUGCAUGUAAAAUGUAUACCUUUAUUUUAUUUACUUCUUAAUUUUUCCUUUUCCCCCAAACCUGGAUGAGUUAAUGAUGAUUGAUUUGGAAGUUUAUGUCUAAUCUUUUUAAAGCUUAGGCGAGAUUCUACCUCCAACAUUUAUUUUGUUGACGUUCAUACGAUGGUGCCUUUUAGAAGAUUACGUCCAAAUAAUUCGUGUAACCAGAGCUGGUGGAAAGAUGAUGCUUCUAACAUACUGAAAAUCUUAUCCCACCAUAAAUUCAUGGAUUUUUGUAUGUUUCCCAUGUUGUAUUGAAUUUUUACUCUUAGCUUACAACCAAAAGGUUUUUUAAAGCUUAUAAAAACUUACCUCUCUUUUUUUCACAAGCUAGUAAGCUGGAUUUAAAUCUAGCUUUUUUUCUUUUGCAUCCUCACAGGGAUGACAGUUGGACACCAGUUGGUUUGUGUUGUAAACACCAACUCAAAUAUCUUUUUCCCUUCUAGUUUUUGAAAGUUGGAUUGUUAUGCCCUCUAUUUGAAACUAAGGAGCUGCUCUACAAUUUUUCAUUAAACUCUUUUCAUAAGUCAAAAAGUCCAUUACUAUUUAGAAUUUGGAGAAAAAUAAUGGUCACCUUUUAAUAAAUCUAAAGUUAUUAUAAGAAGAAAACUUCUUAAUUUCCUAGUUGCUAAUUUAUCUAGUUUUAGCACUUGAAAUUAUUUUUUAAUCUUUCUUGAUAUCUAUUGCGAUAUAAAGUUUUUGAGUAUUUGCAUAUAUUUUUUGGUCUUUGGAGGCUACACACUUUACAUCCCUGCAACUCAUAUAUGCACAAUUGGUUGCACUCAAGAAUCUAUUUGCAUUUGAUGUUUAUAUACAUGUUCCUUGCAUGAUGUGCUACAUUCAGUCUUAUUCCAAAAUCAAGUGCUUUGUUUCUGUCCAUCUUGAGUGGUCUAAAUUGAUUAUUAAGAUUAGAAUGCUCGUCACAUAAACUAAGUGCAGGUACACCUGAACAACUAAAACAACAACCAAGGCAAUAACAUUAGUUUUUGAGUUUGAUGUUCAUGAUCAAUUGAUCAUGUUGUUCAUUACUUAGUUGGUUGUAAAGGUGGAUCUGUUUAGGCAUGUACGUAUAUACUGUAGUGAAAAUAUUACCAUUAUGAUAGUUAUUUUUACCAUUUUAGUAGUUUAUCUAUUACUGAAUAUAUACAGUCAUUUUUAAAAAAAUCUCUUUUAUAAGUCUAGUCGCAAAUCUUUCAGGGUGCAAAUGGUGCAACACGAGAUGAGUUAUUGUUACAAAUUGAUGUAACUGUUAUGUUCAUGCAGGUAAAAGCACUUUGUGGUAGAUGGAUCCGUAUCACAUGGACAUAAAGGUCCAUCUUAUGGAGGCUUAUUUGUUAGACGGUCAUUAUUUUUUAUUAAUACGUACUAGAAUGGACACACAUUAGCUAAAUUUGAAUUGCUUACAGAUGGGCUAUAUGCAUACUUGUAUCUAUGGGGCUGAGAUAUACAUUUGAAUCGACAUAUAUGCAUACAUAAAUACAUUUCAUUAUGAUUUCUUUUGACUACUUUUGUGCACUCAUUGCUAAUUUGUUAGGUCUAACUAACAUUAUUAUAUUAUUCACAGCUCAAUCAGUCGUGUUUUCUCAGCCAUUACUAUAAUAUCAUAAAUUAUGUGGCUUGGGAGUUGGAAGGGGGUGAUGGUGCCAAGGGUAAACUUAAAUUCAUGCUCAAGAUUUUGUAUAAAUGUUAUGGCUUAUUUUCAUGUAGGGCAGCAAAGAUGGGCUUUGUCUACUCAAAAAGCUGGAAGCUGUAAGAAAGAAAAUGAAGUGUGUUAAUGAAUUAUAUGUGAUAGACGGUAGUGAUCACUCCUUCAAAAUGUGCAAAAAGCACUUGCAGUUGAUUGAGUCCACCCAAGAGGAAGCUGAAAAGCUUGUUGUUCAUGCUAUUGCAACUUUUGUUUCUAAUCAUGUGAAAGAGGGGUGAAGUACUUAAUGGUAAGAAACGGAUGAUAGUUUAAAAUAUUUUGUCCAGUUUGCGCAAAGAUGGUUCGUGAAUGCUUCCUUGAAGUAUACAGGUUUUAGAUCUGUUCCCUUUCACAGUUUGUGGAUGUCCAGGUUUUAGAUCAAUUUUGUGAAAUACUCCGUCUGUUUCAAUUUGUUUGUUUAUUUUCCUCUUUUUUCAUGCUUUCUUUGGUGCGACUGCUAUCCUGAAUUACAGGAUCCCUAUUUGGAUUUUUCUCCUUCUGCCCCCCCCCCCCCCGUUCUUUGGCCUAAAAUGGACUUAGAGUUGGCAUUGAUGUAUUGAUACAUUCCUAUGUGCGAUUGUGACUCUAUUUUGCGAGAAUUAGGUGUGUCAUCUUCCCUUUUUUCCACAUUGAGAUUGUUGUGAGGUGUUCUGCCAGGUGAGGGGAAGAAUCCCCAAUGUCUUAGCUUUGAGGAGUCUUGAUUUUGGUGCUUGGUUUGUGUUAUGUUCUUUUUCAUAUGGUGUGUAAAUAUUUAUUUGUAAGAGUUGCUGCAAUCUGCUAUAAUACAGUGAUGCCUGAACUCAACAAAUUUGCAGUCUGCAAUCUGGAACUGCUGCAAUCUGCUAUAAUACAGUGUUGCCUGAACUCAACAAAUCCAUUUUGUGCAUUAUGUAAUUAAAUGGUUUAGGUUACUCAUGGAAUGAUACAUUGCAGGAGCAGAAAGCCUCUUUAAAUCCUUAAACAUAUCAUUUUUAUCUACUUUUGACAAGUUUACAUUUUGACUAUCAUAAGAAUAUUGAUAAAGUCUUCUCUCUUAUUUAUCUUGUACCUUUGCUUAUUGGUGACUGCUUCUAAGUCAGAUUCUCCCGGAACACUUUAUAUUGUACUUGAUGCAUUCAUCUGAUUGGCUGUGUAUCGUAUGAGACCUUGUUAUACUGAGGUUCAAGAAAGUUUAUUGAACAUUUGCAGGUUGUAGAAUUCAUGUUCUUCCUAUGUGCUAGUCUCAUUGAUAUCAUUGUGACUAAGUUUGUCAUGUUCCAUUCUAAUGGAAAUGGUCUAUAUUUGAUUAAUCGAACUUCUAAUUACUCUUCAUUUGUUAUCUAAUUGUGGUAUAUGAGUGUUAUUUUUGCUAAGAUCAUAAUCUUGCUCAACUUAUCUUUGUCAAUGAAACUGAAGUUUCAUUAUGUUACCUCCUUUGAGUUGCUAUGUUUCAUCCUUUGAGUUGAUGUGAGGUGUUCUGCCAGGCGAGGGGAAGAAUCCCCAAUGUCUUAGCUUUGAGGAGUCUUGAUUUUGGUGCUUAGUUUGUGUAAAUAUUUAUUUGUAAGAGCUGAUGCAAUCUGCUAUAUAUAGUGCUGCCUGAACUCAACAAACACUACUAAAAAACUGUUAAAAAACGACGGAAGUAAAAGCUACGGACGGCGUCGCUCCAAAAAGCGACGCCAUUAGCCAUACUGUCUAUCGCUUUUUAAUUAAAAUAAUAUUUUUUUUAAAAGCGACGGACGGCAUCGCUUAGUCCGUCGCUUUUUUCGCGGAUUUUUGCUAAUUAAUUAUUUUAUAUAGAUAGCGACGCAGUCCGUCACUUUUUAUAAAAAAUAAUUAUUUAUUAAUUUAAAAAAAUCCACGCCGUCCGUCGCUUUUUAUUAAUUUGAAUUAUUUAAUUAUUUUUUAAAUUAGCGACGGAUAGCAUCUUNNNNNNNNNNNNNNNNNNNNNNNNNNNNNNNNNNNNNNNNNNNNNNNNNNNNNNNNNNNNNNNNNNNNNNNNNNNNNNNNNNNNNNNNNNNNNNNNNNNNNNNNNNNNNNNNNNNNNNNNNNNNNNNNNNNNNNNNNNNNNNNNNNNNNNNNNNNNNNNNNNNNNNNNNNNNNNNNNNNNNNNNNNNNNNNNNNNNNNNNNNNNNNNNNNNNNNNNNNNNNNNNNNNNNNNNNNNNNNNNNNNNNNNNNNNNNNNNNNNNNNNNNNNNNNNNNNNNNNNNNNNNNNNNNNNNNNNNNNNNNNNNNNNNNNNNNNNNNNNNNNNNNNNNNNNNNNNNNNNNNNNNNNNNNNNNNNNNNNNNNNNNNNNNNNNNNNNNNNNNNNNNNNNNNNNNNNNNNNNNNNNNNNNNNNNNNNNNNNNNNNNNNNNNNNNNNNNNUAUGUAUGUAUGUAUGUAUGUAUGUAUGUAUGUAUGUAUGUAUGUAUGUAUGUAUGUAUGUAUGUAUGUAUGUAUGUAUGUAUGUAUGUAUGUAUGUAUGUAUGUAUGUAUGUAUGUAUGUAUGUAUGUAUGUAUGUAUGUAUGUAUGUAUGUAUGUAUGUAUGUAUGUAUGUAUGUAUGUAUGUAUGUAUGUAUGUAUGUAUGUAUGUAUGUAUGUAUGUAUGUAUGUAUGUAUGUAUGUAUGUAUGUAUGUAUGUAUGUAUGUAUGUAUGUAUGUAUGUAUGUAUGUAUGUAUGUAUGUAUGUAUGUAUGUAUGUAUGUAUGUAUGUAUGUAUGUAUGUAUGUAUGUAUGUAUGUAUGUAUGUAUGUAUGUAUGUAUGUAUGUAUGUAUGUAUGUAUGUAUGUAUGUAUGUAUGUAUGUAUGUAUGUAUGUAUGUAUGUAUGUAUGUAUGUAUGUAUGUAUGUAUGUAUGUAUGUAUGUAUGUAUGUAUGUAUGUAUGUAUGUAUGUAUGUAUGUAUGUAUGUAUGUAUGUAUGUAUGUAUGUAUGUAUGUAUGUAUGUAUGUAUGUAUGUAUGUAUGUAUGUAUGUAUGUAUGUGUAUGUAAUUUUAAUUAAUAAAAUCAACCUCAAAAGGUGAGUUUAUAUUAAAAUAAAUUAAUAAAUACCGACCUCUUUAGGUCGGUAUAUUUAAAUAAUUAUUUUAUUUAGAUAAUAUCGACUUCACGAUGUCGGUAUGUUGACACCCAAUUUUGACCAACCUAUAACCGUUCGGAAGUGUUAUUCAGUUAAAUACGUAUUUUUUUAAAACUAUUUUGAGUUUAAAUUUUUAAUCAAUUUUGUCUAAAAAUUAUAUAUUUUAGUAUGCAUGCUUUAUAAAAUUAUAGUAAAUAUUAUUAAAAAUAUUUUUAAAAUUAUAAGUAAAACUCGAAAAAAUUAUUUUAUUCAAAUGUUUUAAAAUUUAAGUGAUUUUUAUUAUAUAAAAUGUUAUAAUAUUUGUAGUAUUUUAAUUGGAUAGCAUAUCUUUAAAUUUUCUCGAAAUCAUUUAAUUUUUAGCCCAUUUUGAUCUAAUCCCUUUCAAUUCUAGCUUUUUCCUUAUCCAAUUCAUUGCAAUUCUAGUCACCUCAAUCCAAUUUCGUUUUUCAAUUAUAGCCUCUUAUAUCAAUUUUAGUUGCAAUUUUAGCCAUUCAUUCAUUGCAAUUAUAACACUUGUCCAAAUCUUGAAAUAUUAGUUUAAAUCCGAACCGUCCAUCCUUUAAGUGAAUCCUAGAUCAAAUCCUAGCCGCUCAUCUUAACUAAUCCAAUGGCUCAGAUUAAAUCUACCUAACCUUCCUAUUUUUUUACCUAUAAAAAAGACCAAACCCUUUUUUGAAAUCUCAUUCUUUUCUUCUCUCUCUAGCAGCGCCGCAACCCCCUCCAUCAGUGAGAACUAGCGAGAGCUCCACCAUCGCCGUUGAGCUCUCCCUCUCGCUCCUCCCGUCGCCCUCCUCCCUUAGCUUUCCUCUUCUCAUCUCUUCUCUCCUUGGUCCCUCCCGUCUCUUCUCUCCGGCGAGAAUGGUGAGACAAAUGGCUGCCUCCCUCUCGUCUCUCCAAUCAGCGAAAUUUCACUGCUCUCUCUCUCCCUCAACUGCUCCGGCCAGCGAGCUCCAAGCAAUCAGCAUCAGCAGCCGGCGAGGAGAGCAAUAACAUCUCCGGCCAACAACAACCAGUGCGAGAGCCAGCUCCGACGAGCUACCGGCGAAACUGACCCCGACCUCGACCCACCACCCUUCUCCUUUAAUUCAAGGUUAGGGUUUCAUAAUAUUAUUUUAAUUUCUUUCAAUUUGAGUAUUGAAUCUGUUAAUUAGUGUAUUGAAUUCGUUUUUUAUUGAUUGUUAGUUUGAUUGAUUGUUAGUUAGUAAGUGAAUGAUUUAGGGUUUUUGAUUGUUAGUUUGAAUUAGGGAUUAUUUGAUUGUUAGUUUGUGCUUGUUGAUUGUGAAUUGAAAAUUUUAAUGUUGGGGUUAGUUUGAAUUAGGGUAUCUUAGGAUUUGUUUGAAAUUCAAUAUUUCUUGAGUUAAUUAGUUUGAUUUUGGAAUUGUAAGAUUAGAUUUAAUUAGGGUAUUUAAGGAGUUGUUUGAAUUUAGGAUUUUAGCACUAGUUAGAUUUUGGGAUUUUAGGUAGUUUGAAUUUGUGAUUUUAAGACUAGUUUGAAUUUUGAAUUUAGGACUAGUUUGAAUUAUUAUUGAGAUUUUAGGACUACUAAUAGUUUGAAUUUGGAGUUUUAGCAAUAUAGUUUUAUUUUUGAAUUCUAGGAGUACUUUCAAUUUGUGAUUUUAAGACUAGUUUGAAUUUGGAAUUUAGGACUAAUAGUUUGAAUUAUAUUUGAUAUUUUAGGACUAAUUAAUAGUUUGAAGUUGGGACACUAGCUAGCUAGUUUGAAUUUAGAAUUUUAGGGAUUUGAAUUACAACUUAAUUAGAACUUAUAAUUAAUUAUAACUUGAAUUUACUAUAAAUUGAACUUAAUUAGGAAUAUGAACUUGAAAUUAUAACUUGAACUUGGAACUAAUUAGCUUGAAUAUAUAACUAAUUAAGUUUAGAAAUUAGAUAUGAACUUGAAUUGAAACUUGAACUUAUUAAAACUUGAGAAUAUAUAUAUAUUAAAUAAGUUAAAUUAAUUAAUGUGGUUUAGUUGGUGGAUUUAGUGUUGUAUUAAGUCAAAACUAAACUAGUUAAAGUUGUUAAGUUGUUUAAAUAAGUUAAAUUAAUUAAUGUGGUUUAGUUGGUGGAUUUAGUGUUGUAUUAAGUCAAAACUAAACUAGUUAAAGUUGUUAAGUUGUUUAAAUAAGUUAAAUUAAUUAAUGUGGUUUAGUUGGUGGAUUUAGUGUUGUAUUAAGUGAAAGCUAAACUAGUUAAAGUUGUUAAGUUGUUUAAAUAAGUUAAAUUAAUUAAUGUGGUUUAGUUGGUGGAUUUAGUGUUGUAUUAAGUCAAAACUAAAUUUGUUAAAGUUGUUAAGUUGUUUAAAUAAGUUAAAUUAAUUAAUGUGGUUUAGUUGGUGGAUUUAGUGUUGUAUUAAGUCAAAACUAAAUUUGUUAAAGUUGUUAAGUUGUUUAAAUAAGUUAAAUUAAUUAAUGUGGUUUAGUUGGUGGAUUUAGUGUUGUAUUAAGUCAAAACUAAAUUUGUUAAAGUUGUUAAGUUGUUUAAAUAAGUUAAAUUAAUUAAUGUGGUUUAGUUGGUGGAUUUAGUGUUGUAUUAAGUCAAAACUAAAUUUGUUAAAGUUGUUAAGUUGUUUAAAUAAGUUAAAUUAAUUAAUGUGGUUUAGUUGGUGGAUUUAGUGUUGUAUUAAGUCAAAACUAAAUUUGUUAAAGUUGUUAAGUUGUUUAAAUAAGUUAAAUUAAUUAAUGUGGUUUAGUUGGUGGAUUUAGUGUUGUAUUAAGUCAAAACUAAAUUUGUUAAAGUUGUUAAGUUGUUUAAAUAAGUUAAAUUAAUUAAUGUGGUUUAGUUGGUGGAUUUAGUGUUGUAUUAAGUCAAAACUAAAUUUGUUAAAGUUGUUAAGUUGUUUAAAUAAGUUAAAUUAAUUAAUGUGGUUUAGUUGGUGGAUUUAGUGUUGUAUUAAGUCAAAACUAAACUAGUUAAAGUUGUUAAGUUGUUUAAAUAAGUUAAAUUAAUUAAUGUGGUUUAGUUGGUGGAUUUAGUGUUGUAUUAAGUCAAAACUAAACUAGUUAAAGUUGUUAAGUUGUUUAAAUAAGUUAAAUUAAUUAAUGUGGUUUAGUUGGUGGAUUUAGUGUUGUAUUAAGUCAAAACUAAACUAGUUAAAGUUGUUAAGUUGUUUAAAUAAGUUAAAUUAAUUAAUGUGGUUUAGUUGGUGGAUUUAGUGUUGUAUUAAGUCAAAACUAAACUAGUUAAAGUUGUUAAGUUGUUUAAAUAAGUUAAAUUAAUUAAUGUGGUUUAGUUGGUGGAUUUAGUGUUGUAUUAAGUCAAAACUAAACUAGUUAAAGUUGUUAAGUUGUUUAAAUAAGUUAAAUUAAUUAAUGUGGUUUAGUUGGUGGAUUUAGUGUUGUAUUAAGUCAAAACUAAACUAGUUAAAGUUGUUAAGUUGUUUAAAUAAGUUAAAUUAAUUAAUGUGGUUUAGUUGGUGGAUUUAGUGUUGUAUUAAGUCAAAACUAAACUAGUUAAAGUUGUUAAGUUGUUUAAAUAAGUUAAAUUAAUUAAUGUGGUUUAGUUGGUGGAUUUAGUGUUGUAUUAAGUCAAAACUAAACUAGUUCAAGAGUUAAAGUUGUUUAAAUAAGUUAAAUUAAUUAAUGUGGUUUAGUUGGUGGAUUUAGUGUUGUAUUAAGUCAAAACUAAACUAGUUAAAGUUGUUAAGUUGUUUAAAUAAGUUAAAUUAAUUAAUGUGGUUUAGUUGGUGGAUUUAGUGUUGUAUUAAGUCAAAACUAAACUAGUUAAAGUUGUUAAGUUGUUUAAAUAAGUUAAAUUAAUUAAUGUGGUUUAGUUGGUGGAUUUAGUGUUGUAUUAAGUCAAAACUAAACUAGUUAAAGUUGUUAAGUUGUUUAAAUAAGUUAAAUUAAUUAAUGUGGUUUAGUUGGUGGAUUUAGUGUUGUAUUAAGUCAAAACUAAACUAGUUAAAGUUGUUAAGUUGUUUAAAUAAGUUAAAUUAAUUAAUGUGGUUUAGUUGGUGGAUUUAGUGUUGUAUUAAGUCAAAACUAAACUAGUUAAAGUUGUUAAGUUGUUUAAAUAAGUUAAAUUAAUUAAUGUGGUUUAGUUGGUGGAUUUAGUGUUGUAUUAAGUCAAAACUAAACUAGUUAAAGUUGUUAAGUUGUUUAAAUAAGUUAAAUUAAUUAAUGUGGUUUAGUUGGUGGAUUUAGUGUUGUAUUAAGUCAAAACUAAACUAGUUAAAGUUGUUAAGUUGUUUAAAUAAGUUAAAUUAAUUAAUGUGGUUUAGUUGGUGGAUUUAGUGUUGUAUUAAGUCAAAACUAAACUAGUUAAAGUUGUUAAGUUGUUUAAAUAAGUUAAAUUAAUUAAUGUGGUUUAGUUGGUGGAUUUAGUGUUGUAUUAAGUCAAAACUAAACUAGUUAAAGUUGUUAAGUUGUUUAAAUAAGUUAAAUUAAUUAAUGUGGUUUAGUUGGUGGAUUUAGUGUUGUAUUAAGUCAAAACUAAACUAGUUAAAGUUGUUAAGUUGUUUAAAUAAGUUAAAUUAAUUAAUGUGGUUUAGUUGGUGGAUUUAGUGUUGUAUUAAGUCAAAACUAAACUAGUUAAAGUUGUUAAGUUGUUUAAAUAAGUUAAAUUAAUUAAUGUGGUUUAGUUGGUGGAUUUAGUGUUGUAUUAAGUCAAAACUAAACUAGUUCAAGAGUUAAAGUUGUUUAAAUAGGUUAAAUUAAUUAAUGUGGUUUAGUUGGUGGAUUUAGUGUUGUAUUAAGUGAAAGCUAAACUAGUUAAAGUUGUUAAGUUGUUUAAAUAAGUUAAAAUAAAUAUUGUGGUUUAGUUGGUGGAUUUAGUUGUUGUAUUUAGUCAAAACUAAACUAGUUAAAGUUGUUAAGUUGUUUAAAUAAGUUAAAAUAAAUAUUGUGGUUUAGUUGGUGGAUUUAGUUGUUGUAUUUAGUCAAAACUAAACUAGUUAAAGUUGUUAAGUUGUUUAAAUAAGUUAAAAUAAAUAUUGUGGUUUAGUUGGUGGAUUUAGUUGUUGUAUUUAGUCAAAACUAAACUAGUUAAAGUUGUUAAGUUGUUUAAAUAAGUUAAAUUAAUUAAUGUGGUUUAGUUGGUGGAUUUAGUUGUUGUAUUUAGUCAAAACUAAACUAGUUAAAGUUGUUAAGUUGUUUACUUUCUCUAAAUUAAAUAAUGUGGUUUUGUUGAUGGAUUUAGUUGUUGGAAUUAAUUCAAAACUAAACUAGUUCAAGUUAAAAAGUUGUUAAGUUGUUUAAAUAAGCUAAAAUAAAUAAUGUGGUUUAGUUGGUGGAUUUAGUUGUUUUAUUAAGUCAAAACUAAACUAGAUAAAGUUGUUAUGUUGUUUAAAUAAGUUAAAAUAAAUAAUGUGAUUUAGUUGGUGGAUUUAGUUGUUGGAAUUAAGUCAAUACUAAACUAGUUAAAGUUAUGAAGUUGUUAAGUUGUUUAAAUACGUUAAAUUAAAUAAUGUGGAUUUGUUGAUGGAUUUAGUUGUUGGGAUUAUUUCAAAACUAAACUAGUUCAAGUUAAAAUGUUGUUAAGUUGUUUAAAUAAGUUAAAAUAAAUAAUGUGGGUUAGUUAGUGAAUUUAGUUGUUGGAAUUAAGUCAAAACUAAACUAGUUAAAGUGAAAAAGUUGUUAAGUUGUUUGAAUAAGUUAAAAUAAAUGUUGUGGGUUAGUUAGUGAAUUUAGUUGUUGGAAUUAAGUCAAAACUAAACUAGUUAAAGUUGUUAAGUUGUUUAAAUAAGUUAAAUUAAUUAAUGUGGUUUAGUUGGUGGAUUUAGUGUUGUAUUAAGUCAAAACUAAACUAGUUAAAGAGUUAAAGUUGUUUAAAUAAGUUAAAUUAAUUAAUGUGGUUUAGUUGGUGGAUUUAGUGUUGUAUUAAGUCAAAACUAAACUAGUUAAAGAGUUAAAGUUGUUUAAAUAAGUUAAAUUAAUUAAUGUGGUUUAGUUGGUGGAUUUAGUGUUGUAUUAAGUCAAAACUAAACUAGUUAAAGAGUUAAAGUUGUUUAAAUAAGUUAAAUUAAUUAAUGUGGUUUAGUUGGUGGAUUUAGUGUUGUAUUAAGUCAAAACUAAACUAGUUAAAGAGUUAAAGUUGUUUAAAUAAGUUAAAUUAAUUAAUGUGGUUUAGUUGGUGGAUUUAGUGUUGUAUUAAGUCAAAACUAAACUAGUUAAAGAGUUAAAGUUGUUUAAAUAAGUUAAAUUAAUUAAUGUGGUUUAGUUGGUGGAUUUAGUGUUGUAUUUUACUUUCAAAAAUAUUGCAGGAAAAGCGACGGACAGCGUGGUUUUGUCCAUCACUUUUCUGGUUUUUUUUUUUUUUAAAUCCCAGAAAAGCGACGGACAGCGUGGUAUUGUCCAUCGCUUUUUUGGGUUUUAUUUUUUUUAAAAUCCCAAAAAAGUGACGGACAUCGUGAUUUUUUCCGUCGCUUUUUUGGGUUUUAUUUUUUUUUAAAUCUCAGAAAAGCGACGGAUAGCAUGGUUUUGUCAGUCGCUUUUCAGGGAUUUUCAAAAAUAAAAUUUCCAGAAAAGCGACGAACUGCGUCACUUUUUAGAAAUAAAAAAAAUUAAAAUUAAAAUAAAGCGACAGAGUCCGUCGCUUUUGUUAAAAAAAAAUAGUCAAAAAGCUAUGUUGUCCGUCGCUUUUUGAAAAGCGUCGGGGUAAAAAGCGAUGGAGGAGACUACGUCGCUUUUGACCAAAAAUGCGACGCAGUUCGUCGUUUUUUGAUAUUUUUUUAGUAGUGAAAUCUUCAGUCUGCAAUCUGCAAUCUGCAACUGCUACAAUCGAUUUUAUACAGUGCCCAACAGAACUUCUUGCCUCCAAUCUGCAAUCUGCAAUCUGCUGCACUCAAACAAAACUUCUUGCCUCUUCUAUAAAUGAAUGUUGUACAUGGUUUGUUUUGAUUUUUAAUUUCAUUUUAAAUGUGUAGGGAAAUGGAGGUGAUCAAAUUGAAGGUCGCCACAAGUCAAUUUGAUCUCAUUGAAGUUGAUAAUGAAGAAUUUUUGAACUAUUGUAAAAGUUUGAAUACAUUAUAUUUAGAUUUUUGUGAAAUAUAUUCAUUGCUAGAAUAUAUUGAACUAUUGUAAGAGUACUUUUUGAACUAUUGUGUACACAUAUUUAGAAUAUUGCUUUAUAAGUAUCUGUAUGUACAGAAGACAUACUAUCUUUUAGAGUUUAUUGCAAAUUUAUAUAUUUGAAUUACUUAUUAGCUAAUUUAAUGCUUGAGAUUAUUUAUUGCAAAAUAAUAUUGGUGUUUUUUAAUUAGAAAUUGUGGCAUAUAAAUAUUUUAUAGCCAAAAUAAUAUUACCACACUUAAAAAUGUAGCUAUAGGACUGUAAAUUGUGGUAUGAAUUGAUAUGCUCAAAUUACACCUCCAUAAAGAACUAUAAGCGAUCGUUAUCAAGUAUGUUAUCAUACAUUAGAUAGAAAAGGCCACACUUUAAAAUCGUGGACAAUAAGGAAGCAAAGGCAACGCUUGAAAGUUGAAAGUGUAGUUCUAUAAGAUAGAAAUGUUGCUAUAUGAGGUAUUACAAAAUGUGGCCUUUUUGCCUUUUAGGCUACGCUUUUAAGCAUAGAUAAUAAGACAACACUUGAAAAGUGUCGCCUAAACUCUAAGGUUACGCUUCUUUCGGCCACCCCUGGAAAAGCGUGGCUUAAAGUCCAAAAGUGUGGCCUUUUAUCAAAGGCCACACUUUUUCAUAGUUUAGGCCACACUUUUCUAGGGUGAUUGUAGACAUAAAAUGUUGUAAUGUCUUAUUUUACUUUAAUUUUAUAACAAAAUAAUAAUUUUGCAAACUCUCUUAACUUAUUGUUUUAAUUUUUUUUUUGUCACGUUCCACCCUUUGAUUCUUGCAAAAAGCAACUGUUACAAAAUAUAUUUAAAAAUUUAAAAUAGUGAGAACAAAUACUCUUAAUUAAUAAGUCGACUAAAGACAAGUGUGUUGCGUGUAUGGUCCAUACAGAUGAUAAUGAAAGAAAAACUAAUGGACGAAAAAAUAGCCGAAAUCGCUGAAGAAAACUAAGGAUGUACUCCCUCCGUUUAUUUUUACGUGUCAACUAUUUUAAAAAUAUAUUUUUAUUUUUAAUAUAUUAAUUUUUAAUUUUUCAUAUCUUUAGCAUUUAUUACUUAUUUUAUAAAAAAAAAUUCAAGAUCUAAAAUUAAAUGUCAAUAUUAUUAUGUGUAAAAUACUAAUUGAAUCAUUGUAUUUAAAGCUACAUGUAAAAUUUAAAGUGGCGAGUAAAUAUAGACAUAGGAAAAUUAGUUAUCGAUAAAAAAUGUUUAUGAUUUAGAUAAAAAUUGAUCUGAAUAAAAAAAUAAAACCAAACCAAUUAAAUAAAUCUAUUUUUAUUUGAUUUGGUUUGAUUUUACAUUUUAAAAAAUCAAUAAUAUUUCGUUCGAUUUUGAUUUUGUUUAAAAAAAACAGAAGAAAUAAUCGAAUCAAAUUGGAAAUUUAUAAACAAUUUUUUAAAAUAAUUAAAUACGUAAUUACAUUUUAUAAAUAAUUCUUUAAGCGAAGCAUUCUCAUUUUUUAAAAAAAAUAAGGUAUGAUAAUACUUCUUUUAUUUCUGUAGCAAUAUUGAUAGCUUAUGCUUUAUCCAGAAAUUUAUGUUAUUUUAUACAUUGAAUUAAGAAAAAAUAUAAGGAGAAAGUUAAACAUAAUUGAAAUUUUGAUAUAAAAUUUAUAAGAUUCAAAAUGACACGAUGACAAUUUUUUUUUGUUUUGAAUAGAUUGUUAUCUUUUUUGAAUGAAUCAUUUUUGUUUAUUUUUAUGUAAACCAAAUCGAAUUGAAACAAAUAACAACCAAAUCAAUAAAUAAAUAUUAUAUUUACUUUGAAUAGUUUCAAAUCUAAUUAAAUUAAUAAUCCAUCCAAAUCCAACCGUAAACCUUCUUAAAGUCAAAUUAGUCUCAUUUAUCACGUGGUAACACGUAGCUAUUUGUUUGUGGGGACGCCAUCUUCUUUUUGUACAUUCUCCUUUUUCAAGUGUGCGUUUCGUGUUCAAAGCUCAACUAAUUAAAAACGUGGCUUUGCAAUACCCAAAAAACUCAUCUUGUAUAUAUUCAUUCAAACUCUCCUAUCUUCUUUCAUUAAUUCUCUCUCUUAUAUAUCUCAACUGAAUAAAUAAAUCUUCUAUUAUCACUAAAAAAAACAACUUGUUUGUUGAUUAUUCUUUUCUCCCAAUUAAUUGAAGAAAAUGAGAAGAAAUUGUAAUUUGGAGCUCACUCUUAUGCCUCCUUCUAUUUUAGAUAGUUUUUCUUCUAAGAAUUGUACAAUGUAAGUCAUUCUCCCUCUUUUAUACUUCUUGUAAUAAGUAAUGUUUAUAAGGUAUUUGAUUAUAUGUUUUUAUUCACUAUUAGGGAGGAUCAACAAUUGGAGAAUAAGCAAUCACAACAGCUAACUAUAUUUUACAAUGGAAAAUUUGUGGUUUCCGAUGCUACUGAGCUUUAGGUACAUAAGAUAGUCAACCAAUUAAGCUUUUAAGAUUCUCAUCAAGUAUAUGAAUUUAGUUUAAAAGAUGCAUUUUUUAUUGAUUAUAAUAAUUAAUUUAAUGAGUUAUUUUGUUAUGCAGGCUAAAGCUAUAAUAUAUCUUGCAAGUAGAGGAAUGAAGGAGAAAACAAACAAGAUGUCAGAGCCAUCAUCACCAUUAUUACAACCUCAAACUGGUUUAUUCAUGAAGCGAUCUCUACAAGGAUUUCUACAGAAACGAAAAAUAGAGUUCAAGCAACUUCGCCAUAUCACCACUAGCUGCGACUGAUGAACUUCGUAUUAGUUUUAGUUCCAUUUGUUCAUACAUUUUUAUUUUUGGUGUUACUAAUAUGAUAGAUUUUUCCUAUAAGUGAAUUUAGCAAGUGUAUCACUUAUUUUACUGAUUUGUCAAUACAAAAAAUUCUCAAUUUCUCUCAUUACCUUCAUGUGUGGUGAUCAGAACUUGGUUUUUCCUCUCUCCGAACACAUGCACUUUGGCAAAAAUGAAAAUGAAGGAAGGAUUGAGAUGAUGAAAUUAAGUUUCCUUAUAUAUAAGAUAUUGU